rnacentral:lncRNA from 1 species
GAGAGAGAGAGAGAGAGAGAGAGAGAGAGAUUUGUAUUAAAGUAUGUGUACAAGGUGGAACAGGAGGAAAUAAAGUAUUAAAAGGACUUCAACAGUACCUAACCAGUCCACUAGUAGAAAAAAAUGAACAACAAGGCUUAUUAGUUGGAGAAGUUCUACACUGUCACGCUUGCACCACGUCAUCAAUAACAAACCAAUCACAUAUCUUCUUUUCAAACAAAAGUACAAUAAAAAUAUUUUUUUACAAUCAUGAUGGGACAUAUAUUUUUAAAAAAAGUUAUUUGAUUGGUUUGUGACGCCACAUCACCAAUAUACCCGGUGUAUUCUAGAAUUUUUCUUAAUAGUUGAGGCUUAAUAGCUCCUGCAACCAUGGCCCACACCCACUUGGAAAACACUGCAGCUAGCUUCGAUUCAUAGUUUCAUACAUGUAUAUACAUGUACAUAAGUAGUUAUAUUUUAAUGAUCUCCCUGCGCAGUAUCAGUUUAAGCAGUAACAGUUUCCAAUGUUAGAUCCAUCUAAUUUCUUUAAUCACGUAAAAUGUGAUUAUAUAUAACAAACAUUAUAUAUAUAUAGCUUCAGAAAGAGAUUAAUUAGCACGCCACAUCUUUGACCGACCGUACCAAGUUCAGUUGAGUUCGAAGUCUAAUUAUUUUAUAUUUAUAAUUAAGUUCGUCUCCAAAAAAAAAAAAAAAAUCGACAUCUUUGUGAGAUCUAGAUUUGUCUUGUAGCGAUCACUCUUGAACGUACAUGAGUUUGGAGAGAACGGCUCAGGGAGUAAUGCUAUGCUCGCAUACAAAUCCUAUAACAUUUUAAUAGCGUACAAGAGAUGUAAAUAUAUAUAGUUGGUACAGUUCACAAGAAGGAUACAUAUAUAGAGUGUAAAUAACCAAAUAAUACUUUUUAAGAAAUUGCAAGAUGUACCGGCCGUCCCUAAUUGAUUCCCAAGUUUGAAUUCUAAUUGAUUUAUAUUUCCAGCUAAAUUUAUUUUUUUAAUGAAAUAAAGCGAAGCAGGUAGCAUGCUAUCUAGAGAUGUCAACGGAUUGGAUUCGAGGCAGAUUUUCAAAAAUCCGAACCGAACCCAACUCCAAACCCGAGAUCCGAACCCGAAUUUGAACCCGACGGAUUUUAAAUCCAUAUCCAAACCCGAACCCGACAAAAAAUCCGAAACCCGAAUCCGAAUCCGAAUCCGAACAUGAAAAUUUGAACCCGAAACAAUUAUUUCUUUUUUCAAUAUUUCAAAAUAUAUUAUAUUAAAUANCGAGUUCGAGUUCGGGUCGAGUACAGUCAAAAUCCAUAUCCAAAUCCAUAUUCAUCCGAUUUCUACUUUUGAUAUCCAUAUUCGAAUCUAUAUCCAGUUAGUAUCGAAUAUAUUCGUUUCAUUCGGGUUCGGAUUCGGAUAAAAUUUCGGGUACUUAUUGACAUCCCUAAUGCUACCUAUCAUUUAAAUUAUUAUUGUAUCAUUUAAAUUAAGUCAAUGCCUCGCCAUCUAAGAAACUGGGGUUUUAAGUAGGAGGAGCUUAUGAUUUUUAAGAGUCUAAAUGAUGUAGGCCUAAACUGUGUUGAGAGGAAAGAAAUAUAAACACGAAAAAAGAGUGAGACAUGAAAAAUUAAUUUUUCUACGAAGACGAAAAUAUUAUUAAUCAACUCUAAAAAUAUUUAUAUAGAGGCGAUAUUCGAAUCCUACUGUAAACUAAGAUAAUAAAUUUUAAUAUAUCUCUAGACUAAAUUAGAUAAAAAAAGAACCGAAUAAUCCGGCUCAGAAUAGACAAAUAUAAAGUUUUGUAAAAGUAAUCUAAAAAUAUAAAAACAAAUGCCAAAACAAUUGAAUUUUGGUUCCAAAUUCGGCUGAAACAUCUUUGCUGUUUGACAUGUGGAUUUCGAAAAGUAUUUUUUGAAUUAGAAUUGCACGUUAAAAUAAAUCGCUUGACCGAAAAAUUAGACAAUUUAAAAAUUUUUAAUGCUGAUUUGCAAAAAUUACUACACUCGGCCGCGGCCCAGCUCGGUUGAGUUACGUUUUUUCAGAAACUCUAGUACUAAAUUGACUACACCACUAAAAGUAUAUUUUUAUUUCUGGCUAUUUUAAAGGCUCCAAAUACUUUAUUUGACCAACACUUUAUUUCUACUUUGGAGUUGAAAAUUUGCUACAUGAAAAAAUAAAGCACCCAGGAAGUUAUUAGUCUAAGAGCAAUUAGUCUAAAUGCUACUACAUUUAUAGAAGAAAGUCUUCUAGAUUUCCUUAGUAAGAGUCAGUACCAUACACAUAAGAGCAACUUAUUUGUUUUAUUUUCUUAAAACCAAGCAUGAUGCCGUCGGAGACGAGGCUUGGGUUCCCGAAAAUGCUAUCCAUCCAAGUCCGGGCAUAUCUGGGCCAUCCAAUGUGGAUGUUCUUUAUAUAUUUCAGUUUAUAUGGACGGUGCAAUCGUCCUGUACGCAUUUUUUUUGCUGCAAAUGGGUUACACCCAAGCUUUGGCAUAAACGUCAACUUUAAAGAAAAACUACACCAAUCACUAAUUACCAAUAUGUACAGUACCAACUUAUAAAAAAUAUGGUUAAUUGCAUACAGCUCUCUGUAAAUAUAUCGAAUAAUAAAUAUAACCUUAUAAAGUUCAACUUUUCAUAUUUAUUUUUAUAAAAUUCUAACAUUUUCAAAUAUUCUCCUACUGUUAGGAUUCGUUAGAAAAAUAUAGUUAGUAAAAUAUUUUUACCCCUUUUAUAUUAUUUGUGAUAGUAUAAAGGAAGAAAAUAACCGUUGAAGGUUUUUGGAAGGAUAUUUCUGUAUAAUUCUAAACAGUUAGGGCUUUUGGAGGGACAUAUUUGUGAUCAGAAAAAUAUCAUUUUACUUAUCUUCCGUUAAAAAAUAAAUCGUGCUCCAGUGGUAACAAACCAGAGGGAUAAAUAUAAAUAUCACUGAAUUUUCGUAAAGAUAAAUAUAAAAAGUUGAACUUUGUAGGGAUAUUUUUAUUAUUCAAUAUAUUUAUAAGGAGCUGUAUGAAAUUAAUCCUAAAAAAAAAAAAACCUCUUGGGGGGUACACCGUACACAAAGCGCAAUUCAAAAAGUUUAAUCCGAGACCAAAAGUGUUUUGGGCCUAAGCUUCAGUUGCCCGGUCCAGGACCCGGCUCAAAAAUCGGGCCGGUAUCCGACCCGGUUUGUGCCCGAGCCCGGCCCAUUAAACGUGUCGCGAUUAGGGUUUUCGACUCCUCGAGGAUGAGGCGCACUAUAAAUACGAGCUCUUCGCCACACCUUUUUCAAUCUCUUCGUUUUCGUUUGCUACGCUCGUCGAUCCUCCGCCUCAUCCUCGUCCCCGGAUUUUUGGUAACCUUUCCCCCCACCCCUUAAACCCUAGACAUGUUUGAUCCAAUGUGUUUGAUCGAUCCUCUUUAUCCUUCUUUGUUGAUCUCCUUUCGUAGAUUUGGAUCUACUGUUCUCAAAUCGAAUUUUGCGAUCAAUUUGAUCUGCGCUUUAUUAGUUUCAUAAUUGUUGAUCUAGGGUUUUCUACAUAGGAACUGUUUAAUUUUAAAUCUCUUGAGUUCUUUAUCUGUGGGAAAAAUGGCUUUUUUUAUUUUUUUUCUUUUUUAAUCUAGUGAGAACAUUCCACGAUUAGAUGUGACUUGUUGUGUGCAGGAAAAUAGAUCUAUGAAUCGUGUGUGUACAAAGUUUCCACCUUUAUGAUGCCCAUAAAUCUUUAAAAAUUUGCAUACAUGUUAUCCCUGUUAUUAGAUGACUAUAGUAAUUAAGGGGUUAAUGUAGUUGUUUAGGCUUUUAGGAUUAUGCAUGCAAAAAAAAAAUACUUAUGAGGUAGUUUAAUUGUGUACCGGAAUGUAUUCUUCAUUCGAUUGAGGAUUUGUUCUGCACUGGUGUUUAGGGACGGAGCCAGGAUUUUUAUCUUUGUGGUGGAAACACAUGAUUGAUAAUCUGAUAGUGAAGAAGAAUUAUUGCUUUUAUUUUUGUGAUAGUUCUAGCUUAAUAUUAAUAUAUGCUUACUAAUGCAUUUAUUUAUAUUUGAUCUCCAAAAAAGACCUGUAUGCUCAGGUAACUCAACUCUUUGCUUUAGCACUAUGAACCUAUAGAAAACAUUUUAAAAUAGAAAAUGGUGUUUUAAUCAAAUCUGUCUCAAACUAUUUUCAAAUCAAUGAGUAAUGUUAAAAAGAAUUGAAUUUCUUUCUGGAUUAUAGUAUAUCGAUGUUUUCAUACUUGUGCCCAUUUUUCUCUCUUUCUGCAUCAAUUUCGAAAAUAUGUCAGCCGGAGAGUAAGCAUAACUAAGGUCUAGUUUGUGAAUGCAUUCUUCAUGAGGAACUGGUUAGGAAGCUACAUGCUUCGCCGGUGGAGGAUCCCACCUCUAUUUCAUAGCUGCGGAGGAGUGGAGCUUCAAUGCAAUUUUGGAUUUUUUGCGAGCUUUAAAUUAUUGAAGUGAUUGUGUUUUGAGAAUGAUAUCCUAAGCUAGGUCUAGAGAUAUCAUUUAGAUAGCCGUCUGUGUAGAUUGUCUUCACUGAGAAGUGGAACUAUACCAUUGUUGUGAUACUAUCAUGUGGGGUAGGCAGUAGGCACUAUAUAUCUAAGGGCUUUGUUCCAAUGGGGAGGUGGCUGGGUGGGAUGAGGGAGUGAACCAUAAGGCCUUAUUGCCCGCUUUCAAUGGCAUUACUAGGAUACUUCAUGAAUCGUGACACUGAACUUUCAUUUGAGUAGUAAUCUCUAGAAUUUGUUGAAUUUGCUUUGCAACUUUGUCUUUUAUCUGAACCUUUGCAUGCAUCCAGGCUUUUGUUGUGUCUCUUUCGCAAAUCCGGCAAGAUGCAGAAUGAGGAAGGGCAGAUGAUGGAUCUCUACAUCCCGCGGAAAUGGUACAUGAAAUAACUGUCAUUGGACUCGAAUUUGUUGAAAUGUUUCUAUUUUUCUAUUCUUUAGCUUCUGAUGGUAUCAUCAAUCUUAUCUACUUUUUUUUUUUCCUUUUUUAUUCUUUUUUUUUGGGGGGGGCAGUUCUGCCACUAACAGGCUGAUUACAGCAAAGGACCAUGCUUCUGUCCAGAUUAAUGUUGGGCAUUUGGAUGAGAAUGGUAUUUACACCGGCCAGUCAACCACCUAUGCUCUCAGCGGUUCCGUUCGUGCCCAGGUACAACAUUGGGCUAUCUACCUUUUUUUGGGGGGGUUUUAGUUACACGAGCAUCAUGCAAACAUAGAAAUUAAGAAUCUGUCGCUUUUAAUGUAUACUUUUAUUGUCUUUGAUAGUUUAGUCUCCUAAGUAAUUUGUUAUUUCUUUUAUCUUCUAUCUUUUAUUUUGCAAUUAGUGCCAACUAAGCUUUCUAGUUCUUUGCUUUCUAGGAUCAGCUCAACUCAAAUAACCUAUGAUAAAGUGUGUUAAUGGCUGGGUCAUAACCAUGCCUGGAUAGGGAUUUGAAUGUAACCCAAUCGGCCUUGUCCUAGGAGAUUUUUGUUGGAACAGGUUAGCCUGUCCUUGGGCUUCUAGUUAUUUAAUUCCUACAGGCCUGUGUCCUAUCUUUAGCCUAAGAAACGUUAGGCUUUGCCUUUUGUACCCCAUUUGGUGCAUAAUGUAUUACUUUCUCAUGAUUAGGAUCUAUUAAAUUUAAUACCUUGCUAAUUGAGUCGCAUGUUUUAGCUUCUUUUUUCUAAAAAACUUAUUUGGUGUGUAAUCAUUAUUAUUCUCUGUAGCUGGUGAUCCUAAGUAUUCUCUCAUUAUUUCCUCUAGAGUAAUUGCUGGUGUAUCUCUGCAACUAGCUCAAAUAACAGAUUAUCCUUGCACACUUUCAAAAACUAAGUUUAUUUCAUUCUUUCAAACUUAAAAAAAAAACCUUCCAAAAGUGUUCCUCGACCAACCAAAUGUUUUUAAAUGACCAUUAUGCCUCCUCUCCCUCCCACAAUAAGUCCGUCGAACUGAUGGUGUUGCAGCUGCACGGCAUUGGUAGCUAAAUCUCACUGAAACAACACUGAACCACAUUGAGUGCGAAAUGGCAAAACGACCAUUUAAUCAAAAAGGGUAUCUGUGAUCUGUCAAUAGAUAUUGUCUUUAUUGAAGUUUCUGAAGUUUGGGAGUUAUUCAUAAUGUUUGCAGCUAGUCGACUCUAAUUAAACCUUGUUGUUUUUUCAAUUGAAACUCUCUUGUUUGGUUGCUUUUUAGGGCGAUGCCGACAGUGCUCUUGAUCGGCUCUGGCAAAAGAAGAAAGCCGAAAUCCGACAACAGUAGAUUUUCUGUUCUAGAUUAUUAUGUUCGAUCACCGAGCUCGAGAUGGCUUUCGUAAGAAUCGAUUGAGGUUUAAGAGUGAAUUUGUUCUGAAAUUCGGAGUGGAUCCUUUGUUCUAAACAUUACUCUCAGCUUUUUGUCAAACUAUCAGAAUUGUUAGGGCUCUCUUGAAUUCUAAUUUGAUUACUUUUGAACUUAAGAGGCUUUUACAGCUUCAAAGUGUUUGGAUACGGAGAGAUGGUUCGGCUGAGAUUUCUUAUUUGCUUUUUAUGCCUUCUUGUAUGUUAAUGUUUAAGUAGGUUAGUCAGAGAAAAAUUUGCCUCUUUUUUGGUUGAAAGGAAGGGGAUAAAAAGAUGGAAAAUUUUAUUUGUACGUCCCAAAAGAAUUUAUGAAAAUCUAAAUAGAUUUUAGUGAAAAAAAAUUGAUGUAAGGAACAGUUGAUGAUAGUUGUUGAGAUAUGUAAUAUUUUAAAAAUAUUAUAUUUUAUAUAUUCGGAACGGUAAGUUUCUUCGGUAAUCUUGUAUUCUUACUAUCUAGAUAUCUACAAUAAUUUUACUGCUUCAUUAAACACUUUUUAGUACUUUUCAACUUGAAAUUGAUGAUGAUCAUUUAAAUAUUUUUCAAUAAAAAAUACGUUACAAAAAAUAUUGCAAAUCUAGGGCCAAACAUUUCUAAGUGUAAUUGAUAAGUGAAAUGUUUGGCCCUAGAUAUCUACAAUAAUUUUACUGCUUCAUUAAACACUUUUUAGUACUUUUCAACUUGAAAUUGAUGAUGAUCAUUUAAAUAUUUUUCAAUAAAAAAUACGUUACAAAAAAUAUUGCAAAUCUAGGGCCAAACAUUUCUAAGUGUAAUUGAUAAGUCAAAUUUUUUUAUCUAAUUUUUAAAUUAGAUAUCAAUUCUGAAAUAUUAAGGCUUCGUUUUGGGAUUGCGGGAAGAUUACGUUACGUACCUUGUUUGUUUCCGUACACGAGUCGGUUACGAUAUAUUUUCUGCAGUCCCACCGGAGAACGCAGAAGCUGCAGUCCCAUCGGAGAAUGCAGAAGCAUAUCUUUAUAUACUUUUUCUUCAAUUCUAUUUUAUCUAAUAGCGUUAGAUAGACCUCAAUACUAAACUAAGUCUAAAUCAGUCUAUAGUCCCAUCGGAGAACGCAGAAGCUGCAGUCCCAUCGGAGAAUGCAGAAGCAUAUCUUUAUAUGCUUUUUCCUCAAUUCUAUUUUAUUUAAUAACGUUAGAUAGAUCUCAAUACUAAACUAAGCCUAAAUCAGUAGUAAAUCGGCGUUACUAAAAUGGUCACUGGUCUAUCAAUUAUUUUUUAACAGUAUAUUCUGAGAUGCUCACAGGCUUCAGUACAAGAGGCUGUGGUACAACUACUAUUUGAACGGGUACGAGUUGCAGUGUUUCCCUGCAGGGUUCACUUAACUCCUCUUCGCAUUGUUUGAAGGACAUUGCAUUUGUCCCAAAAUUUAAGCAAACCUUUACAAUGUUGUCGGUGGACCCGGUAUCGAAUGCACCAAUCCAAUCUCGUGAUGUUCGGAUCCCAAACAUCAGUUUUAUAUCCAAUUAAUAUUGUUCUAUUCAUCCGAAACCCGUCCCAAUAACCAAAAGCUAACGCUUAACAGUAGCACCCCAGUUAAGUAGGUCAUCAAAUUUCGCAUUCGAUCUCAUACGGGUAUAUACGGGUCCCCCACUAACCUAAAUGGAUGGAUUGGUUUAAAUGGAUCAGUAUUCUACCCUAUGACAGAAGGCUAUGUUAGGCCUAUUCAAGUUCAAGAUGGCAUGAGGUUAAGUGGCCAAAGUCAUGUUCGAAAUAACGUGAGGUUGGUUGAGUCAAAUCAUAUUCGAGACCCGUAGGCGUUAUAUUUGUACGCUUUAAGUGAGUUCAUUAUAUAUAUUUAAUAACUCGAGCUCUUAGAAUUAAUAGUUAGCGCCAACGAUUCAUAAGUGGUAUCAAAGCUAGUGGUGAUUCCAACAUGCUGUAUUAACAGUGCAGGUAUUGAUGAGGGGGAUUAUUGGCUAUUUAUUAUUGGAUUAAAAUAGGUCAAACUUUCUGCCUCGUAAAAAUAGACCUAGGAGACUAUGAGACUAAUAAGUUGAGUUGGAUGAGCCUAAUAAGUUGAGUGGGAUUGCGAUUCACAAGAGAGCUAACGGCAAGAAGUCUAACAAUAGACCUAAUGUUCAGAUAGAUUGAGUCAAGUUGAAGCCCGUGAACACUGUAGUUGAGCUCUUAAGUGCGAUUAAUGUGCCCUUCCGAUCAGUACCUAAAUCCACAAAUCGUACCUAAAUCCAAAUCAAAAACACCCUCCAACCUUGUGUACAAAACAAUGUUCACUUGACUCGUCAAUCUACAACAAGAUUGGUGUUAGCAAUGGUUUACUUAUUUUCUAAUCCUUUCUCCUCAAUUGGUGCUUAAGCUAAGAUGGAGCCAAUAACUUAUAUUUAUAUAUACAUAUUUGUAUAUGAAGUUACAUUUUGUUGUACAACAGCGAUGGUUACAUAUAUACGAGAAUGUUGACGGCGAAAUCCGAACCACUAGUAAUACUGGAUCUAUCCUUUAAUGGAUGAUAUAUAUAUAUAUUAGGUCGAAACGUGCACGUAAAAGCGUGCUCGAUUAGUAGUUGAUCAUGUGUUUUAAUGAGUUGAUUUGGGAGUUUGCUUAUUUAAUUCAUCAUGUGUUUUAUAAGAAAGUUAAUCUUCAAAAUUCAUUUAUUGACUAAAUCAGAAGUACUUCGGUCCCACUCUAAAGAUUUUGUUUAAACUAAUUUCUUCAUAGUUAUCAAAAAUUCGUUCUCUACAUGCUGAAACAUGAGAGAUAAAAACAAAAAUUUUGGUAUGUAUAUAUAAUGUAUAAUAAAGAUAUCUGUGGAUUUUGAUUCUAAUGAUUUUGCAUAUUUUAAAUUGUGGCUUUGGUUGCUCUCAUGGUUCCUAACCAAAAACAUAAGGUGGCAAUCCAUGAUAACUUCUUUUCUCUUUUUUUUUUUUUUUCCUUUUUUUUAAAAGGGUUACAUUGUUUUUUCAAAUAAAAAAAAUGGUUAAUUAUGAACUUACACAUUCCUUCUCACUUAAGGCUCCUAGUCAUGUAUCUAACUCUCUUCUCUAAAUGGCCCAACAAAUCUCUUUUUCAAAUUGCCCUAUUGCUUGCCUUUAUAAAGAUGCCAUUCCCUUUGAAUGCCCGCAUCCAUCAGUGUCAUUGUAUCAUUUCCUCAACAAAUUAAAAAAAAAGGCCAUCACUGCACCAUUGAUAACUACUUUUAUUAUUUUUAAUUAUAGAAGUAUAAAAUCGGCUGUGUUUAGCACAAAUGACAAAAGACUUGAUGGUUGACAUUCGAUAUCUCAAAUUCCAAACCUAAUUAUUUCACAUUUCACCAACUGUCUCUAACGCAAGUGGCAAAUGACUUAGCAGUCCUGAGUUCGAAUCCUAGUUGAUUCAUAUUUUUAGUUAAGUUUAUUUUUAAAUGAAAUAAACGAAGCAAAUAGUAUACUGCCUAUCUCUCAAAAAAAAAAUUUAUUUCAUAUUUUCGGCUAAAUUUAUUUUUAAAAAAAAAAUAAUUAAAAAGAUCAAAGCCAUGAGUUACGUUGUUCAUACUAGCUCAUACUCCAUUAUGUACUACAAAAUAUUAUAUCCUUAUUAUGUUAGUCCCCUUUUUUAAAGGGGAAAAAAAGGAAAACCCUACAAGAGGUUGAUUGAUCAUGAGAGAAUAAACAUAAAAUAAAAAUUAGGUUAUUUGCUACGUUUGACCACUAACUUUUACUCAAUUUUCACUUUAUUUUCUAACUUUUUAUUUUUAUUUUCUGUUUUUCUGCUUAUAGGUUUCCAAUAUUUAUAUUUUAUUUUAACUAGGUUUUAAGUAUUCAAAUUUUCAUUCAUUUUAACAGAAUAAAUCAGUAGUUGCACGGUUUUUAUCUUCUCAAUAUGGCGCGAGAUGGCCUUUUCACAUCCAAGAUUGGGUUGCUUUUUGAGUAGGGAUGUGAACGAGUCGGAUUCGGAGCGAAUUUUCAAAAAUUCGAACCCGAACUUGACUUCAAAUUCAAAACCCAAAUCCGAAAUUGAAUCUGAACCCGAACCCGACGGAUUUUAAAAAUUCAUAUUCAAACCCGAAUCUAUCCAAAUCAGAAACUUGAAUCCGAACCUAAAAAUCUAAAUCCGAUCAUCCUUUUUUAAGACGUCGUUCGAUUUUGACCAUUCAUUUUAUGCGCACUUGAUGGACUUUAUUAUGAUUUCGAAAAUUUACGAAAUUUAUUUUCUAGAAGUUUCAAAUACUUUAAAUCAUAUUUAACGGAGUUAAUCGUCGAUUCGGAAGCUCCAUCAUUGAAAACAACUUAUGAGUACGAAGGCUCCAAUACUCGUAAUAGUAUAGUAGUCAUGGCCUAUAUAUAUAUAUAUAUAUAUAUAUAUAUGUAUAUAUAUAUAUAUAUAUAAUUAGGCUACUAUACUAUCUAUAGUACCGGAGCUCCGGUACUAUAGUCUUGUUUUCGAUCUUAGGGUGUUCAAAUUAACGAUCCACACCGUUAAAUAUGAUCUAGGGUAUAUAAAGUUCUUAAGAAUAAAAUUUUAGUUUUUUUCGACAUUGUUUACUUAGUAAAUAAAUUAUGCCAAAAUGGAUGGUGAAAAUUGAAUAAUCUUUAAAAUUUGAGAAGUUGAGACUCUUUAAUUCAAGAUCAAGAAUAUUAACCUUAAUCUAGAUAGUUUAAAGCAUUUUCUAUCAAAAUUUGAAGAAAUUUAGAUUCUUCUACACCGUUAAACUCCAAAUUCGCCAUAGUAGCCAUUGAAAAUUGACAAUUUUGAAAUGAUUUGAUCAUAAAGUAAACUAUAUCGAAAAAAUAUAAAUUUUAUUUUAAAAACUUUAAAUACCCUAUAUCAGUUUAACGGUGUAGAUCGUUAAUUUGAACACUCUAAGAUCGAAAAUAAGACUAUAGUACCGGAGCCCCGGUAUUAUAGAUAGUAUAGAAGAAUAGCUCUUCUCUCUCUCUCCUCUCCUUUCAUCUCUCUCUCUCUCUCUCUCUCUUCUUCUCUCUCUCUGCUAUAUAUAUAUAUAUAUAUAUAUAUAUAGUACGUCACCCGUGCUUUCGAAAGUAUAGAGGCCUUCGUGCUUGUAAGUUGUUUUCGAUUAUAGGAUAUCCGAUUCGACGAUCGGCUCCGUUAGGCAUAAUCUAUGCUAUUGGAACUAUCUAGAAACCAAAUUUUAUAAUUUUUCGACAUCAUUUACCAAGUGAUCACAGGGUGUCAAAAAUGACUAUUUUAACGGCCGAUGUGACACGUUUUUAAAUUCAACGGUGUAAAAGUUUUCAAAUUAUAUGAAAUUUUAAUAGAAAAUUCUAUUUAAUAUUAAGAGUAAGAACAACACUUCCGAUUUGAAAUUUGAGUCUUUUAUCACUGUUUUUUAUGAGAUUUUUAUUUUCGGCCGUUCAUUUUGAAGCUACUUGUUCACUAGGUAAACAAAGUCAAAAAAUUAUGAAAUUUGGUUUUACCCUGAAAGUUAAGUCGCUAGCCAAGGCAAUUUAUACUAAUGCAAUAACUUUGAUAAAUUNNNNNNNNNNNNNNNNNNNNNNNNNGAUUUGGAUAUUUCUACACCGUUAAACUUGCAACCGGCUCACCAUGGCCGUUAAAAUUAUUGAUUUUGAGCCCCUUCGAUCACUAGGCAAAUGAUAUCGAAAAAUCGCAAAAUUUAUUUUCUAGGUACUUCAAAUACUCUAGAUCAACUCUAACGGAGCCGAUCGUCGAUUCGAAAGUCGGAACAUCGAAAACAACUUGGAAGCACGAAGGUAGGGAUGCAAAUGGAUCCGGGUUGGUGGAGCUCCGCCUCGAUCCGCCCCGAAUGGGGUGGUAAGUGGGAACAAAAAAUAUAGAAAAAUAUAACCCGCCCCGAAUCCGCCCCGAUCCGCCAAGUAAAUGGAGCGGGAGGCCGGAGACUCUUUUCUUCCUUCAAUCUAUCCCGAUCCGUUAAAAAUCCGCUCCCGCCCCGCUCCCGCUCCGAUCCGCCCCGAAUGGAGCGGUAAGUGGGAGCCAAAAAUAAAAUGAAAAGUAACUCGCCCCGAAUCCGCCCCGCCCAGAUAAGAAAUGGAGCGGGAGGUGGGGGAACUCUCCCGCCCCCGGAUCCGCCCCGUUUGCAUCCCUACACGGAGGCCUCCGUGCUUCUAUAAGCAUACCAGCCCACUCUAUAUAUAACAGAAAAAUAAAUGGCUGAAAAUGAAUACUCUUUAAAAAAUGAUGAUAGGAGUCUUAUAAUCAAGAUCAAGGGUAUAGAUCUUGUUUUAAAUAGUUUAAAGAAUUUUCUAACAAAAAUUCAAUUGAUUUAGAUAUCUUUACGCCGGUAAACGAGAAAACGCCUCUUAUUGACCAUUAAAAUUAUAAAUUUUGAAAUCCUUUGAUUAUUAGGCAAAUGAUGUCGAAAAGAUUUGAAAUUUGAUUUCUAAAUACUUCAAGUGGUAUAGAUCAUGUUCAACGCGGGUUGUUGCUUCUUGAGUUCGCGCCACCAGCUCUUGGGCUCGGAGCUUUGGAUCCGGGCGCGGGAGCGGCGGCGCCGCCGGAGGGUUGGGCUUCGCCUCCCCUUCGUCGCUGGUCCUUCGUUCGAGCUCUCCAAUAUGGCGCAAAUCGGGAUCUGGUUUUGCUCUUACUUCUUGCUAGGGCUUUUGGGCGGCGGCGGCCUCGCUUCGUGCUCUCGGGGGACAGCUUCGGCUGCUGGCCGACUGUGGAGGGCGGCGGAUUAGGGUUCCGGGUCGACGUUCGCCGUCACCGCGUCCCUUGUGCUGGAGCGCGAUCGCAGUCGCGCUUUGUACACGGCCUGACGAGUGUUCGACCGAAAUGCCCAACCAGAAAGAACAUCAAAGUAAGUUACAAAGGAGAAGUUUUUAAUCAAUCCAUUCCAUAACUUAAAAGAAGGGCCACAGCAACUCAACACUCUCCGCUGUUAAUAUCUAAUGAGUAAACAUUUUAUCAACUAUUAAACUUAAACUAAAUUUCACAAAAUCUUUGAUUUAUUUUAAAUCAAAACAAUCAAAGUUAUACAAAUGCACAAUAGCUUAUAGUUAAAGGGUGUCAAUGCAAUUUUUCACCCUGGAAAAUCUGAAAAGAAAGAGAAGAAGCUGGCAUGUGGGCAUAAAACUCCUUCCAUGUGUUGGAGGAUCUUCUUCACCUUCUUCUUGCAUCCCUGGCAAUGGAUGGACACCUUCAACACAAAAGUCUCACACAAACCAAACAAAGAAAAGAAAACACCCACAAAAACAAAUUAAUGGUCGUGUAAGAUUACUAAAAGAAGAGCUUUAGAGCCCUAGAGAGAGAGACAGAGAGAGAGAGAGAGACACCUUAUAUUGUAAUGGUUCUGUUGUCGCUUCACCUGAAGCCAUUUAUAGAAGUUAAGUUCACACAGAAAGAGGGAAGGAGAUGGAAUGAGUGCUUGUAUUACACUAGAGAGAGAAAUGGGUGUUGGUUGAGAGAGAGAGAGAGAGAGAGAGAGAGAGAGAGAGAGAGAGGUAGGCGAAGGUGGUUUUGAGGAGAAAACACACACACCACACGUGCGCACAAACGCACAUCACACACACUGUUAAGAAGUGGGUGUGAGAGGGGUUUUUAGAGGCAAUAAGCCAUCCUUUAAUAAUGGCUAAACAUGGCCCCCCUAUUUCACUAAAAUCACAACUUUAUUCUUUUAUAAAUUAAUAUAAUUUUAUCCUAACUAUAAACCAUUCUGAUAUAACUAUCUAAUCUAUUAAAAUUUUGAUUUUAAGUUAAAAAGUUAACUACUAGCUCAAAUAAAAAAAAAAAAUAAAUUAGUUUCCAGUAAAAUCAAAAUCUUUAUAAGUUAGAUAGCUCAUCGAAAUACGGUGAUAGUUUUGAGAUAGAUGCUAUAUUAUAUUUUAACUUAUUUUUUUAAAAAAAAAAGAUAUUUGCGGGCUAGUGGGUUUUUGUGUUAAUGAUAAAUAAAGCUCAAAUCAAUAUUAAAUGGCCCCCAUUUUCAAUAUCUUAUGUUUAGGAUGUGACUUGACACCGCACUUAUAUUGUAAAAUUGUUGGAUUAUUAGGGUUUAAAUGGAGUACAUUUGGAUUUUUGGUUGCUGUUUAUGGCAAAUUUUACAACAACUUUUGGAGGAUGAUCAUGAGUACACCUCGUUCCUUAGCAUGGAAUCUCAAAUUGAUAUCUUGAUAGAAACACUUCAAGAGAUAAUUAGUUGAUGGUAAACAUUUUGGCUUUGGGUCUCAUUAUCAAUGCGUGGUUUGUAGGUUAAAUGUUACACAUGAGCUAUUUAGGAUCUAUUUAGUCCUACGUACCGUAGGGUAUGAGGUGAUUAACAAAGUAGUUGUAUUGAUAUAUUCCUCCUUAGGAGAAAUGACUGAUUUUAAAUCUCGUUAACAACCUUUCUUCAGUAGUAAAAUUAGAAACAUCCAAGUUUUAAGCAUAGCUCUUCAUAUUUUAGAUUCAAAGUAGGUUUUGUAAUACUUUGUUUCGAGUAAUAUUGCAGCUAGAAAUAGAAGCAGAAGGCAAGCAGGCUUAAAGAAUAUUCUUAAGAGCAUUGAUAGAUAAUUACAAUUUUCACACAUCUGAUACACAUUGUGACCACGUAUAACGAGUGAGUAUGUGUGCGAAUUUUGAAAACACAUACAUGAAAAUGUGAAAGCCAUCUAUUGUUUUGUUGUUGUUGUUGUUAGUUUGUUCUUGUUUUCUUUUUUUUUUUCAAGUAUGCUUAUUUAGUUCCUCGAAAGAAGUAGAGAAUACAAGUAUUCUUGUUGAAGCCUUCAAGUGCCAUUGUAAUAUUCUAACCACCAAUAGUUUCCUCCGCCAAGACGAAAAUAUUUCACUGGGCAUGCAUGAAUAAGGGGCAAGGGCCAUAUAAACAUAGAUCAUUUUUUCAGGUAUCCUUUUUAACAUACAAAAGCAAUCGCGCUUUUCUAUUUGUCAUACAUACUUUUGGCUAGGGGACGAAUACUUGUUACUGAAAAUGAAAUAGAAAUCAGAAGACAUGUGAGAGUUCCAGUGAUUAUUGGUCUGGUUACAAGUAUUUGGAUAGAUGCUGACUCGCCAAAUUUGUGAACGUCUAUUUCGAGUGAUCCGAAUCGGUCCUAACCCCAGUCAUUUACAAAAUUGCAAUUACACUACUUGUCAAGACUCGUUAAACAUCUAUAUAUCAAUGAGAUAAGAUUGUUGACUCAUGUCGUAUGACCAAAUCAAAGAAAAAGAUGGUGUUAUAUAUAUAGUAUAUAUUAUAUAGAGCAGUGGCUGCUGUGGGCUCUCAGGAGUGCACGGAGGCCUUCGUGGCUCUUGAAGGCCGAUUUUCGAUGAUUGAAUUUUCAAAUCACGAUCGCCUCCGUUAGACUUGAUCUAGGCGCAUUUGAAUUUCUAUGAAAUAAUUUGCUAUUUUUGAUAUCAUUGUACUAGUGAUCAGAAAGGAUUCAAAAUUCAUGAAUUUUUAAUGGUUGAUAUCGCCGUUUAUCAAGUUCAACGAUGUAGAAGUAUUCAAUGCAGAUGAAAUUAUUGAUACAAAUAUUCUUUAUACUAUCUAUAACAAGAUCAAUAUUUCUGAUACGAAAAUUUUGAGUGCUAUAUCACCACUGUUUUAUAGAAUUUAUUAUUUUCAAGCUGUUAAAAAUUAUUGAUUUGAAUCCUUUGUAUGCUAGAUAAAUGAUAUCGAAAUUACAAAUUAUUUUCUAAAAACUUCCAAAAUACGCUUUAUCAAGUUUAACGAGCCGAUCGUUGAUUCGGAUAACUCCCAUCAUCGAAAACGGCUCAAGAGCACGAGGCCCCGUGCUCCUGAGAGCACAGCAACCCUGCUUCUAAUAUAUAUAGUAUGAUUAUAUAUAUUAUAUAUUAUAUAUAUUAUAUAUAUAUUGAGUUGAGCUAUAUACUUUUACAAGUAUCACCAUCCGAUGGUGCUAUUUGGUUUUAGCGCAUAUGGAUCUACUUUUUGAUUAUUAAUAGCCCUUGAUUAAACACGUAUUCCCCUACCACCAUAGCCUUAACCACUAUCAUUUCAACCUCAAUCUCUCCACAUCUCCAAAAGCUAAAACAACAAGUAUUGCAUUCCCAAUGAUACUUUUUACAAGUAUCUAGCCCUACUCUUAUUAUAUAUACAGGCAACAUUCAUUAUUUUGGGCUCCACGGCUAUGUAAGAAAGGUAAAUUAUGUAGUAAACUCUUUGACCCAUGCAACUCUUAAAGAGUCAAUUUGCCGUGUUGUUUGUCUCUCUCUAGAGUGUUCGAGAGAGAAAAGAAGAGGGUGGUUGUUUUUUGUAGUGUGCUUAUGUUGUGAACGAUCAUUUGGCUUUAAAAUAAAAGAACCCAAAUAAAUUAGAUUUCAUUUAUGUUAUCCGAUAUGUUCUUUUGUCUCUGUUUUAGAUCAAUUCUCGAUUGAUGAAUAGCACGUAUAAUCCUAUGACAUAGUUUAUGCUGUACGAACCAAAAACACUCUUUAUUCAGAAAAAUAAAUUCCUUGGUAAGCUAAAUCAGACUAAGAACAUGUUGCCUUUAAUUAUAACUUAUGAAGUUUUUUAUAUCAAGAAAGAGAAAAUAUAGGCCCAUUCUUAGAACCAUCAUUGCAUAGAACUGAGUAACAAAAAAAGGGCAUAGAUAUUAAACAAUGGUAAGCAUGAACUUAAUUUGUUUUUAUCUUAUGUCAAAUAAUUAAUAGACAUGCCUAUAAAAUUAUUGACGCAAGUAAUAUUAACAAUGGUAAAUUGUUUACGCUAGUCAUUUAUUCUAAGAAUUCGAGCUAGAAUAUUUUUAGAAGAAUCACCGUCCUCCUUGGUGGCUAUAGGUUUUUAGCCAUUGGAUCUACUUUUGAUUACUAAUAGUCCAUUGGAUCAAACACAUUCACUCCACACCUACCACCAUCCAUCUCAACCUCACAUCUCCCAUCAAUGCGUUAAAAAUUUAAAAAUACCACUCCCCCUUGGUCGCUUUUUGAGAGUAUUCUUAUUCAUUCCCAACUGCAGAAAGAGCUAAUAAGAGCUAUGCUCCUCCUUCGCUGCCAUGCUUUCAGAAAUGCCACAUGUAAUCAUUAAUUAGCUGCUCUGACCAAAUUGCAAUUCAAAAUAAAGGCAAAAGAAAAGUGGGGGAAAAGAUGACAGCAAAUAGCUUGCAUCGUUUCUUCACGUGGAAUUGUUUCUUUUCUUUCUUCCUUUUUUCUUUCACCCACCCUCCCACCCCCCUGUUCUGAAAGCUCAAUGUUAAAUGCUUAUCUAUAUCACUUUUAAUGGCAUGUACUCCACAAUUCUCUAUUUAGCUAAGCCUAAGGUUUGGGUUUCCCCUCAAAUGUUGGACAAGAACAAAAGGAAUUAUGAAACGCAUACUUCCAACUUCCCAGGCAGGUGAAGUUUUUUGUUGUACUAAGUGUAAUACUUUUACUUGCGGGUGGAAAGUUGGUGUCAUGAGGAAAUCACAGUUUGCUUUUGCUGUGAUGCAACUGUCCCGAACAACUGGAGACUAACUUGCAACUCCUUUUUUUUGCAGGUUUAAUUUCAGGCACACAAUGGAAAGUUGUGGUGGUACAGAGAGAGAGGGAGAUGAGAGAGAGAAAGCAGGGAAUUUUUUCUGCGAACGCAGGUUCAACUGCAUGUCAGAAAUAGAUCAAUUAACCCAUUAUUGGCAAACCCUGCCCCACCCCUUAAAACAUAAAAUUUUCAUAAUGCCCCAAUUUGGAUGUGAUUGGUUUAAUACCGGAGUUGUCCCCAAGUAAUGAAGAAAGUUUAUAAAUUUUCAAUAUUUAUUACAGAAACAUUCAAUUAAAUAAGGUUUGUCGGCUCUUUUGUCACCAUUGCUUCAAAUUCUGCUUUUCAACAGUACAAAAUUAGGUUUUUUAGCGGAGCACCCCAAUCUUGGGUCACUAUAAAAAUUUUAGAGUUUUUAAAUAACGACAUUUUCAAUUGAAUCUUCCUGAUGAUUUUUAAUAGCCAUUACACCCUACUAAAGGUGCGUAUAAUUCUUGUUUGAAAAUUUAUAAUGAAUUAAAAACAGUUUUUAUUAAAAUGCCCCCGAAUACUAAUGACAGUUUUUUUAAAUUUUUAUGUUUAAGCAUGUAAAUAUACGUGGUGGACAGGGUCCGGGCAAAGUUCCUCGAUAGUGAGGUAUGAUUUGUGCGCAAUAAAAUGAAAUGAUCACAUAGGAGGGGGAAGGUACAAAGUUUGAUCAUAUCUGGGUGAAUGCCAACUGAUACCUUUGCAAAUAAUUUUUGAUCAUUUUAUGUGUGGUUUAAAUGCUCGAAUCUUGGCUACCAUCACACCCACAGUAGAUUCUAUCAAGUGUGUGUUCACCUGCACUGUCAACAACUGAUAUCUAACUCAGAACCCAUGAGCAACAACCUGGCAGACAGUAAGCUCUUCGUGGAUCCAUGCGAAUUAAUAUUUUAAAAAAUCAGGUGGAAUACGAAACAGUGGAAUAAAGUCACUGAUGAGUGAAUCAAGUGCAUUCAGUCUAUACAUUAUUAUGUUAAUCAUUUAUUUAUUUUUAAACUUAAUUAUAUAAUUAUAUGUAUAUAUUAUUUUAGGAUAUGGAGCUGAAAUACUAUCAAAAGUAGUACCUAAGUUAUUAGUGUUAUUAGGUUUUUGAUCUUUGGAUGAAAAAAACUAUUAUGAUUAGGCAUGAUGUGGCGCUCUUAUAAAGGGUUGAAUGAGUUAUGUUAUUUAUUAGUGUAAUCUAAUAAUUGAAAAUAGUUAAAAGAUUAAAUCUAAGGCGGAAAACUUAGUCAUGGGUUAAAUCUAACCGGAAAAUUUGAUAGCGAACCAAACGGUUGGUGGCUAAUUGAUAGUAUCGCAGCGAUAAUUACAGUAGUUCUGUGCUCUCAGGAGCAACGGAGGCCCUCCGGCUCCUAAGUCAUUUUUGAUGAUAGAAUUUUUCAAAUUGACAGGAUCGGCUCUGUUAGACUUGAUUCUAACGUCAUUUGAAGUUUCUAGAAAAUAAUUUUUCGCCGCUUUUUUUAUAUCAUUACGUCUACAAUCGAAAAGGAUUCAAAAUCAAUAAUUUUAACCGGUUGAAAAUGAAAAUUCUAUAAAAAGUGGUGAUAUAGCAACUAAGAAUUUUCGAUCAGAAAUAUGAUCUUGUCUGUAAGAUAGUAAAGAAUUUGUAUCAAUUUCAUCUGAUUUGAAUACUCUAUAACGUUAAACAUUGAAAAGCGGCAAAUUAUCAACCAUUAAAAAUUAUUUGAUUUUGAUCAUUUCGAUCUAUCUAAUAAAUGAAGUCAAAUGGAAAAAUUAUUUUCUGAAACUUCAAAAUACGGCUACCAUCAAGUCUAACGGAGCCGAAUCGUCGAUUCGGAAAUUCAUCAUCUGCACGCUCAGGACACGGAGGGCUCCGUGCUUCUGAGAGCACAGCAACACACUCUAUAUAAUAUUAUAUAUAUAUAUAUAAAAUUAUAUAUACAAAUAUAUAUAAUAUAAUUGAGCUAGAAUAUACUAUCGAUAAGCAAACGGGCUCCGUUCGCCCACCCAUUUAUCGAUGAUAGACGCCCUCUAAAUCAACGAUCGAAACACCAGUAUUCUAUCUCAAUUAUAUAUAUAUAUAUAUAUAUAUAUAUAUAUAUAUAUAUAUAUAUAGUACAGCUCCUACACUUUUAAAAAUACAGAGGUAUUCUUAUUUUUAAGUUAUUUUCGGUGAUAGAAUAUCUGAUUUGAUAAUCAGCUCCAUAAAAUAUGAUUUAUGUUAUUAGAAUUAUUUAGAAAUCAAAUUUUAUAAUUAUUCAACAUUAUUUAUCAAGUGAUCAAAAAAUAAUCUAACAACUCCAUAUAUAAAUAACUGAAAUUUAUAAAUAUCAUCUCCCAACUGCAUGUAACCAAAUAAAAUAUAAUACUAUUAAUCACAUAUGAAUAGUAUUUAUUAUUAAUUUUUAAUCUUUGGCUUCAUAAUUGUACUACCAUUAAAGAGUAAACUCACUCUAUACAGUCAAAAAUUAGAAAGUAGAAAGCAAAUGUUAUUAUUCUACUAUCAUAAUAUAACUACAGUAUUCUUAAUUACAUUCAUUCCAAACUAUAUUAUGUUUAUAAUUAUACCCAACCAAAUUAACCUUUUUUACAUUUUGUAGUCAAUUUGGGGACACAUUCUAUUUCUAUUUUCUGCUCAAAAACAAAAACAAAAUAGCUUUUACCAUGUACUAAUGUUUUAUAAUAAAAUAAUAAAUAAAUAAAAACUUACACCUUCACAUGGUUUGUUAACUGUUUAGGUGGUCAAACUCUGUCUACAGACAUUGUCAGAUUGGUCAGCCUUAAAUCAACCUCAUUUGUACCCUCUUGAUUUGAGUUUAAAUUUAAAACACCCUCUCUCUCUCUCUCUCUCUCUCUCUCUCUCUCUCUCACUCACAAAAAGAUGUGAGGAAUCUUCAAGUACAUCAUACUUAUCUUUGCAUUACUAAUUUUUUAAAAUAAAUUAUAGUUACAUAAUCUUUGUACAAUAUUUAUUAAUCAUUUAAAAUGAAAAGGUUUAAGUUGUUUGGAGUUUUUCCAUAGAACUCUUUCAAUAACUGCAAAGAAAUUUACAUAUUUACACAGCUAUUUUCAAAGCCAAGGAUUCUUUUUGAGAAAAAAUAACAUACUAUUCGUGUCAUUUAUUUUUUCGUAAAAAUAAAUUUAGUUGAAAAUAUAAAUUAAUUAAGAUUCGAAUUUAAAAUUUCGAACACCAACCAUCAUAUCUUUUGCCACUUGCGGGCGACCGGUAAAAUAGAUAUUGUUUCAAUAACCUUCGAUUUACCUCCUUACGGUUUAGCUCAUGUUAACUUUUUUAUUAUAUGAUUUAAAAAACUUAGCUAUUUGGUAAUUCUAUUUCUAUUUUUAUUGAAAAAAUCUACUGUCAAAUAAAAUACUAAAAAACUUUUGAUAAUCAUAAAAGAAAAUAGCUGUGUAAAAAUGUAAAAAUGUAAAUUAUAAAAUAAAAAUUAACUGUCUUGUAAAAUUUACAGGACGAGUUAUUGUAAUAUUGUAAUGUAGCAUGUGAAUCCGCCGUUUUUUUACACAGCUAUUUUCAAAGCCAAAGAUAAAUAUUUUUAAAACUUUUAACUACAGGAUGAUAAAAUAAAAACGAGCCAAAUUACAAAACAAUUAGGCGUGAUUUUUUGGAAUUAAAUAGUGGGAAAAUAAAAAUUAGUUAAACUAGGUAUGAUGUUUACCACUGACUUAGUUUUUUAAUUCCUUUGUAGAACUAUAAUACAUCCUCUAAGCACAGGAAAAAAGAAAAGGACUACAAAAUUACCUUAACUCCAUAUCAUUUGUAGCAUUAAGCCCUCACUCAUUGCAUGCAUUUACUUUACUCUAUUACUAAAAUAUUCGAACUUACUACUGCAAAUAUAUAAAUAUAUAAGAAGAGAUUAAUUAAACUCACCACUGAGUACAUAAAACACAAGAUUAAGAAAAAGAAAAAGAAAAAAGAAAAAAGAAAAAGAAGAUACAAAACCCUCCCAUUUGCAAUUAAUUACUCAUAAGCCCCUAAUUAUAUAAUAUUAAUAUAAAUAAUAAUUAUUAUUAUUAUUAUUACUCCUUUUUCUCACAUCACACUACACGACUCCGCGUUCUCGUCGUCGAACAUGUCGUACGACUCGUGCGGCGUCGCCACGGCGGAGCCGGCGCCGCCGUAGUACGGCGGCGGAGGGUAGGGCGCGUAGAGGUAGGCGUACGACGGUGACGGCAACGGUGGCGGCGACUCGGGCGCGGCCGCGUAGUAGUAGGCGUGGCUCGCGCUCGGCUGCGCCUGGUGGUAGCUCAUCACCACGUACGGCGGCGCCGCGUGCGGCGGAGGCGGAGGGUACGACGGUGAGUAGGAGUACAGGGCGUCGUGGUGGUGCUGCGGCGGAGGCGGCGGCGGAGCGGCGGCGGCGGCGGGGGCGGCGGAGGGGGGAGGAGUCUCCUUCUGGGGCUUCUUCCCCUUCUUCGCCUCGGCGCCGCCGCUAGGUUUCCCUUCUUCCUGCGCCGCCGCGGCGCCGGGGGGCGGGGCUGGGGCGGCUAGGGUUUCGGGAGGUGCGGUGUUGGGUUUCUGCGAGCUCUCUUUCGCGGGUUGUUGCUUCUUUGAGUCGCCACCCUUCUUGGGCUCCGGAGCUUUGGGAUCCGGGGCGGCGGGAGCGGCGGCGUCGCCGGAGGGCUUGGGCUUCGCCUUCCCCUUCGUCGCGGUCUUCGUUUCCGAGCUCUCCAAUGGCGCAACGGGAUCUUGGUUUUGCUCCUUAUUCUUGCUAGGGCUUUGGGCGGCGGCGGCGCUCGGCUUCGUCUCCGGGGGGACGAGCUCGGCCUGCUUGCCGCAGCUGUGGAGGCGGCGGAUUAGGGUUCCGGGGUCGACGUUCCCGGUCACCGUCACCUUGUGCUGGAGCGCGUCCACGUCGCACUUGUACACGCCUACGAGGUGUUCGACGAAAUGCCCCAACCAAAAAGAACAUCAAGUAAGUUACAAAGGAGAAGUUUUUACAAUCAUUCCAUAACUAAAAGAGAGGCCACACAACUCCACACUCUCCGCUGUUAAUUACUAAUGAGAUAAACAUUUUUAUCAACUAUUAAACUUAAAACUAAAUUUCACAAAAUCUUUGAUUUAUUUUAAAUCAAAACAAUCAAAAAGUUAUACAAAAUGCACAAUAGCUUAUAGUUAAAGGGGUUGUCAUGCAAUUUUUCACCUGGAAAAUCUGAAGAAAGAGAAAGAAGUGGGCAUGUGCAUAAACGUACCUUCCAUGUGUUGGAGGAUCUUCUUCACCUUCUUCUUGCAUCCCUGGCAAUGGAUGGACACCUUCAACACAAAAGUCUACACCAAAACCCAAACAAAGAAAAAAGAAAACACCCACAAAAACAAAUUAAUGGUCGUGUAUAGAUACUAAAUAGAAGAGCUUUAGAGCCCUAGAGAGAGAGACAGAGAGAGAGAGAGAGAGCACCUUAUAUUGUAAUGGUUCUGUUGCUGCUUCACCUGAAGCCAUUUAUAGAAGUGUUAAGUUCACAAGAAAGAGGGGAAGGAGAUGGAAUGAGUGCUUGUAUUACACUAGAGAUGGAGAAAUGGGUGUUGGUUGAGAGAGAGAGAGAGAGAGAGAGAGAGAGAGAGAGAGAGAGGUAGGCGAAGGUGGUUUUGAGGAGAAAACACACACACACACACGCGCACACGCACACACACACACUUUAAGAAGGUGGGUGUGAGAGGGGUUUUUAGAGGCCAAUUAAGCCAUCCUUUAUAAUGGCAAACAUGGCCCCCCUACUUUCACUAAAAUCACAACCUUUAUUUUUUAUAAAAUUAAUAUAAAAUUUAUCCUAACUAUAAACCAUUCUGAUAUAACUAUCUAAUCUAUUAAAAUUUUGAUUUUAAAGUUAAAAAGUUUAUAAGUUAGAUAGCUCAAUCGAAAUAGGUGAUAGUUGAGAUAGAUGCUAUAUAUAUUUUAACUUAUUUUUUAAAAAAAAAAAGAUUUGCGGCUAGGGGGUUUUUGUGUUAAAUUGUUAAUAAAUAAAGCUCAAUCAAUAUUAAAAUGGCCCCCAUUUUCAAUCUUUGUUUAGGAUGGUGACUUGACACCCACUUAUAUUUGUAAAAUUGUUGGAUUAUUAGGGUUUAAAUGGAGUUACAUUUGGAUUUUGGUUGCUGUUUAUGGCAAAUUUUUACAACAACUUUUGGAGGAUGAUCAUGAGUACACCUCGUUCCUUACAUGGAAUCUCAAAUUGAUAUCUUGAUAGGAAACACUUCAAGAGAUAAUUAAGUUGAUGGUAAACAUUUUGAGCUUGGGUUCUCAUUAUCAUGCGUGCGUUUGUAGGUUAAAUGUUACACAUUGAGCUUAUUUAGGAUCUAGUUAGUCCUACCGUACCGUAUGGUGUAAUGAUGAUUAACAAAGUGUUGUUUGAUAUAUUCUCCUUAGGAGAAUGAUGAUUUUAAAGUCUCGUUAACAACCUUUCUUCAGUAGUAAAAUUAGAAACAUCCAUAGUUUUAAGAUAGUGCUUCAAUUUUUAGAUUUCAAAGUAGGUUUGUAAUACUUUGUUUCGAGUAAUAAUUGCAGCUAGAAAUAGAAGCAGAGGCAAGCAGGCUUAAAGAAUAUUCUUAAAAGCAUUGAUAGAUAAUUACAAUUUUCACACAUCUGAUACACAUUGUGACUCACGUAGUAACAGUGAGUAUGUGUGCGAAUUUUGAAAACACAUACAUGAAAAUGUGAAAGCAUCUAUUGUUGUUGUUGUUGUUGUUGUUGUUGUUCUUUUUCUUUUUUUUUUUUAAGUAUGCUUAUUUAGUUCCUACGAAGAAGUAGGAGAAUACAAGUAUCUUGUUGAGCCUCAGUGGCAUGUAUAUUCUACCACCAAUAGCUUUCCCUCACCAAAAUUUUCAUGCAUGCAUGAACUAAGGGGCAAGGGCCAUAUAAACAUAGUCAUUUUUUUUCAGGUAUCCUUUAUAACAUCAAAAGCAUCACGCUUUUCUAUUUGUCAUAUACUUUGCUACGAAUACUUGUUACUGAAAAUAGAAAUAGAAACAGAAGACAUGUGAGAGUUCAGUGAUAUUGGUUGGUUCAGUUUUGGAUCGAUCGAGCUCGAGCCAAAUGUUUGAACGUCUAUUUCGAGUGAUCCCCAAUCCGGUCCUACCCAGUCAUUUCAAAAUUGCAAUUACACUACUUGUCAAACUCGUUAAACUAUCUAUAUAUCUAUGAGAUAAGAUUGUUGACUCAUGCGUAUGACCAAAUCAAAGAAAAAGAUGGUGUAUAUAUAUAUAUAUAUAUAUAUAGAGCAGGGCUGCUGUGCUCUCAGGAGCACGGAGGCCUUCGUGCUCUUGAGCCGUUUUCGAUGAUUGAAUUUUCAAAUCAACGAUCGGCUCCGUUAGACUUGAUCUAGCGCAUUUGAAGUUUCUAGAAAAUAAUUUUUGCUAUUUUUUGAUAUCAUUUACCUAGUGAUCGAAAGGAUUCAAAAUUCAUAAUUUUUAAUGGUUGAUAUCUGCCGUUUUCAAAGUUCAACGAUGUAGAAGGUAGUUCAAAUCAGAUGAAAUUGAUCACAAAAAGCUUUAUACUAAUUAUAACAAUGAUCAAGUAUUUCGUGAUCGACCCGAAGCAUCUUUAAGUGCAUGAUAGCGUCCCACUCUGUUUAUAAGAAAUUUUUACUUUCUCGCAACUCGUUAGACAUUAGGAUUUUCGAAUCUCUUUUGAUUUGCUAAAAGACAUAAAUACCUAUCCGGAGAAAUUACAAAAAUUAUUUUCUAAAAAAACUUCAAAUACGCCUUUAUCAAGUUUAACAGUAGCCAGACGUGUGAUUGCGUCGGGAAAACUCCAUCAAUUGCGGAAACGGCGCUCAAGAGCACGGAGGCCCCUGCUCGCUGGAGAGCACAGCAACCCUGGCCUCUACUAUACCACUAGUAUAGGAGAUAAUAAAUAGGUUAUAUAUAUAUAUAUAUAUAUUGAGUUGAGCUAUGAUACUUUUACAAGUAUCACCAUCAUGGUGCUAUUAGGUUUUAAGCCAUUGGAUCUACUUUUUGAUUAUUAAUAGCCCUUGGAUUAAACACUAUUCCACCUACCACCGCCUACCACUAUCAUUUCAACCUCACAUCUCUCCAUCCAAAAGCUAAAAACACACAAGUAUCAUUCCCAUGAUACUUUUACAAGUAUUCUAGCCCUACUCAUAUAUAUUAUAGGGCACAUUCAUUAUUUUGGCGGCUCCACGGCUAUGUAAGAGGUAAAUUAUGUAGUAAACUCUUUGACCCAUGCAACUCUUAAAGAGUCAAUUUGCUCGUGUGUUUCUCUCUCUAGAGUGUUAGAGAGAGAAGAGAGAGGGUGUUGUUGUUUUGUAGUGUGAUUAUGUUGUGAACUCAUUUGCUUUAAAAUAAUAAAGAACCAAAUAAAUUAGAUUUCAUUUAGUUAUCGGAUAUGUUCUUUUGUCUCUGUUUUAGACUCAAUUUCGAUUGAUUGAAUACACGAUACAUCUAUAUAGUUUAUGCUGUAACCGAAAAAAAACACUCUUUUAUUCAGAAAAAGAAAAUCCUUGUAAGCUAAUCAGACAAGAACAUUUGCCUUUAAUAUAACUUAUGAAGUUUUUUAUAUCCAAAAAGAGAAAAUUAUAGCCAUUCUUAGAAGCCAUCUAUUGCAUAGAACUUGAGGUAACAAAAAAGGGAUAGAUAUAAACAAUGGUAAGCAUGAACUUAAUUUGUUUUUCUUUAUGUCAAAAUAAUUAAAGACAUGCUAUAAAAUUAUUACCAAGUAUAUUAACAGUAAAUUGUUUACUCAUUAUUCUAGAAUUGAGCUAGAAUAUUUUUAGAAGAAUCACCCUCUUGGUGCUAUUAGGUUUUUAGCCCUUGGAUCUACUAUUUGAUUACUAAUAGCCAUUGGAUCAAAUACUAUUCCACCUACCACCAUCAUCUCAACCCUACAGCUCUCCAUUCAAUGGUUAAAAAUUUAAAAAUACCACUCCCUUGGUGCUUUUGAGAGUAUUCUUAUUCUAUUCCCAACUGCAGAAAGAGCUUAAUAAAAGAGCUAUCUCCUCCUUGCUGUAUGCUUUCAGAAAAGCCACUGUAAUGCAUUAAUUAGCUGCUCUGACAAAUGCAAGUUUCAAAAGAAAUAAAGCAAAAGAAAAGUGGGGAAAAGAUGACAGGAAAUAGCUUGCAUGGUUUCUUAACUUGGAUUGUUUUCUUUUCUUUUCUUCUUUUUUCUUUCCCCCCCCCCCCCCCCCCCCCUGUUCCUGGAAAGCUCACUUUAAUGCUUUUAUAUAUCAUUUAUCAUGUACUCCACUAAUUCUCUAUUUAGCUAAGCUAAGUUUGGCUUUCUCAAAUGUGGACAAAACAAAAGGAAUAUGAGCAUACAUAUUCCAACUUCCCAGCAGGUGAAGUUUUUUGUUGUAUAAUGUAAUACUUUUACUUGGGGUGGAAAAUGUGUGUUCAUGGAAAUCACAGUUGCUUUGCUUGUGAUGCACUGUCCCUGAACAACUGGAGUACUAACUUGCACCUUUUUUUGGCAGGUUUAAUUUCAAGGACAAUGAAAGUUGUGGUGGUACAGAGAGAGGGAGAGAGAGAGAGAAGCAGGGAAAAUUUUUUCUGAACCAGGUUCACCAUGUCAGAAAAGAAUCAAUUAACCCAUUAUUGCCAACCCUGCACCCCUUAAAACAUAAAUUUAAUGCAUUGGAUGUGAUUGUUAAUAUCGGAGUGGUCCACGUAUGAGAAGUUAUAAAUUUUCAAUAUUUAUUACAGAAACAUCAAUUAAUAAGGUUUGGUCGGCUCUUUUGCCAUUGCUUUCAAUCUGCUUUCAACAGUAAUUAGUUUAGCGGAGCAUCUGGUCACAUAAAAAUUUAGAGUUUAAAAACAGACAUUUCAAUUGAAUCUUCUGAUAUUUUAAUACAUUACACCCUACUAGGUGCGUAUAGAUUCUUGUUUGAAAAUUUAAUGAUUAAAACAGUUUUAUAUUGCAAUCUAACAGUUUAAAUUUUUAUUUUUAAGCAGGUAUAUAUACGUGGUGGACAGGGUCCGGGCAACAGUUCCUCGAAUACGUGAGGUAUGAUUGUGCAUCAAAAUGAAAUGAUCACAUAGGAGGGGGGAAGGUACAAAGUUUUGAUCAUAUCUGGGUGAAUGCACUGAUACCCCUUUGCAAAUAAUUUUGAUCAUUUAUGUGUGGUUUAAAUGCUCGAAUCUUGUACCCAUCACACCACGUAGAUCUGAUCAGUGUGUGUUCACUCACUGUCCUUCUAACUCAGACCCAUGAGCCCCACAACCUGGCAGACAGUAAGCUCUCGUGAUCCAUGCGAAUUAAUAUUUUAAAAAUCAGGUCGAAUAACGAAACAGUGGAUCAAUCACUGAUGAGUGAAUCAGUGGCAUCAGUCUAACAUUAUUAAUGUUUAAUCAUUUAUUAUUUUUAAAUUAAUUAUAUAAUUAUAUGUAUAUAUUAUUUUAGGAUAUGGACUGAAAUACUAUCAAUAGUACCAAGUUAUUAGUGUUAUUAGGUUUUUGAUCUUUGGAUGAAAAAAUAUAUGAUUAGCAUGAUGUGGGCUCUAUAGGGUUGAAUGAGUUAUUUAUUUAUUAGUGUAAUCUAAUGAAUGAAAAUAGUUAAAAGAUUAAAUCUAACGGCGGAAAACUUAGUCAUGGGAUUAAAUCUAACGGCGGAAAAUUUGAUAGCACCAAACGGUUGGUGCUAUUGAUAGUAUCCCAGCCGGACUAAUAUAGAGUAGGGUUGCUGUGCUCUCAGGAGCACGGAGGCCUCCGUGCUCCUAAGUCAUUUUUGAUGAUAGAAUUUUCAAAUUGACGAUCGGCUCUGUUAGACUUGAUCUAACGUAUUUGAAGUUUCUAGAAAAUAAUUUUUGCGCUUUUUUUAUAUCAUUUACCUAGCAAUCGAAAGGAUUCAAAAUCAAUAAUUUUUAACGGUUGAAAAUAAAAAUUCUAUAAAAAGUGGUGAUAUAGCACUAAAAUUUUCGAUCAGAAAUAUUGAUCUUGUUGUAGAUAGUAUAAAGAAUUUUGUAUCAAAAUUUCAUCUGAUUUGAAUACUUCUAUACCGUUAAACUUGAAAACGGCAAAUAUCAACCAUUAAAAAUUAUUGAUUUUGAAUCAUUUCGAUCACUAGAUAAAUGAUAUCAAAAAAUUGGAAAAAUUAUUUUCUAGAAACUUCAAAUACGCUAGAUCAAGUCUAACUCCGUGCUUCUGAGAGCACAGCAACACACUCUAUAUAAUAUUAUAUAUAAUAUAUAUAUAUAUAGUUGAGCUAGAAUACUAUCGAUAGCAAACGGGCUCCGUUGCCACCCAUUUAUUUUCGAUGAUAGAGCCUCUAAAUCAACGAUCGACACCGUUGAACAUAAUCUAUACCACUUGAAGUGUUUACAAAUCAAAUUUCAAAUCUUUUUGACAUUAUUUGCCUAAUGAUCAAAGGGUUUCAAAAUUUAUAAUUUUAAUGGUCGAUAUGAGGCGUUUUCUCGUUUAACGGCGUAAAGAUAUCCAAAUCAAUUAAAUUUUUGUUAGAAAAUUCUUUAAACUAUUUAAAACAAGAUCUAUACUCUUGAUCUUGAUUACAAGACUCCUAUCAUCAUUUUUUAAAGAAUAUUCAUUUUCAGCCGUUUAUUUUUUUUUCCACUCGAUGGGUAAGAGAACAAUAUCGAAAAUAUAUGAAAUUUGAUUUCUAAACACUUCAAGUGGUAUAGAUCAUAUUCAACGGUGCCGAUCGUCGAUUUGGAGGCUUCAUCAUCGAAAACAAAUGGCCGGCAACGGAGCCCGUUUGCUAUCUAUAGCAUUCUAGCUCAACUCUCUCUCUCUCUCUCUCUCUCUCUCUCUCUCUCUCUCUCUCUCUCUCUCUCUCUCUCUCUCUCUCUCUCUCUCUCUCUCUCUCUCUCUCUCUCUCUCUCUCUCUCUCUCUCUAUAUAUAUAUAUAUAUAUAUAUAUAUAUAUAUAUAUAGUCCGGCUACUAUACUCUUAUGAGUAGGAUCGCUCUCGAACUCAUAGUUGUUUUCGACGAUAGAGUUUUCGAAUCGAUGAUCCACACCGUUAAACAUUAUCCAAAGCAUUUAAACCAUCUAGAAAUCAAAUUUCAUAAUUUUUCAACAUCAUUUACCUUACGAGCAAAAUGUCACAAAAUUGACAAUUUUUAACGGCCGGUAUAGGAUAUUUGCUAGUUUAACGGUGUAAAAGAAUCGAAAUCGGUUGAAUUUUUGAUAGAAAAUUCUAUUCACUACAUAUAUAAAGAUCAACAACUCCGAUCUUAAAUUGAAAGAUUCGAACAUUCAUUUUAAAGAUGUCGUUUGAUUUUGACCGUUCAUUUUAUACCCGCUUGAUGAAUUUUAUUAUAAUUUUGAAAAUUACAAAAUUUAUUUUCUAAAAAUUUCAAAUACUUUAGAUCAUAUUUAACGGAGUGGAUCGUCGAUUCAGAAGCUCCAUCAUUGAAAAUAACUUAUGACUAUGAAGGGCUCUGUACUCAUAAGAGUAUAGUAGCCCUAGCAUAUAUAUAUAUAUAUAUAUAUAUAUAGAGAGAGAGAGAGAGAGAGAGAGAGAGAGAGAGAGAGAGAGAGAAGUAGCAAAUGGGCUCCGUCGCUAUCUAUUUGUUUUCGAUGAUGAAGCCUCUAAAUUGACGAUCGGCACCGUUAAAUAUAAUCUAUACCAUUUGAAGUAUCUAGAAACCAAAUUUUAAAUUUUUUCGACAUUAUUGACCCGAUGAUCAAAGAGUUUCAAAAUUUAUAAUAUUAAUGGUCGAUAUGACACGUUUUUUUAUUUAACGGUGUAAAGAUAUUCAAAUUAAUUAAAUUUUAGUUAGAAAAAAAUUUAAAUUAUUUAGAAUAAGAUCUAUAUUAUCAAUCUUGAUUAUAAAAUUUCUAUCUUACUUCUUAGAGGAUAUUCAUCUUCAGCCUUUCAUUUUUGUGUCCAUUUGAUGGACAAGAGAAAUAUAUCAGUAAAGCAUGAAAUUUAAUUUCUAAAUGAUUCAAGUGGUAUAAAUCAUAUUCAACAGUGUCGAUCGUCGAUUUGGAAACUCCAUCAUCGAAAACAAAUGGAUGGCAAUGAAGCAUAUUUGCUAUCGAUAGCAUUCCAGCUCCACUCUCUCUCUCUCUCUAUAUAGUUCGAUUAUAGUGCUUUCGAAAACAUAAAAAAGAUAGUGUUUUCAAUUUUUUAACUCGUUGAUCAACCCUUUUGAUCAUUUCUAGCAUUUGAAUUGAUCAUUUCUAGCAUUUGAAUUAAUAUUGUUUUCCUAUGGAGACCAUUAAAUCUAAGAGGACUAGUCAAAAAAUCCUAAAAGAGACCAUUAUCAUCCCAACCUAUAGUCUUUGAUCUAAUGGCGAAAAAGUCGAAAACACUAACUCCUUUAUACUUCCGAAUGGAGUUUGGUUAUUAUACUAUUGAUAAUACAAAGCUCUUGAUACUAUCGAGCUUUUUGUCGUUAGAUAUACCUUUUGAUCAUUUCCACCCGUUAAGAUUAUAUUAUUCAACAAAUCACUCAUUCAACUCUAGAGAACCACUAUCAUCCUAAUCGUACAUUUUUUUAUCCAACAGCCGAAAACUCGAUAGCACAAAACGUUUGGUACUAUCAAUAAUAUAAUCAAUAGUAUAAUAGCAUAAUCCUUUCAAAAGUAUAGCAACUCUACACUUAUAUAUAUUCUUACAAUUUUACCAUAGUUUAACUCCAGCUAAAUUUCUAACUCAUAAACCUCUUCUCAUGAGAGUUUGAUGUGGUUCUCAAAACAUUAAUUAUUUUUUACUAAUGAUUUAAAAAAAUAAUAAUUUAAAAAUCAAAUCAAAUCCAAUCGGUCGGUUCGACUGUAACCUAGUCUAUAAAAUAGUAUGAUAUAACCGUUUGAAGCGAAUAAGUUAAAAAAUAUUUUUAACCAUUCUACCCGGCGAUUCAGUCAUCAAGCCGGCGAAUCAGUUUGAAUUUAAUUAAAUUGUUGGUAUUUUUUUUACUAGGUCAUAUUAAAAUAAAACGACUUAAAAUUAAUUUAACUGAUUUUAUAUUUUAUCAGUACAAAUUAUUUUUAUAAAAAGUGAAACUAAAAAAUUAAUGUCUACUGAAUUUGAUUUAGAAAUCAGUAUUUUAUAAUUAAAUAUGAUACCAAAAUAAUAUAUUAUUAUAUAUAAUAUAUAAUAUAUAUAAUAUAAUAUUAUAUAUAUAAUAUAUAUAUAAUAUAUAUAUAAAUAAAUUUUAAAUAAUAAUUAAAUUAUUCUGAUGACACCGAUUCACUCAGAAGGUCCGUGGUUUGGUCGAACUUGUAAGAAAUUUCUGGGUCUAGUUAGAUCAGUGUGAGUUCAAAAAUAUGAUAUAUUUAUUAAUAUAUAAUUUCAUUCUACAUAAGAAUUUAAGUCUUAGGUUUGGACAACUAGUAUUUGGGGGUGUCUGGCCCUACUUUUGAAAAGUGAUUUUGAACUCAAAAGUAAUUUUGAGCUCAGUAGAGUAUUUGGCAACAAGUACUGAAAAAAUCUGGAUUAGAUGUCAGAAUUAGAAAACUGAUUUUAAAGGUCCUAAAAUUAGAAGCAGAAAAAAGUUGCUUAUUAAAAUCUAAUUCUGAUUUUGGACUCAAACUUCAAAAUUUUAUUUUAAUUUUAGAUUCAAAGUUUUAAUUUAAAUUUAAUUCUAAUUUUUAAAUUUUAAAUUCAUAUUUUAAUUUUUAAAUUUCAAAUUUUCAAAUCUAAAAUUUAAAUUUUAGAUUUUUAAACUUUAAAUUUAAAUUUCAAAUCUCAAAUUUUAAAAUUUAAAAUUUUAAAUUUUAAAUUUCAAAUUUAAAAUUAAAGAUAAAAUUUAAAAUUUGACAUUUUAGAUUUUAAAAUUUAAAUUUAAAAAUUUAAAAUUUUCCUGCAUGACAACCAGAAAAGCUUACAUGUUGCGGACCUUGCUUCCAGGAUCCGGAAUCUGAAUUCGUAAAAAUUUCAGUCUUGAUUUUUAAACAUUUAAAACAUAUUUCUAAGUCUCCCAAACACUUAGAUAUGUAUAUAAAUCACCACUGAUAAUAAAAACACAUAUCUAGGAUUGGUGAGUAUCACGGAUGAGCCUUCACAAUUUGAACCUUGAAAGCGUCAUCUUCUUCAACCUUUAAAGACUCCAUACGACUUCACUAAAUCUGUCAACCUAAAAAUCCGUAAUACUAUUCACAUGUAAACUCUUAACGGAAUUAGUCGUUUCGCUGACUUGUGAUUAAUCAACAGGCUCAAACAGUUCAAACUGGUUUAUAAUCUAAUUAAACCUAUAGUAAGUAAGGUCUUUAGCAGAGAAUCGAACCGCUUGUCGAAUCAGUUCUCAGUUAACCCGGUCGGACCGGCCGGUUCGGUUUGAUUUUUUUCAACCUUGGAAAUAUAUAAUUGCAUGGACCCGAUUUAUCAGGUCACUUGAUAAUUAUUUAGCACUAAUUCCUUUAAUUGGAAACAUACAUGUAACGGGCGCUUAUUAAACCAUUGUGUGUUUUUGAAAUAUGAAUAUUAUAUAUAUUCUUAAUAUAUAGCGAUAUUCCUCAUUUGUAGGAUAAUGAUUGCGAACUUGGAAAAAUUAUUUUAGUGUAGUAAAGUUGUGCUCAUUGAAGUAUUAAUAUAUUAUUAUUAGAAAAGUUUUCUCUAACAAUUUUUUGCAUUCCAGUUUGUUGUCGUAACAAAAACUAAUAUCUUUUAUUUCAUAGAUACUUAGCCAUAAGGGUGUCAACGAGCUGAACACGAGCGAGCCAGUACCGACUCGUGUUUGGCACGAACUGUCUCGUUAAAGUAUCGAACUGACAAAUUCAGCUCGUAUUUGGCUCGUUGAUAAACGAGCCGAAUACGAGCUGGCUCACGAAUUGGUCAUCGAAUAAUAAGUUAAAAUGAAUUAGAUUGGAUAUAUAUAUAUAUAAAAUAAUAAUUUUAUAAGUUAAAAUGUUUCGAAAAAAUAUUCUAAUAAUAAUUUUUUGACUGGAUAAAUGUUUUCUAAACCAAGUGGCUUUUCUAAAGAUUUUUAUUUCAGAUUUCAUGGAAAAGUAAACUAUGGAAAAAAAAAAAUAAAAACAGUGUUUACUAUAGAUUUUAUUUUAUUUUAUUUUCAGAAAAAACAGGGUUUAGCUUUUUCAAGGAGCCAAAAACCACCUUUAAGCUCUUUCCUCUACAAUAUUAGAAACUCACUAGUAAACCAAAAAAGGAGAGUAAAGGAUGGGUAUUUAAUUACUGUUUAGUUGCUGUAGCUGAUCAACUUUUCAUUAAAGAGAGACAGAGAGGUGGGUUGGGUGAUUUUAAUGCUGUACAAUAAAAGCUGCUGCUGCUGCUGCUGCUGCACCCAGUGUGAAAUUACAGUAGCCAAAAGACCUGCACAUCAUUACACUGCUUUAUUAAUUAAUAAGGCACAACUCAAAAAGACAAAUAAUAGUGGCCAUAACUAUAGAGCACUAGUAUAUAUGUUAUUACGAGGAGCCCACCAAUAAAAACGAAAAUCAGCGAACACAAAAUAAAGUAGUAUACAAAGAUAAUCUAAAAUAUUUGAAAUAAAAAAAAAUAGAGUACGAUAUUGUGUUAAAGUACAAUACGUUGUAUCGCAUUUACAACAAAAAGAAGAAGAAAAUUUGCUCCUCAUUUUUUUUUUUCCUCACAAAAUUUUUUUUCCCAGUUUUGUCACACCGUGAAAUUGUCGGCGAAUUCGGGAUCCGAAUUCAGGUCGAUAACUAAAUUUCGAGACAUAUCUAAAAUAUAUAUUUACCAGUAUUGUACAAAUAAGUUCAGGGGAUCUGCAAGGAAUAUUAUUAUUGGAUGUUAUAACCUAACGAUAUUUAUCAGUGGACCUGAGCAAAUUUAUACCCCGACUCGAUCGUCUGACCCGCUCGCCAUUUUCUGAUUCAUUAUUAUUACAGACCCGAUAAAAACCCGUUUAAUUAAUCAAACGGAAUUUGGUCUAAUUUUUCGAGGCCUGGGCCUUUCUAAGGCCUGGGCCUAUCUCUAGUCUCACUUUGAGCUAUGGACUAAAUAGCUUCAAAAGCUUAAUAAGUUCCCAGAUAAUAGUAUUUUUUUUAAUAUUAAUAUUCAACAAUAUUUCAGACAAGGACUUGAAUUAAAUUGAAGAAAAUUAAUUAUACUAGGAGCCUGAUGAGAUUCGAAUCAGAACCUCAUAUUCGGAUAUCCUGAUAAGUUGAUGAAACAAUCGUUUUUCUGUAAAAGCUUAAUUAAGUUCCGAAAGAACAGUGCUUUUUAAUAUUUACAUUCACUAGUCUUUGCUAAGGUUUCUGUUGAAAUGUUGUUUAGGUAUAUUACUCAGAGCAAUUUUAACUUUUUUUUGUAUUAUUAUUAUAGUUCCUUGAUCUAGUCGCAUCUUUUGUAGCCGAAAGCAGAAGUUUUAAAUUGGAGCUAACCUAUAGUUGAGGUUCAUCAGAGAUUCAUUUUGGCUUCCUGCUUUAAUUAAUCAGAAACUAUUGAUCUUCUUUUGCCCAAACGCUUUACUUCUGCUUCUUAGAGUAGAGAAGCUGUUCCACGCGUUCAUACCAUGCCACGAUAGCGAACAUUAGGGAGAAAACAAAAACUCCGAACAACCCCUCUAUAGUUUAGCGUAUUUGCGCUAGCUUAAUUAAUUAUUUAGUUGUUUAAAUUUAUUGUACUUUAAAUUCUAGAUCACUUUCACGACCUGUCAAAGAGAGCCAUAGGUUUCAAGGAUGAUGAUUCUCUACGGAGGAAUCUGCUAGCAAUAGUGUGCUAAGCAUCAAACAAAAGAUGAGCACUAAUUUAUGGAAAGGAGAAUAAAAGUGGAUUAGUAAAUAAAUUGAUGUGCAUCCUUUUUCACUUUAACUUCUAUUUCUUUUCAUCUGCUGCAUCAUUCUUCUUGUAGGUGCCACAAAAUAAAGGAUGUGAAGCAAGCUUAGUUAGUGCUACUUUUGCCAUUAAACAAGAUUAUCAAAUGAAGCUUCUCUAACAGAGUUUCCGUGCGCAAAAAUAGUUUCAAUCGAAACUCCAUGAAUAAUUACGAAAGUACAUUGCACAAUCAUAAUCUCAGAUCACAAUAAGGUGCUGAAAUAAGAACGAUCGUAUGAUGUUAUAGUGAAUUGAGUCAAACUUGUUGGCUAUUUAUUAUUUGCUAAAAUAUGUCCAACUUUUUGCCCCAUAAAAAUAGGUCCAGGAGAUUAAUAAGAUGAGCUGAAUGAAUCUAGUAAGUUGAGUGAGACUGCGAUUCACAAUAAAUCUAGUGGCAAAAGACCAAUAAUAGACCUAAUAUUUAGUUUGAUUGAGUCAGCAGGUCGAAGUACGUUAGCACUGUGGCUUAUCCCUUAAGUGCGAUGGAUUUGUCCUUCCUAUCAGCACGUGCUUUUUAAAUAGUUAGUUGUGCUUACACUCCAUAAGACCUGCCAUGACUAGGUCUGGUUCGAUUUACUCAGACCUCGCAUUUAUCCCACGAGCCACUUUAAACGGGUUCGAUCUAAGUCUAUUAGGGUUUGCUCCAAAGGUUUGAAUCAAGAUUGCCAUCGCUACCUCCAUCGACUAAUAACGGGUCCAAGAGAGGAGAGCCACUAUCAAAUCAAGUUGUGCUAGCCUUUUUGAACCAUUGAUCCCUCCUCCCAUACUAGAAGAUAGGAUUGUGCAUUGUCUCUUCUAUGGAUACCUUAGCAAGUAGUGCACAUAAUGCAUUAAUCAUAUGCACAAUAUAAAUACAUAGUUAGAGCUAUGCAUUUAUCUCCAGCUUUUAUAGGAAUGGGUCUCAAGAAGACAAUGAGAUAGCCUAAUUUUUGAGAGGCCAAAAGUGUGUCCAACCCUAUCUAUAUGUAUUAUGUACCUUCGUUGCUUUAGUUAGUUACCACCCAAUUAAAAGGAGGGAUCACAUAAAGUUUUGAGCCAUUUGUGAUUGUGUAAGAGAAAAGCUUUCAUUUCUUUAAGAGCAUGUAGGGCAUCAUUAAUUUCUUCUUAAUUAGACUUAUUGUUUGGGAAUUAUAAGGUUAGUAAAUUAUAGUGGUUAUUUAAACAAAGAAGUUGGGAAUUAUAGUGCCUUUUCAUGUUUACAUAAAUAGUACAUAUAUAAUAUAUAAUGUAACUGCACAGAUAUUGAUCAUAUAAUUAGUUAUUAUUGACAGAACAGAAGUAUUAAAUCUAGUCACUGUAAAAAAAUCCAAUAUUUUUCUACUAAUAUAGCUGACAAAGUAAAGGAAAAUAGCUAAAAACACUCUUGCUUUUAGGAUAGGGAAUUUCAUGAUAAUUUUUUUUUGAAUCUUCUCUCGAACAUUUCUAAAGGAGUAAAAUUUAUGUAAAGCUCCAACCAGGACAAACCGGAUGUCAUAUAAAGCUCGAGUUAGGCAUUGAUCCUUUUAAUUUCUUUUUAUCUAAUAUCUACCUAUUUUAACUAAUCUUUCCACAACCUUUAUAUAUGUUGGGUGAUUAUCUUACAAACUUCACUUUUCCUCUUAUUCCUCUCAUAUUUUCUUUGUUGAAGUAUGUUGAAUUAGUACAAGAAAAGGUUUUGCGCAAAAGAGGAAAUGGAGUCAUGAUCGAUAAAAAUAAAAACUUGUUUAAAUGCUUAAAUCGUAGAAAUGAAUAUAUAUAACACAUGCAGAAACUGUUUAAAUUUCUGAAUAAUAGUUUUCUGAAUAAUUAUUUGUAGAUUUACUUAUAGUUUACAUAUGCUCAUAUGCUGUUAUGGCACAUAAUUAAUUAAUUCAACUUACUUGGAUACUUUUUUUCCCCUGAAAAUUGAAAUAUUAGACAUCAUCAUUUGUUUUUUUUUUUUAAUCUGAAUGAGUAGAAACUUUGAUUUUCAUGUAUAUUUUGAAAAUGGAACGAAACAUGCUCCUUUUAAAUAGGGCACAUAUAAUAAAAGUGAUGCUCCCCUACAUAUAUAUAUACACGCACGCGCAUGCACACACAUUAUGAUGUGCUCUUCAUGGAUCUCAAAUCAUCUUGUGAGAAUGCCUAACAUAAGAUGCUAGCUAGGAGGCCUUUCAUGGUCCAUAAUACCACGUUUGAAAUUUUAAAUGUGACAAUAUAUAUCCUAUAUAUCAUGUGAAAUUUAUUAUCAACAUGCAUGUAAACUCUCUCUCUCUCUCUCUCUCUCUCUCUCUCUCUCUCUCUCUCUCUCUCUCUCUAUAUAUAUAUAUAUAUAUAUAUAUAUAUAUAGAGUUGAGAUAGAAUACUAUCAGUAGCAAACGGGCUCCGUUGCCACCCAUUUGUUUUCAAUGAUGGAACCCUCAAAUCGACGAUCGGCACCGUUGAAUAUGAUCUAUACCACUUGAAGUGUUUAGAAAUCAAAUUUUCAUUACAUUUUCGAUAUUGUCUCUUAUCCAUAAGUGGAACAAAAAAUAAACGGUGAAUAAAAAUUCUUUAAAAAAUGAUGAUAGGAGUUUGUAGUCAAGAUCAAGAGUAUAGAUCUGUUUUAAAUAGUUAAAAAUUUUCUAACAAAAAUUUAAUUGAUUUGGAUAUCUUUACGCCGUUUAAACGAAAAAACGUCUCAUAUGCGACCAUUAAAAUUAUAAAAUUUGAAACCUUGGAUCAUUAGGCAAAUGAUGUCGAAAAGAUUUGAAAUUUGAUUUCUAAAUACUUCAAGUGGUAUAAAUAAUGUUCAACGGUGCCGAUCAUUGAUUUGGAGGCUAUAUCAUUGAAAAUAAAUGGUGGCAAUGAAGUCCUUUGCUAUCGAUAGUAUUCGAUGUCAACUAUAUAAUAUUUAUAUAUAAUAUAUAUAUAUAUAUAUAUAUAUAUAUAUAUAUAUUACUCAAAUCAAAUAUAUCUUUUAUCCUUUUCUCUCCUUCAAUUGGUGAAAGCCUUGAUCAUGCACCAUGGUACCGUUUGGUUCGGGUAUAAGCAAGAACUAGCUAUUACAGGGAUAGGUACAAGUAUGGGGGUAAGAAAAAUAGCGUUUGGAUGAAAAUUGGGUUGUUCCCGGGGAUAAGAAAAAUAUUAGGAAGUUUUAUAUAGAAAAUGGAGGUGUUGGUGGGGAUAACCGAGAACUACUAUUCUCGGAUAAAAAAUUAGUGUUUGGGUAUAAAGGGGGGGAUAAGGGCCUAUUCCUAUCCCUAUCCCCUAACCAAACGGUGGAGAGAAUAAGAAGCGAAUAAAGAAGACAAAUUAAAGAUUAAAUAGAAGAAAAGAUUAUUUUAGAAAAUUAAUGAAUAACUAAAAUUGGUAUAUGGCAUAAGAAUGUUACUUGCACUUUCGAUCUUUUGUACAGUAGUAUUAUAUAUACAUUAAUGCUAUAGUUCUCUUUGCCUUAUGCUCAUGGUUUGAGAUCACCAAAACAUAUUGGCCUUUGGAAAUUAUUCUCAGGGACCUCAUCACCACUCCAAAUUUAGAAAAUGUAAAAUAAUAAUAAUAAUAAUAAUAAGUUGAUGCCAUGUCCCCAUCGCACGUGUCACCAUGCAACAAUCCUAGGGGAUCAAAGUGAUCACAUCACGUGACCCCUCCCUUUUUAAUCUCCUUCACCAUAUCUUUAACUCCUUAUCAAAUCCUCUCAUUCUAUCUAAUUAAUAAUGAACCACUUUAAUUAAAUUGUUGCAUUUUAUUCCUCUUCUUCAACGUACACGAUCUCUUUCCAUGCAACUUAAUUAGGUGGAUUUUUUAUUUUUUAUGUGACAAUAUAUUCAUUUCAUCAUUUGAUGUAGAUAGCUAAGUGAAAAACCAACUUAUGUAGAAAAAGAUAAAAGAACUGCACAGAGCUUAACUUAUAUAUAUUCUACUUAAUUAUCUCACUUAAAAGUCUACGAAAAUCACACAUGCAUGAUAUACAUUAUACCAUGAUCACUCAAUGAACUCUAUAUAUAUAUAUGAUCACACAAUCAAACAAUAGUACAUGUUAAGAUCCAUCAAACAACUCACAAACCCUAAUCUUUAAACAAGCUAGCUAGCACACCAAUCUAGUAUUCACAAACACACUCUUAUUAUGAAAAGAGGUUAACAAAGGAGAGAAAUUUCUUUUCUCUUUUCUUUUUUUUCAUGCUUCUACAUGUCGAUGACACGGAAGGACUCGCGGUUCUUGAGAACGAUGUCGUACAUGUGCAUGGACUUGAAUUGGCUAAAGUCCUUCGGGAGUGAGAUGAGGUCGAUCGACGAAGGCUUGUGGAACUGCAGGAGGUCGAGGUCGUCGUAAUAACGUUCCCACCCUAGCCUCGCAAGCUUACUCUCGAGUGAGGCGUACGAAUUUAUUACUUCAUUGGUCGGGGUGUGGAGCAAAACCUUUCGUCGAACUGUCGAUGACUGCUCGUUUGCGGGGUUCUCCACGAGCCGCACCACACCGUUCCUAAACACCCAAACUCCCGACAUGUUUCAGGGUGUAGUGUGUGUGUGUGUGUGUGUGUGUGUGUGUGUGAGAGAGAGAGAGAGAGAGAGAGAGAGAGAGAGAGGGGUAAUGGCUAGGGUUAAGUGUACUUCAUGAGGUGUAUAUAUAGAUGAAGUUUAGGAGUUUAAUAUAGAUGAUCAAGAGCACAAAUGUAGGGUAGAGGGGAAAAAGACUUAAACAUAUGAUAGUACUUUGUGUGGGGUCUUUUGUUAGGGUAAAGACAUGCUAAAUGCUUCUUCCGGUGGCGGCAAACGAGUGUGAAUUAUAUCGACGUUAGGAAGCGUAAAUAUGCGACUGUGGAACCUGAUGACGGUCUCUCGACGUAGGCACGUAUUCCACAUAAAAUAGUGGAGGAGAAUUCAUGCAAUAAUUCUUGAUGCCAUGCCAUCUUUAUGUCAUUUAUAAUAGAUUACGAAGAAGAAUCAAAGAAUACAAGUACGUUACGGUAAAAGGUAAAAAAAAUAUUGUUCUCCGUCGAUGCAACUUUUCGCGCGAAUUAUGCCGCAUGCACUUCUUUGUAUAUUGAAUUAGAAAGAGAAUAAAUCGCGCAAUUUUCGGAAUCAAAAGGACUGUUUUUUCUUUGAGCAUGCGUUAAUUUCGCUUCCCUUUUUUUUCUGCAGAAUUACGAAAUGAUACUCUAUUAUACUUCUUCAUAGAAAUGAUACUCAAAUUAACUAAUUUAUUGCUUCAUAUAUUGCGGAUGGGGAAUCUUAGCAUAGUUAUGAAUGUAUAUAAAUUUAUUUUUUGGUACAUGGAGAAGUGUGUAAGUUUCAAUGGAAACUUGCCUAACUACUUUGAGACUUUGAACUUACUUAGCUUGAUCACCAUGCAUGCUUGCUUUAAGUAAUCCUAGCUAGUAGCUUUCCUAGCUUUUCCCUUUUUUCCUAGCUAAUUAAGCUUUAAUUGCAGCUUCUAUAUAUAUAGAGAGAGAGAGAGAGAGAGAGAGAGAGAGAGAUCAUUGUCCUUGCAAUAAUCUCUUCAUGGUCAAAUCAUGAUUUUUUGACCAUGCAUUACAGGAGAUUGAAGUGUAAAAAAAAGAAAAAAAAAGAAAAAGACACCGAGGAUCACUCACUGUCAAACUCAUUACACGUGUACGGCCCUGGAUGGAAAUAAAGUCACUGUUGGAUAAAAAGGUUAAAAAAAAUAGAUAAUAUAAUAGAUGGGGUAAAAGUAAAAAAAAUAAAAAAUAAAAAAUAAAAAUAAAAAAUAAAAAGGGUGGUAGAGGUUGAGGGGCCCACGUGAUGGACGGUGAAGAUUUGCUGCAGAAAUUAAAGAGCUGCUCUGUGGGCCGUACGUUUUGCAGCUUUCCUUAGAAUCUGGAGGAAUAAAAACUAAUAGGAUUAAUUUCAUAUAUAUCCCUAUAAAUACAGUAAAUUAUAAAUUUAUCUCUAUAAAGUUCAAUUUUUUUCGUAUGUUGUCCCAUCAAAAGUUUUAAUAUUUUUAAAUAUGUCCAUCUGGUUUGUUACCGUUAAAACACUUUAUUUUAUAAGUAAAAUGAUCUUUUUGUAAUCACAAAUAUAUCUCUUAAAAAAUCUCAAUUAUUAAUUAAAAAGGGGUAAAAAGAUCAAUUUAUCUCAUUAAUUAACUAGAGUUAAAUAUUUUAACUAUAGUUAACUAAUUUUUUCUAACAGAUCCUAACAGUUGGAACAUAUUUAAAAAUAUCAGGAUAUUUAUAGGAACAAUAUAUGAAAAUUAAACUUUGUAGAGAUUAAUUGUAAUUAACUAUAUUCGAAGGGAUCUCUAUGAAAUUAACCCAAACUAAUAAGAGAGAGAAAACCAUCCACUUUUACUGCGCUCUGAAUCUUAACAGAGCCCAACUAUUUAAUGAACCUCACUUAUUUUUACUUGUUAGUGUGGGACCCCCAACAUUGCACAUAAGCACUUCUAAUUCAAAAUUUUUUUUUGGGGGGUAGGGGGGGUGUACUGUACAAAACUAUUAAAUUUAUUUUCUAGAUAUUUUAAGUGGUAUAACUUAUUUUCAACAAUGCCGAUGGUCAAUUUAUAGGCUCCAUUAUCAAAAACAAAUUGAUGACAACAGAGCUCGUUGUACCGAUAGUAUUCUAGCUCAACUAUAUAUAUAUAUAUAUAUAUAGUAGAGUUAAUGUACUAUCGGAAGCAUAGAGAAUCUAGUACUUUCGAUUUUUUGGCCCUUAGAUUAACCCCUUUAAUCAUUUCUAACAUUUGGAUUAAUACUAUUAACCUGUGGGGACAACUCAAUCCUAGAGGUACUACUCAACCCUGGGGGGACCGCAAUUAUCCCAACCGUAUAAUUUUUGAUCCAAUGGUCAAAAAGUUGGAAGCAUCAGAUCCACGAUGCUUCCGAUAGCAUAGUAGCUCUACACUAUAUUUAUAUAUAUAGAGCCUCACUCUAUAUAUAUAUAUAUAUAUAUAUAUAUAUAUAUAUAUAUAUAUACGCAGGGUGCAUGNAGAGAGAGAGAGAGAGAGAGAGAGAGAGAGAGAGAGAGAGAGAGAGAGAAUGUAGUACAUUUUUGAAUGGUAGCUAGGGAAUCGAAACAUGGCAAUAGAUUUUACUUGCAACACUAGCUAUAUGUAUAUAUUGUGUGACAAAUUCUUUUUUUCUUUUUUUUCUUUUUUUUUUUAGAUAUAGGUAGCACGCUGCCCGCUUCGUUUAUUUCAUUUAGAAAUAAACUUAGCUAGAAAUGUGAAUCAACUAGAAUUCGAACUUGGGUCUCAGGUACCAACCACCAAGCCCUUUGUCACUUGCUCUAGGGACGGUCAGUUAUUGUGUGACAAAUUCAAAAGGAAUAAAGCUCAUCUUUGGUUCACAUUGUGCAUAUAUAUAUUGUCAAAGCACUAUGUAUAAAUUCAAAAGGAAUAAAGGUGGUGCUGAUCCUUGGUUCACAUUGUGCAUAUAUUGUCAUGCAUUUUGCAUGAGAUUCUACCCAUGCAGGGUCUAAAUCCAAAAUUAUAGGAUAAAUAUAUACAGCUUAAUUAAUUCCUUGCUCGAUCUCAUUGCCCAAUUCUUUAAAGUGAAAAAAAUAUUCUAAGAACCAUUAAUUGAGGGGAAUCCCAAAAGAAAAAAAGGAAUAUUAAUUCAGUAAAGUGCGCGUUGUUUGUAAUACACACACUGUAUGUACCAUGUCAUCCUGCGAACCAUCCAAUAAUACGCCUUACAUUUCAUGAAAGAGAGGAGAACAACAAUUUAGAAUGGUUAAUUUGGUCCUCAGUGUGAAACCAUCUCAUCUGCCGUUCGCUACGUGGAUGAGAUGAAUAUCAAAGGCACUUCGGUGCAUUCGACGGUUAUAAUUGUACAGGGGCUUAGAUGUCAUCAGGAUCCGACCCGUUAUGAACUUAUGAUAAUUAGAAUAUUACACAAAAAAUAAUCACACGAGCGCAUCUGGUGUAGUGGUAUCAUAGUACCCUCCCACGGUACUGACCGGGGUUCGAUUCCCCGGAUGCGCAAAUUUUAAACAUUUUUUACUAUUUUUCCAUGAACUCUUUUCUAAAAUUUUCCCUUUUUUUUCUUAACCUUGAACUAAACUAUCAAUUGUUUACAAUUGAUUGUAUCUUUUACUUACGAGGUAAUAGCAACUACAUUGGACACUCAGAAAAUUCGUGGAAAGGUGCGUUGUGAUUACAUUUCAAUCAUUUUUCACUAUUUUAAAUAAAGGUAAAAAUGAUGAAUCCUACAAGUCCCACAUAAGAUUAUGAUCAUUAUAUAUUUUCAAAAGAUUUGGCAACUUAUAAAGGAUUUUUGGAGUGCAUGAGUGUGAAUUGAUCAACAGUCCCUAUAUUAUAGAUAACGGUAGCACAUUAUUAGAAGAUCCGAUAAACCCAAUAACAAAAGUUAUGUAACAGUUUAGAACUACUUAAGCCCAGUUUGAAAAUUGCAUUUGCCACACACUGUACUCUAUUUGGAGCAGAGCUACUAUACUCUUAUGAGUAUAGAGCACUUCGUACUCAUAAGUUGUUUUCGAUAAUAGAGCUUUCGAAUCGAUAGUUCGCUCCCUUAAAUAUGAUAUAGAGUAUUUGAAACUUUUAAAAAAUAAAUUUUAUAAUUUUUUUAAAUCAUAAUAAAAUCCAUCAAGCAGGCAUAAAAUGAACGAUCGAAAUCGAACGACGUCCUAAAAAUGGAUGACUAGAUCUUUCAUUUAAGAUCGGAGUUAUUGAUCUUUAUCUAGAUAGUGAAUAGAAUUUUCUAUCAAAAAUUCAACUUAUAUCAAUUCUUUUACACUGUUAAACUAGCAAGUAUCUUAUACAGGCCGUUAAAAAUUAUCAAUUUUGUGACAUUUUGAUCGCAAGAUAAAUAAUGUCGAAAAAUUAUAAAAUUUGAUUUAUAGAAAUUUUAAAUGCUCUAGAUAAUGUUUAAUCGUAUAGAUCGUUGAUUUGGAAGCUCUAUCAUCAAAAACGACUUAAGAAUACGAAAGUAAUCGUACUCAUAAGAAUAUAAUAAUCAAACUCCUCUUUUAUAUAUAUAUAUAUAUAUAUAUAUAUAUAUAGUCCAAAAUGUUUUAAUUCAGUAACAGGCACUAAAUUGGGUACAAAUAUUUUGUUAGGUGCUCGUUCAGCUUCAGGUCAUUUUCAUAUAUUCUCUUUCAAUUUGUGAAUAUCUCUUCACAGUUCGAAAUACUAUAACUAAAUAUUUUUCUGCAGUCACUAGUUGGUUCAUAAAUGUUCAUUUCCAAUCAUUCCAAAAUAUUUUUAGUUAUGAUAUUUUGGGCAUAUUAAUUUUUAUAUAUGUUUAUGGUAAAAAAAAAUAUUUAGAAAUGUCAGUUAACAUAGUGUUUGCGUGAUAUUCUAAAUUUUGUAGGACAUCUAAGUAGUUAAGUGUUAGUAAGGUAAAUUAUUGAAUAAACUUCAAAUCACAAUAGAGCAACUGAGCCAAAAGUCCUCAGGCAUCUGUUUUCACGAUGUGUAUUCAGUAGAUUCGUAAUUGUCAUAGCUGACUGAGCUAAACAGUAUUUAGAAAAAUGCUGACUGAACUGACAGCCAGUUGGUGAGUCAUCUAAACUAUAGAUUGGCUAAUGCUGACCCCUUGCUACCUGUCAACUCGAUCAGAUGUUUGGUACUUCGGUGGGAGAAGAACAGUUUGUUUAAAUAAACAUAUCCUAACUUAUGAAUUCAAAUGCUUUUUCUUUUCUUUUAUUCUGUUUCGGUCCUGUUCAAAGGUCACUUACCUAACUCAUAUAGUUUAAUUUAUUUUUUUAAUGAAUGAAGCAGAUUGCGCGGUAUCUUUUUCUCGAAUAAAUUUUAAAUAAUAAUUUAAUAAUUAGAAAUUGGAAAUAUUAUUUUUUCGAUGUUCUUUUCCUGCAUAUUACAUCUUCUGCAAGGAGGUUCUUGCAAAAUUUUUGUGUACGGUAUAACAAUUAAUUCAUUGCUCAAUAAAUAAAUAUAAAAAUGCACAGCAUAUAGCCACUGUGCUUGGUACGCAGUAACUCGCACCACUAUUGUUCCCAACUACCCCCUUUAUAUUAGUACAAAAUUAUUGAUUACACUUGGUGUAUUAUUACGCUGCUAGGCUCGCCGAAUAAGUUAGAACUGCACGAUGAGGAAGGGCCAGUGGCUAGGGGUGGAAACGAGCCGAGCUCGAGCGAGCUUAUGUCAGCUCAAAUUCGGCUUGAAAUUAAUUUCGAGCCUAAAUCUAGGCUCAAGCUCGGUUUGAAAUUAAUUCGAGCCGAGCUCGAGCGAGCCUAAUUUCGAGUCGAGCCGAGCUCGAGCUCUAAACGAGUCGAUUGAAAUUCUCGACAUUAUAUAAUCAAUAGUUUAAUUUUUAUAGAACUUUACCUACAAUUUGAUGCAACAUGUCCAACAGUUCAAAAUACAAAAUAAUUAUAAAAAAUGUGAGCUAGGGUGACUUCCUGACUCGAUGAGGGUCUCAGAGAGAGAGAGAGAGAGAGAGAGAGAGAGAGAGAGAGAGGAAAAAAGUAGGGAUUUGAAAUAUUGAAUGUUAUCAAUGUUUUAAGGGUUAUGUGCAACAGUGAAAGUCUAAAAGAGAGAGUGUGUUAUGUAAAUUUAGAGUUGGGCUCAAUUGCACGUUUGUACUUGUUGGGUUUAUUUUAUGGGCGAACAAUAAUGGCCCAAAUUAAAUAAAACCUAUAUAUAAUUAAAUACAUUAUAUUUAUAAUAUUUUAUAUAUAUAUAUAUAUAUAUAUAUAUUAUAUAUAUAUAUAUAUAUUAUAUAUAUAAGUCCGGCUACUAUACUUUUAUGAGUAUUGGCUCCUUUAUACUCAUAAGUUUUCGACCCUUAAAUUUAUUCCAUUAAUCAUUUUCAUCCGUUAGAUCAUAUUAUUUAACCCAACUACCACUCAACCCCUAAAGAGGACCACUUAUCAUUCUAAGUGGGGACCAACCAUCAUCCUAACUACACAUCCCAUCAAUCAACGGUUAAAAAUUUAUGAGUAUAAGGGGGUCUAUAACUUAUAAGAGUAAUAGUAGUCCAGGCCUAUAUAUAUAUAUAUAUAAUAUAUAUAUAUAUAUAUAUAUAUAUAUAUAUAUAUAUAAUUUUUUUUUUCGAGCUUUUCGAGCUUUUCGAGCCUAAUUCGAACGAGCCGAGUAAUACUCAAGCUCGCUUGUAAAUGAAUUUCGAGCCUUUUAUUUUGUUCAAGCUCGGCUCAUUUAAUUUCGAGUCGAGCUCGAGCGAGCCGAAUAUCGAGCCGAACACAAGUCGAACGCGAGCCGGCUCGCUCGUUUGCCAGCCUACCUAGUGGCCCCUUUUAUAUAUAUAUAUAUAUAUAUUGAGAGAUAGGUAGCACGUUAUCCGUUUCGUUUAUUUUAUUUAGAAACAAACUUAGCUAGAAAUGUGAAUCAACUAGAAUUCGAACUUGGGUCUCAGAUAUCAAUUACUAAACCUUUUGUCAUUUGCUCUAGAGACGGUCGGUCCUUAUAUUAUUGCUUAUACUGGGCGUAUUCUUACAUCUUAUUCACUGGAUUCAAUAUUUACAAUUCGAAACGAUGCUACGUUUUCAGAUUUGACAAGCAAUUAUAAAACGUUUUCAGAUUUGACAGACAAUUAUAAAACUCUCGUUUAUUUGAAAAGCCAAUUCAGUUCGUCCGAAUCAGUGAAAAAGUAAAAUUUUUUUUCCAAUUCACCAUCCUAUCUCCUACUUCUUCUUUUGGCGCUCAUUAAAAUUUUACCGUAACUUAAAAAUAUAGUUUUUAGUUUUUUUUUUUUUUAUUGAUGUAACGGCGUCGGAUGUAGAUCGUGAUUGUACACAGUACAUAAUAAUACAUGGAUGCAACAACUACAAAUGAUGGUUUUAUAUAGAAUCUCAAACCAAAAUAUCUAAUCGCUAGUACUUUGUUGUUUCGCCAUUUCAGGAAAAAAAAACCUUCUGGUAAAUAAAAUUUACAAAAUAUAUAUUUUUUAAAAAUCGCAGCUGGAAUCAAAAAAUAUUUUUCGAUUUACCAUUCAGUGAUCUAUAAAUUAGAACUAUCAACGAGCCGAACACAAAAAAGCUGGACCAGCUUGUGUUCGGCUAGCUAGUUUAAUAAAUGAGUCGAACACGAGCUGACUUGUUAAUAUAUCGAGCUGAAAAAUCUAGAUUAUGUUAGGCUAGUUUAUUAACAAGCUAAAUACGAGGCAGCUGGCAAACAAGAAGUUAAAUUAUUGGGCUUACUAUUAGAUAAGAAGUUGAAUGAAUAUUAAAAUCAUAAAUUAAUAACUAAAAUUCACAAAAUAUAUAUUUCUUACCUUUGGGUUGACUUAAAAUUCAAAUGGUAAAACUUUAUAAUAUAUAUAACUAGGGUGUUUUUGGAAGCACCAAAAUGUUGGUGCUAACUAUAUAAUAUUUAUCUAUGCUACUUAAUCAAUUUUAGAGAUUCUUCGAUCGAAAAAAUUCAGCUUAUAUUUGGAUCCGAUCGUUUAUUUAACGAGUAGCUGAUUUUAAGCUCAUUUUCGAACUGAACAUGAACUGAUUUGCGAACGGCGGGGUGAACUGUCAGCCCUAUGAUAAAUAAACUUUAAUAUAUCAAUUCUUUCUUUAAUGACAGAUUCUUACCGAAAAUAGUUAAUUAACUUGAGAAAAUUGAAUUUAUUCAGCAAACUGAUCGAACUGGGGGAUGCCAUUACACAAGCCAUGCAUCCGUGUCAUGUUUCAGGAGAACCCAGAACAAGAACUUGGAUCAGAUGGGGAUGGAAGCUGCAGUUUUCUUCCAGGCAGGGCGGGCGGAGACGGCGUCCCACCAGGCCUCGACGUGGGGGCGGGCGGCGAUCAGCUCCGCCUUCGGCGUCUUCAUCAGAUAGUUGAUGUAGGGCAUGUGGUUCAGAUCCGCCAGGGUGAAUUCGUCCCCCGCCAGGUACUUGUUCUUCGCCAGCCGCUCCUCGUACACGUCCAGCACCUUCCCCAGCUUCGCCGCCUGCGCCUCCACCGCCGCCGCGUCCGUCGCGCCGCCCAGCAGGGGCUUGAUGAACAGCUGGAACACCAGCUCGGAGAUCGCCGGGCCGAACUGCUGCGCCUCCACCUCCAGCCACACCUGCAUGUUUGAUCGAUCGUUAAAUCUUACAAUGUCCAGACUAGUACAACGACCGUCUCCUAUCAGAUCGAUUAUUUAAUUGAUGAAAUGACUGUACAAACCAAACGUAAAAGUAUUGUUGGUGUAGCGAAAUUUUUGUAUCUCAAUUUGAUCGACUUGUUGGCACUUUUUAUAUUAUUUGUAACUAACAUAUAAUUUUUGAAUAUUACACCAAUAAAUUAUAUAAUUUUAAAAAAAAAUUUUUAUUACUUGGCAAUCAUAUAUAACGCCAACUCCUAAGUAAGAUUCUUGAUAUAGACUACUUGUCGGAUUGUUGGCGCUAACCAUUAAUCCCAAAAGCUCGAGCUGUUAGAAAUACGCAAUCAAUUCAUUUAAAGUGUACAGAUAUAGCACUCACGGAUCUCGAUUGUGACUUGGCCCAUCCAGUCUAACGCUAUUUCGAACAUGACGCGGCCCAUCCAGCCUCGCGCCACUUCGAACAUGACUCGGCCGACACAUGACCUCCCGCCGUAUGGCAGGAUGCUGGCCAUUUAAGCCAAUACUAAUAAUAUCAAAAUUAAUCUGCUGCUCACUUCUUUCGAAAGGUCAUUUCUAAAAAAUAUUCUUUUCGGUUUCUUGCAUAUGCACGGCAUGAUUUUUUUAAUUUUUAUCAUAUAUGUGAACAGAAAUAUUAAGACUAUUAUUAAUUCUUAACAUAGAGAAAGAGAAAACCUCUAGAGCGGCCGAUCCGGCCGGUAGGAGCUCCUCUCCGGAUUCCUUGUACUUGGUCGCGAGGUACCGGUUUAUCGCCCUUGAUUCUGCACCAAGGGCACACAACUCCAUCAUCCAACGGCUCAGAUCGUUUCUUAAAUUCUUUAUUCAAGUAAAACUUUUAAAAAAAAAGAUAAAUUAAGGUAUCUACCUUAAAAAAAAAAGAAAAAAAAAAAUCAUAAAAGGUAUAGAGAGAGAGAGAGUGCAUGUGUGUUUUACCAAAGAGCACCACGUCACCGUCUUGCAGCACGGGGAUCUGGCCGAAGGGCUGCAUGAGAUAUUUUGAUAGACUCGUGACGUGAAUUUUAAUUAAAUAUUAUAAAAAAGAAUUAUAUGAAAGAACGGUUUAUAUCUCCGAAAGAUUUUACGUUGAGGGCGAGGAAGUCGGGUUGCUUGUGGGCGCCGGUGCGGAGGUCGACGAGGGCGAGCUCGUAGUCCAAGCCCUUCUCGUUGAUGGCGGCGACCACUCUCACCGUGUUCGUCGACAUCGCCAUCCCGUACACCUUCAACACCCCCAUUCUCUCUCUCUCUCUCUCUCUCUCUCUCUCUCACUAGGUAGGUGGGAGGGGGUUUCUUAAAAAGAGAGGUGGGAGAGGAAGAAGAAGAAGAAGAGGGGGAAGUAGUUUAAUGUGGGUACACGAGGAGGAAUUCUACACUGUCACACUUGCACCACAUUAUCAAUAACAAGUCAAUCAUAUUUCUUCUUUUCAAAUAAAAAUAUAAUAAAAAUAUUUUUUUACAAUCAUGAUGGACAUAUACCUUUAAAAGAAUACAUUUGAUUGAUUUAUUACGCCACGUCACCAACAUAUUCGUUGCACUUUAGAAUUUUUCGUACACGAGGGGUAGGUACGUGCGUAGUUCUGAAGAACAACUGCAAACAAAAAUAAGAUGAGGACAGGUUUUUUUUUUUUUUUCUUUAAGAGAAAGAUAGCUUACUAGCUAAAGCAAAAUUAAGCUUCAAAUUUAAAAUUUUACAAUUUUAUUCACCUUUCAUCUUUAUCGUGUCAUCGUCUCACAUUCGAAAUGGUACACCGGGUGCACUAGUUUUGUUUCUAAAAUUUUAAUUUUAAUUUUUUCAUUAUACUUUAAUUAUAUAUAUAUAUAAUAUAUAUAUAUAUAUAUAUAUAUAUAUAUUAUAUAAUAUAAAUAAUAUAUAUAAUGAUAUUUUAAAUAUAUAUAUAUAUAUAAUAAUUUAGAAAUUAAGAUUUAAAUUAUUUUUACAUAUAUUUUUAAACCUAAUAAAAAUAUAUAUAUCUAUUAUAUUAAAUUAAAAUUUUAAAGUAAAAAUGGUACACCGGGUGCACCAAAAAAAUCCCGCAGCUCUCCAAGAGGCAGAGCAGAGGGACGGUGGCCUGCGUGGCUCGGGUGCCACGCGCGACAAUCAAGAGUAUCCUCAAAAAAAAAAAAAAAAUUGGACAUGCUGUCCAUAAAAAAUUUUUGUCCCCCUAGUUUGCUGAUCUUUUUCAAUGAAAAUUCAUACAACUUAUGUAGACCAUUUUAAAUUAGAUAUUUAAAUUUUUAAAAUUUUGAUUUUACUGUUUAAUAUUUUAAUUUGUUUGAUUUAUAGACUUUUUUACUUCAAAAUUUAUUCUAAUUAUUUAUUUUAAUGUAUUUAUAAUUGUCAAAAUACAAUUUAUUAACGAAAUCUGUAACGAUAAACAACAAAUUCAAAUUUUAAAGUCCGACUAAUUCAAAUCAAAUAAAUUAAAAAAUUCAACAGUAAAACUAAAAUUUUGAGAAAUUGGGUGGCAAACUAAGCAUGAUCCAAAGGUUAGGCACGCUCCAUAUUUUUUUACACUUUUCUUUUUCACUUGUCUUGUCAUUCUUUUUAAAAAAAUAACUGGCAAUUUAAAAAAACGUUAAUUUUAUACACUUUCCUAUAAAGUAUUAAAUAACAAAUAUAUUAUAUAAAACUUAAAUUAUUAAAUUUAUUUAUUUAAAAGUUCUCUGGUUUGUAAAUAUAGUUCUCCAAAAAUUCUGUUUCGUUUAUAUAUGCCUUUAUCAUUUGAUUCACCGUUAAUUUUUCAACGAUGGGUAUAUAAAAUGACUAUUUUGUACUUAUAAAUUUAUUCCUGGAAUUAAAAACUAUUUUUCUUUCACUCUCUCUCCUCACCUUCGCGAUGACACGUGUGAUUUUUCUCAUUUCUGCCACAGCCGAGGGCCUCACUUUCACUUUCAACAUCGCUGCUCAAUAUUAGAAUAGAAAUUAUUAUAUUAUUACAUAUAUAUAUUGCAACGACUCAACCCGCUAGCAACAAUAACUUGUUAGGCCCAAACCAUCGGCCCAAAAUACUUAAGCCCAGUUAUUAUUACUAGCAUGUAGGCCUUAUAUAAAUUGAUCGAAAUCAAUAUCCCAUCCGAUGUGGGACUAUUGGGGCAUUACAAACUUCCCUUGUUUAGACCCUGAUGUCCUCGUCGGGUUCAAACCAGAUCACAGACAGACAGACCAGGACCAGAAUUACCAAGCGAUGUGAGAUUCUAAAGGUGGCUCCUACGGGUUCAAGAGGUUGCUCCCACCAAACCCGUUGGUGUGGGACAUUCAAGAGGUGGCUCCCACUGGUGGCUCCCACCAAAUCCGUUGGUGUGGGACAUUCAAGAGGUGGUUCCCACCAAACGCGUUGGUGUAGCAUUUUGUCCCGCAUAGCACUUAGCUCUCAUAUUUUCGGCUGGUAUUCGGCUCUGAUACCAAUUGCAACGACCCGACUCGCUAGCAACAAUGACUUGUCAAGCCCAAACCACCGGCACUCUAAUACCAAUUGCAACGAUCCGACCCGCUAGCAACAAUAACUUGUUAGGCCCAAACCACCGGCCCAAAUGCUUAAGCCCAGUUAUUAUUACUAACGUGUAGGCCUCAUAUAAACUGAUCGAAAUCAAUAUCCCAUCCGAUAUGGGACUAUUGGGGCAUUAUAAACUCUCCCUAUUUAGAUCCUGACGUUCUCGUCGGGUCCAAACCAGAUCACAGAUAGAUAGACCAGGAUCAGAAUUACCAAGCGAUGUGAGAUUCUAGAGGUGGCUCCUACGGGUUCAAGAGGUGACUCCGACCAAACCCGUUGGUGUGGGACAUUCAAGAGGUGGCUCCCACCAAAUCCAUUGGUGUAGCACUUUGUCCCGUAUAGUACUUAGCUCUCACAUUUCCGGCUGGUAUUCGGCUCUGAUACCAAUUGCAACGACCCGACCUGCUAGCAACAAUAACUUGUUAGGCCCAAACCACCGGUACUCUAAUACCAAUUGCACGACCCGACCCGCUAGCAACAAUAACUUGUUAGGCCCAAACCACCGGCCCAAAAUGCUUAAGCCAAGUUAUUAUUACUAGCGUGUAAGCCUCAUAUAAACUGAUCGAAAUCAAUAUCCCAUCCGAUGUGGGACUAUUGGGGCAUUACAAACUCCCUCUGUUUAGACCCUGACGUCCUCGUCGGAUCCAAACCAGAUCACAGGCAAACAAACCAGGACCAGAAUUACGAAGCUAUGUGAGAUUCUAGAGGUGGCUCUUACGGGUUCAAGAGGUGGCUCCCACCAAACCCGUUGGUGUAGCACUUUAUCCCGCAUAGCAUUUAGCUCUGACAUUUCCUGCUGGUAUUCGGCUCUGAUACCAAUUGCAACGACCCGACCCGCUAGCAACAAUAAUUUGUUAGGCCCAAACCACCGGCUCAAAAUGUUUAAGCCCAGUUAUUAUUACUAGCGUGUAGGCCUCAUAUAAACUGAUCGAAAUCAAUAUCCCAUCCGAUGUGGGACUAUUGCCAAUAAAAAGAUCGCUUUUACGGUUUGACCCCUUAGCUAACCGUGGUUAUCUUUUUCAACUCACGGCAUCUAAAUUUUGGCAACAAAAUGAUACAUUUGCAGACGAGAGAAUUUUUGGAGGAACAAAUUUGAUAGCUUAAGUUUUACAUAAAUAUAUUUGUUAUUUAUUAUUUUUGUAGGAAGUCAUAUAUAAUUAUUCCUAAAAAGAAAUUAGUAAACUCUUAACACUACUGUUGGAUAGGGGGUUCUAUGGAUUACAAUACGUUUUUAUUCUAGACUUAGAAUUUCUUAUUUUUAAAAGACUAUUAGUCCUCUGUUAACAUAGAAAAAUGCAACAGGUGUGUUUGGUUUUUCCAAAGAUAUUUUUAAAAAUAUCUUUACAUCCCACAUGUUAAUUUGAUGACCCUGUAUCCCCCCACAAGUCAAAUCAGCUUUUUUUUUUCUUUUUUUCUUUUUUACUAAAAGUCGAAAUGAUUUUUUGUGAACCAAGUUGUAAGAUUUAUAAUUAUGCAUAGGGGUACAAAUAGCAUUUUUUAAAAAAACAAAAUAAUUUUGUGACCUAACAAGUAUUUUUUAUUGAUUUAGUUAUUAGAAAAAAAUAUUUUUUUCCCCCUAAAAACUUUUUUUUUUUUACAUUUUAUUAGGAGGUCUUGUUUUUGUUUUUCGAAUCUUUUAUCCGAAAAACAAAAAUUAUGAAACAAAUGUUUUUUCAUGAAAACUUGAACUUUUGUUUUUAAUGAAAACUUAACAUUUUCGCACAAAUCCUAAUCCUAAAAAGCUUUACUUGGCCAUACAAAACUUAACAUUCUAGUUAAGUUUUAUUUUAUUUGGAUUGUUUUACACCGUUAAACUUAAAAACGUGUUUUAAAAAGUAUUUUUUAUUGAAUUUAGUUAUUAAAAAAAUAAUUUUUAUUCUCCUAAAAACUUUUUUUUUUUAUAUAUUAUUAGGUGGCCUUGUUUUUGUUUUUUGAAUCUUUUAUCCGAAAAAAAAAAUUAUGAAACAAAUGUUUUUUCAUGAAAACUUGAACUUUUGUUUUUAAUGAAAACUUAACAUUUUCGCACAAAUCCUAAUCCUAAAAAGCUUUACUUGGCCAUACAAAACUUAACAUCCUAGUUAAGUUUCGUUUAAUUUGGAUUGUUUUACGACAUUAAACUUAAAAACGUGCCAUAUUGACUGUUAAAAUAUUUUUGUGACCUUUUGAUCACUUAGUAAAUGAUAUUAAAAAAUUAUGAAAUUUGAUUUCUAAAUAGUUUCAAUAGUAUAGAUUAUAUCUAACGGAGCUUGUCGACGAAUCAGAUAUCUUAUCAUCGAAAAUAAUUUAUAAAUACAAAAAUUUAUAAGUAUGAAAGUCAUCGUACUUUCGAAAGCAUAAAAUACGUACUCUAUUUACUAUUUGGAUUUUAGGCCAACUCAAAUGUAAAGAUAUUUCUAUAUUACAAAUUUUUACUAUUUAAAUUUUAUGCCAAACUAUGUGUAAAGAAACUUAUAUUUUAUUAUUUUUAUUUAUUAAAUUAAGAUUCUAACUUUUUAAAGUUUUUUUUUAACUUUUUAUCUAGUAGUAAGGCUGACAAUUGAUAUUCUGACUUAUUGUUAGCAAACCGGCUCAUGUUUGGCUCAUUAAUAAACAAGCCAAUAAACGCAAGCUAAUUUUUUAACUUAAUAUUUUAAUUAGCCAACUCGUGUUCGAUUUGUUUAAUAAACAAGCGAUCACGAAUCCGCCCAGCUCGUUUGUGCUCGGCUUGUUGAUAGCCUUACUCGCAUAUAUAUAUAUAUAUAUAUAUAUAUAUAUAUACACAAGCUAAAAUAGAAUACAACGCUUGUUUCAGAAAAAAUAAAAGAGAAAAAAACAUUUGGAAAGGCAACUGAAACUUAUGACUAGUAAAAUCUUAAUUAAUCAAUCUAUAUUAUUGAAUAAAUUAUACAGAUACCAAGUCAACUCAUAUAAACUUAAAUUUUGCAGUUUUAUGAAAUUAAAGCAUAUCAAAAAAUGGAAAGCCUUUUGGAAAAUUAAUUUGUUGGCUCUUCUUUGCAAGUGAUUUCUCAGGAUGCAAAAUAAAGUAACCUCAAAAGAAUUUAAACUUGCAAAAAACUUCAUAUGUUUUACUCAAAAGAUCUAUUCUUUGGUAUAUGCCCUUCAAAAGUAUAAAACGCAAUAAAUACCCUUCUAUACAUACACAUGAUAUUUCUAACUUCUCAUAAAAAUUUAUAAUAAUUUUAAAAUUUUCAAAUGGUGUAAAAACUAACUAACAAACCUUGAAAACUUCAAUAAUACUUGCUAGCGAUCUCCAUAAGGAGAUCAAAUAGCUCUUUAGGUUUUGAUAACAUGACCAUAUGAUCGGCGCCUUCGAUCUCCUGUACUUCGGCCCCUGGGCUUCGUUCGAUCAUCCAUCGCUGGAACUCCUCGGUCAUCGAUUUGUCGUCCUUACACAUGACGUAAACUCGGCUUACCAGCUCAUAAGUACUCUUCUCCGCGGCUAUCUCGUCGAUCAUCGCAUCCUCGAUAAACAGCCGACCAGGCCUCACUAGCAUUGUGGCCAAAACAAAGUCCUAAAAAUUUGUGUUUAUUAAGAGAGAAAGAAGCUUUCUAUAUAUAGAAGAGCAGCUUGUUGAAUAGAACUAGAUAAGAUGUUCGAUUCCAAAUAAAACAAUAUCUAUAUAUAUAUUUGAGGCUUAGAAGCUAAUUUCAGCAUUUUAAUUAUUCUGUCGCAUAUGAAGGUUCAUACUUUUAUGUCAAUCAUAUACAUAUUCCUUUAAAACGACUGCAACUAAAAGCAAAGAUAGAAACUAAACCAAAUAAGAAAUUUAAAUAUAUAUAUAUAUAUAUAUAUAUAGUAAUAAAAAUUAUUGUUACCUCUGGUGGGCUGUGCUGAUACAACUUAUCAGACAUGAAAUGGGGGCCAAAUGCAAUUGAGCUCACAGGAAUUUGAUUGUGGUUGUGAGAUAUUGAAAACUUCGAGUCCAUGUAGUACUUUUCCCAUCCCUUCUUUCCAAACUAGCAAUUGCCAACAUUACAUUACAAAUAAAUAAAUAAAUAAAAAUAAAUAAUGUUCAUUACAUGCAUGCAUUGGUUUCACAUGAAGUGUGUGGUGGUAGGUUCCAAAUUCGAAUCCUAGUUGAUUCACAUUUCUAGCUAAGUUUAUUUCUAAAUGAAAUAAACGAAGCAGAUAACAUGCUAGUUUUAUAUUGAAAAAAAAAAAGGAUUGUAUAUGAUAAUAUGACUACAUAUAUGGUAAUAAUUAAUUGGUUUUAAAUAUUUUAGAUAAGUGGGUUGAGCCCUAUAUAUAAGACUAUAUAUCCGUGAACAAUUAAUAGUUUGUUUUGUAUCAUCACACCAUUAGCUUAUCUAUUCAGGGUGGUGAUAUAUAUUAAUUGACCCCAAUUUGUUGAAAAUAGACAAGGUUCAUUGGAUUUAAUUAAAUUAAUUUAGUAAAAAAGAAAUAAUGACUAGGUCCAAAAAUCUAUUUGAUAGUAAUAAUUUUGAAUAUAUGGUAGCAUAAUAAUUCAUUCAUAAAAUUCUAGCACGCAUCACAAUUCACAAAAGCUAAAUCCCACUUUAUUUCCCAACAAAUUAAUGCCUCAAACGUUCCCUUUCAGUUUGAGACAAAGUUGGGGUAAAAUUAAUAUUUUGUCAUUGUUGUUUGUUUGAUAAAAUACUAAUUAAUGACUUUAGAAUUAUACUUACUUUUUUUUUUUCUGUGUUUGUUUUAUUGAAUUUUUUUUUCACUAUUACAUAUAAGAGAGUGAUAAAAUUACAAUAAAUAAUUUUUAUUUUUUUUAUCUCUUUCUCUAAUGUAGUUGACUUCGUCACUAUCAGGGGGAAAAUUAAUUACAGCGUUUUACAAAAGUGGACUUACCAACAAGUUUAUCUUACAACGAACCAAAAAAAAAAAGAAAAAAGAAAAAAAGCGCGUUUACUGUUGAGAACAGCUUCAUCUGUCGCCACUUUCGACAAAACAAACAUGCAAGCCCUAGCGCGUGGGUACAUUUUAGAGUAAUUGUGUAGGCAGGGUGAAGUCAUGAGUUAUGACGUGUUAUAAAAGUGAACUUUUAUUUUAGGACAAAUUAAAUAAAAAAAAUGUGCAUUUAUGAUUGAAAAUAGCUUUACGGACGAAACACACAAACUCCGGGAUGAUGCCGAUGGGUGCCGCGUGGUCGCAAUCCUCGCAAACGGCAAAGAAAAAAGAAAAAAAAAAUUUCUGGACUCUGUUUUUCAGAAAGAGAGAGAGAAAGGGUAAAGGGGCGGUGGUGCUCCGUCCCCAAACAAGUUGUUUCAAGACGAUGCCCACCAAAUUUUUGUCCUUCUCCAGCGCAUGGGUACCUUUCACAAUAAUUCUGUAUUCAGGACGAAGUACUAUGACGUGUUACAAAAACAAACCUACCAAUAAGUCGCUCUUAAAAGUUUCUAACUUUUUAAUUUACUUUUUAAAAAAAUUAAUAUUAAAAAAUAAUUUAAAACGUUUCAAGUUAUUUCAAAUAUAUAUGUAAAGUUAAAUUCUAUUAGUAAACUAUUAGAAGUAGCCAUUAUCUAUAUAAAAUUAUUAUUUUAUCUUUUCAAAUAUAUCCUUCAAUCAUACCAUUAUCAAUUUUUCUUAUUUACCCUAAUAAAGUUAGAAUCAAAAAAAUAUUUUAAUUUUUUAUCUUUUCAAAUACUUUUUUACCAUCACCAGAUAUUUAACUCACGUUUAAUCUGAAAUAACUUAACGGGUAGUAACUGCAGGGGCAUUUUGAAUAACAGAGAAAUACGUAUGAGAAGUAUAUUUAAAAUAAAAAAAUAAUAAAUUAGAUAUUUUUGAAAUUUUGAAAAGUAUAUGUAUAGUCAAUUAUCCCAAUAAUAAUUUGGCAAAAAAAAAAAAAACCAAGUCAAAGUCAAAUAUGGUUGGUUAGCUGGUGUUGUUUUAUGUCUUUCUCAUGUGACAUUAAUUGUACUGUACAUGGUUUACACCUUCGUAGACCCGGUGCAUCGUGAGCCAUCAGAUUUUUUUUUUUUUUUUGGCAUUUGAAACUUUUAUAGGCUAAAUAAAUAUUUUUAUACCCUAUACACAAAAAAAUAUAUUUUUUUUGGGUUUAAUUGUAUGACAUUGGCUGUUUUGAAUGAUUUUACAAUAUUUUUGUAACGAAAUAAAAUAUUUCACUAUUUGGUGGUAUAUGUUCUAGAUCUUUGUAGCUAGCAUGAAUAUCACUGGGUGAUUAAAUUCUUGAAAUAUUAUUAGAAAAUAAAAUUAAAGCUUUCGAAGCUCAUGCACUAUUUAUUUCCAAAAUUCACUAUAGUUAGUUAAUCAUAAAAAAAAAAGAAGAUGUUGUAAUCCUACUACCCUCCAUCUAAUGGUUUACCACCAAAAAAAAAAAAAAAAAAAAAAAAAAAAAAACAUGUUGUGGGGAAAUGAGGAUGGGAUUUGAUGCUAAGGCUAGUUGAAGUAAUCAUUGUUGCAGAGUAGUGAAGAAUCAUUAAUGUUCACACUAGAGGGAAAAUUAGUUAAAAGAAAAAGAAAAAAAAAAAGUGGGCAUGAACUUNAAAAAACAUGUUGUGGUUAAAAUUACGAAAAAAAAAAAAAAGGUGUUGGUAGUUUAGUACGUUCUAUAUAUUUUUAUAUAUCUGAAAUAAAUUAAAAUAAAGAGUUUAGAGGUUGCUACAGUUAACCUAUUCAGAUUUAGGUACUUAAACUAGCUUUUCAAAUGAUUAUGAGUUUCGGUAGAUAUGUUGGCGCAGUUAGAGCAAUGUCUAAUCACUCAAUUAAUCCCUUGCGACGCUACUGCGUUAAAUUUUUAGGUUGAAUCGAUUACUUCAUAUACGUAUUCGAUCGGGUCAGGUCUAAAUCGUGCACCACACACUCAUUACACAUCGUAUAUAUAUAUGAGAGCUACAAAUGAAUACCUUACCUCCUUUGCGAUGCAGGACAUAGGGUUGGAACUGCUGGGCAUCACAGCAGCAACAAACACAGCAGCAGCCACAUUCUGGGGGAACUUCUGCAUGGCAAGUGCAAUGCUCAGGCCGCCGAGGCUGUGGCCGACGACGAUCGCCCUCUCGCGACCGUCGACCGCCGCCGCCAUCGCGUCCAUCAAGGGCUGCGAAUACUCCGCGAACGACCGCAGCUCCUCGAUUCUCCUCGGGUCCACUCCGCUGCCCGCGAGGUCGACCGCGGUGACGCGGUGCCCCGCGGAGUUUAGCAUGCUAGCUACCUUGUACCAGCACCAUGCUCCAUGGCACAUUCCAUGGACUAGGAUGAAGUGCCUCAUCUUUGUUUCUCUCCGAUCCAUCUCGUACGAUCGACCUCUCUCUCUAUCUGCAUUUGGAUCGAUAUAAAUAAUGAGAAUUGAUAUUUUCAGAACUAGUUUUGAUACAUGACUAGAUAAUAAUGUACCUGCUCCGAUAAUGUCAAAUCAGUUUGAAGGAAAAGGACAUGAACCUUGUUCACUGGCCACAUGAAUAAGCUGAUGUAUCUAGAUAUUUAGUGAUAAACGCGUUUGUGCAUUUAUUGUCAACUUUACCCACUCUCUAAUUAGGCAGAUGUUGAUGUUGAAAUACCCACUUUUUCCUUCUGUUUAAUUAGUCCCACAUUGAAUGUGCAUAUGUCGUGAGAAAUAUCUAGAAUUAACAGUACGUACGUACUUCACAAACAAACUAAAUGGCAAAAUAAAUUUUGUACCAUAUUAGUAAGGAAAAUAGUAACUCUAAAUUAAUAUAAUCUUGAAUAAAAUGUAAAAUAAUUGUGUGUUAGAACAACACAUAAUAUUAGUAACGUGCAUUCAACACCAUAAGGGAUCAUUAAAUUAUAAGCUUUUUACAACAAAAAAAGAUUUACUUUGGUCCCUAAAAGUAUAAUAUUUUUAAGUUUUACUAUAUCAUAAAUAGGGACCAUUAUGUAAUUUUUGAAAAGCCGAGAUUAAAUAGAAGAAAUAGUUGUGUUUAAUUAGCGGGUUUCUUUUUUUAUUUUUCAUAUCUCAAACUUUUUUUUCCCUUUUUCAUUAUAUUAUUAUUAUUAUUAUUUUACAAACGUGAGAACAUAGUAAAGAUCGAGGAAGUGCGAUGUUGCGUGACAUAUUGUUUCCAUCGUCCUUUAUGUGUUGAAAUUUGGCUCUCAAUUGGAAAGUAAAUUGAGGUUAUAACAUAUUCCAAUGCAAUCACGCAAAACUCAUUAUUAAUCCGUGACAGAUAUGUGGUACAAAUGUAAUCCAUAUAUUUGGAAUAAUGCCGCACAAAUAACUUGACGUGUUAUAUGGGACUAGAAUGCGACAACUAAGACAAUCGAAAAAUUAGGUGAUGUAAAUUAAUUAUGUUCUGAUACUGAUACCGAUACCGUAUUAGAGAGUUCCAAUAAAUCUAAAAAACUUAAGUUAAUGGGUUUCUUAUGGUCAAAUCCAAUAUAAAUGUACCACCUUCAUUUGAGGAUGAUAGAACCUACUAUUUGUUUUAAAUUUUUUUUUAUUCAUAUUUAUUUUAAUAAAAUUCUUCCUCUUCCUCACAGUCGCAUUUUUCAACUCUUUUUUUUCUUUUGCUUUUCUUUUUUCUCUCAUCUCUUAUUUUUCUUUAUCUUCUAAACCGAUAACGGCAUCUCUCCCUCUUCCCUCACCUCACCUAUGAAGCGGUUUUGAAUCUCUCCGUCCAUGAUUUUAGGUUUUCUCUUUACGCUGCUUCACAUGCAUUCUCGACAAGGACGGCGUAUGGUAUCAUCGCUGGCUGCAUCAUUCUCAACAAUCAUGAGAGAUAUAUAUAUUCCCGUAUUUUCACUUAUUCUAUAAAUUUUUGUUUUUUUAUUAUUUAUCCGUUGUAUCGUGCGGAUUACUUUACUAGUUUAUAUUAUUCUUCUUCUAGAGGAUAACUGGUGAUGGAAUCUCUCACUUUCUUUGUUUAGUAAAGGAAGGCAUGCUACCUUUCGGGGUUCUGGGGUUCUGCUUUAUCCACAAAUUUGAGAAGUUCAUUUUUGUAAGGAACAAAAGAAUCCAAAUUGCAAAAUAGAGUUCAAGAUACUUCUCCCUGCUCGGCUUUCAUCGUAAAGCAGAUGAUGUCAAAAGAAAAAUCCUAAGAUUUAAUGAUCAGUAACUUCAAAUGCUCUAAAUCGUAUUUAAUGAUACAAAUCACUACUUCAAAUGCUCUAAAUCGUAUUUAAUGAUACAAAUCACUACUUCAAAUGCUCUACGUCCAGUGCCAAAGUCACUGGAUGGGUAAGUCGCCAAUCCCUAAAACGGACUAUGUAAUGUACUUUAUCUGUUGGGGUACCGGUGGAUAUUUUACCAGAGGUUUCUAUCAAACCGUAUUUCAUGAUACAAAUCACCACUUCGAAAGCUAUAUCAAGCUACAUCAGCAAACAUAAAUUACGAUCAUCCUUAUAAGAGCCUAGCACCUGAAUUUCUACAAUAUCCUUCUAUUGCGAACUUACGCAAAAGGAACCCAGGAAGUUUUAUUACAUAGUAAUAUUCCCGAAAUGGUAAGAGUCCCAGGAUCGAGCUAAAAAAAGCCUCACUUAGAAACAGAAAAGCACUUGUUGAAUCCGAUUCCAAACCACAAGCGAAAAAUAUGCGAAAGUUUUGGCCCACAAUAACCUCAAUAUUAAGUAAACUAAUAUAUAACAACAAUCAAAAAUAUGGUUAAAUCUCCACAGGACAAUUUGAAAUCGCCACCCGACCAAGUUUGAUUCUUCCAAUGAUAUUUAAAAAAAAAAAACACUUUCACAUCCAGACAGAAUCAGUUAAAUCUGUGUUGAGAAUGAUUAAAUUAAGCAUUUGGAAUGGUUUAGUGUAGCAUCCCCUGUCUCAGGUAGGUAUAAUCACAUAUUACAUUAUCUCAAAUUCUCGGAAUACACUUGAAGAAGUACAAAAGUAGUAGCAUCUUCGGCACGUCGAGAGGGCGAAAUCCAGUAGAGCCCUUUGGCAUGUAAAUUUGCUCGAAAGACUAGAACUGUUACCUUUCUUUGCUGGAGAGUUAUGUACCGAGGGAGCCAGAAGCCCUAGAUCAUGAAGAGUCGUCGUUGGAGAACCAUAUAACACAAGAUCUGCUUCUUUCUUUCUUCUUCUUUUUUUCUUUUCUUUUUUUUUUUUGUUUUCUCAUCUCCAAAGUUCGAAAAUUUUGAGCUUGCCUUUGAUUUGUGGAUGCAAUUAUUAAAAUCGAAAAGCGGAAUUCAGUGGGGUUUUGCGUUGCCUUUUCUACAUGGGCUGCAGCCUUAUUCGCAGGAGAUUUAAGUUUGCACGGUUGGAGAUUGUGUGGAAGCGAGAUAAAUGAUGAAAAGAUGGUGGGAUUGUCGAAUCACUUCGGAUCAAAAAAGGUGGAAAUCUCCAUUCGAGUCAAGGGCGAUGAAAGGUCGUGUGAGAGAACAGCAAUAUCGACAGAAGAAUUUGAAAAAGAAUUUCUCUUGGAUUUUUCUUAGCUGCAAAAAUUUGAGGGUGGGUUGGGGCAAAAAACCAACCUUUGUCAACUUGAAGAAUUCUUAGAUAAUAUCUUUUGAGUGGGAAUUGAUUCCUUCACGAACUCCGAUGAUGACGAUGAUGUUGGAGGCAAAGUAGUGAGAGAAAACCCAAGAGGAAAGGGAGCAAUGGGCAUUUCAGAGAGAGAAGAUGCCGAGGGGCUGUAGCUCAUAGUACCAAUCGGAUGAUCGAACUUGCAUGUCGGCCCGAAUUUGCAGAAUCCGUUCUGAGCAUAGUAAGUGCACGGCUGAGCGCCCUAUAUUAGAAAGUGUUCCAAAGGGUGAAAAAUAAAAAGAAAGAAUUAGUGAGAUAGAAAUCUUCCGAUCUAAGUGAAAGCAAAAAAAAAGAGGAAAUUUCAGUAAUUCAUAACAGAAAAAAAAAAAAAAAAGGCAGCAUCUAAGAAAUAGUGACUAAGAAUGAGUGCAGUACUUCAUUAACCCUACAAGUAUUAUUUACCUGGCUCUUAUGGUUUUUAUGAUUUUACAGUAUGAUUUGAAUGUAAAUCCAAUUCUAACACGUCUGGCCAAGUGUAACUAAUAUAAAUUUGUUGUUUGUAUUCAUAUGUCGUCUCAUAUUUAUGCUACACACCGAAGAAUCUUAUGAAAGCAUACCGAUAAGUUAUACGAGAAGACUCGAGAACUUUGUUCUUACAAGAUAUAGAGAAAAGUACUCAUGACAUUAAAUAUGUUCGAACUCAAUUACUUUGCUCUCCCGUUUUGAAAUGAUAGCUUGUGAUUUUUAGCAUUUAUGCUAUAUGACUACGAGUUCCAAAGCCAAAAAUCAUGCGCAUAGCCCAGAAAACCCUAACAAUAGGGGUUUGUCAAGAGAACGAACAAGAUAGUUUCUCAAAUUAAGUACUCAGGAAGUAAACUUGGUAUUGGUGAAUUUAACUUCUUGAAAAAAAAACAAAAAGAAUGGAACUAUCAAUACUAAAUCAAUUAAAAGUGGAGCUCCAGAUCCAAAGAGAAAACCAAAAGCAAUCAAACCGUGCUAAAUUAACUAGCAUGUUUCUCUGAAAGAACAAGUGACUAAGUAAUGAGGAUAAUAAAGAAAAUCUUCAUUGUAGGUCAUUAUUAGGUUCUGAGGAGACCUAUAUUUUAGGCUGUUAUUACAAACAUUAUAAUUCAUAAGAAAAAUUCAUCCUCUGUAAGGGAACGAGGAAUUUUGAACAUGCAAAUGUUCACUGCAAUGUUUCUCAAGCAAAGCAAUAAAGCAUGGCACAGAAUGCCAGUGCAUACCAAUGUACCACCGGACGGUGCAUACCAAUAGCACAGACUGCCAUUUACUAACAUGCUUUGUGUGACGAGGUUUCUGAGGGUUUGUUUUCCCACAAAAGCCCUACUGGAGGAGAAAAGAAGACCAAAAAAAAGACCUUACUCAAAAGAGUUAACUAAUGAAUCAUCGAUUGUGCUUUGUAACGCCCUUGGACACGGCAUCUAUACAUACAGAUUACAGGGAACAAAUGAAUCACCUAAUGAGCCAGUAUCUAGUGACAUCAAAUACCAAAAGUGCAUAAUUUUCCUUCUUACACAGUUUAUACACGCAUUACCAAUUUAAAAGGACUUUGAAGUACGCCAAGUUUUAAAGUCUCAAAUUCAUUGCCUAUCUAUGAAACAUCCGUGCACCAGACUUGGCUCACUAAAUGCAACUUCAUUAAGUAUAGAAACUUCCAAGUUUUAAUAAAACAACCAGUACGAGCAUUAGUAAAGUGAUUUUCAAUAUUUGUUACAUGACAGAACAGUAAGUGGUAAAGAUGCUUACCGGACGAAUAGGGAGACCGAGAGGGCUAAGAAGGCAAUUCGUCUUUUUUACGCUCCACUCCGGAGGAUGGUUGUAUUUACAAGCGGCCCCAUAUUUACAAUCCCCUGUCCUCAUAUAAAAUUGGCACUCAGGCUGGCCGGGCCGCUGUGGGAAUUUGUGUUCUCUUUGACUACCGCCUGACCCAGCCGAAGGAGACAAAGGCACAUAAGAACCUGUAUAAGAAGGUACAGCUGGCUGAUUGGAUAAGCCAUAGACGGGUCCUGCUUGAACAACUUGUUGUCCACCGGAAGAUACUACUGAACUCACAGGCGCCUGCGGCACAUGAAAGAAUUCAGAAAUACAAAUCUUACCUUUCUAUCAAGACUUGUGAGAUUAAACAACAGAAAAGGGAAUUAGCAUUUGGUGUAGUUUCCGUUUGGUGCUAACUUUUCAAUUGUUACAACUGGUUCUCUAAUCUUUGCAUCUCAACUCGCCAAAAAUUUCCUUCAACAAUUGGACAGAAAUUUCCACGGAAUCAUCAUCUAAUUGCCACUUAAGGGACUUUUCGACUUCUCAUAUGGUGGUUACAUGGCAAUUUCACCCAGUCUAAUAGAGAAAUGAGAUGGAAAGGAUAAGAUAGCAAUUAAACUUAAAGGUCAUGUUUGGCUAACCUUUAGGUUUUUUUUUUUUUUUUUGAAACCCAAAUACAGUUUGUUAUCAAUAGACCUGUAAUCUUGUAACUGUUUGUUAGCUUGCAAACUCAUUUUGUCAAUGUAAAAAGAAGCGAAGAAAAAUAUAUAUUUUUUUUAUUGCCAAACAAACUACAUAGAGGUAUAGAUUGCAAAUGAUCCACCAUCCACCGGCACAUCUUAUCUCACUGAAUUUCAGUUUAAUAGAAAAAAAAAAUGUAUGCAUAACCAACAAGGCCCUAGACCCUUGUAUUCCAAUAAUUGGAAGGUUGGGACCAAACUUAAUCCUCCUGGAAAGUUUGGACCCCUAGGGCAAUUUUGCCCACAGAGGAAACAUCAAUAUGUGGUGUAAACUAACCGGAUAAGGAUUCCAACCCUGCACCGGGACAACACCUGGCGAGAAGAGCACAGGACCAUAAGAGCCAGAGACGUAGGAUCCAGCAGGUAAAACUGAAGGCCGCCCAACUUGCCAGCUUGCCAAAGGGGUCUGUACCGUUGGAUAAAUGGUUGUUGUGGGCGAUGGCAACGAGACACCACUAGGUUGCGGGUGGUGGUAUUUGCAACUGGAAGCAAACUUGCAUUGGCCUGUCUUCAUGUAGUAGGAGCAAUCUUUCUCGCCCUGCGUGUAUUGUCAAGGAAUCAAAUUGAUCAGCAUAUUUUCUUCAAAAGACGAUGUGAAAAGGUAAUCAAUUAGUUGAAGACUAAGAGAAUAAAGAACAGGAUUGUGUAACAAAUUCUCCAACCGGACGCAGCGGAUAUCCAUAAUAAUUCAACAUGGCUGGCUGUAAAGAUCCACCUCCUUGUCUUGGGUGGUGAUAUUUGCACAUGGGACCAAAUCUGCAAGUCCCGGUCUUCAUAUAGUACUGCAAAAACAAAAAUCAAAAUCAAAAUCAAAAUCAAAAUAAAUAACUAAAAACUAGCAGAAAAUACUGACAAUAUCAAUAGUUAAGUAUGUUCAGUUCGAAUUUUUCCCCUUGCAAUGAUUACAUUAUAAUACACCCCAAAGAUAAGCUAGCUUUGCACACGGCAACUAGUUAGUGAUUUAGCUUUGAGGAUACCAGAGAUGACAUCCAAACAUCAACUUCAGAAAGCUAAAAGCCUCACAAGUUGCGGCGUGCCCAAGACCGGAACAUCAACUACAUUUGGUUUACCACGCGAGUUACACCUAGCCAUAUCUUUCCAAAGCUAGAAGACCCUUGAAGUCAAACACAUUUCAUUUCUGCAACUAAAAUGAAGUUCAAUUCAAUCAAAGAGCAAGUGUAUUACUUCGCAAAGGGGUUGCCCCACUCGUUCUGGAUACUGCGCCGCUCCCAUCCUUCCAGCCCCAGCCAACUAAAACCAAUAAAGCCCACAAUUUAGUAAACCAAAUCCCCAAAUUAACAAGCGCAAUGUUUAAAAACCCAGAAGCACGUAAAUUUCGCGCAAAAUGUAUUAAAUUACAAAAUAAUUCCAAAAAAAAAAGGGGUAAAGCAUAAGUAGUGAGCCUGAACUAAACCACAUUGUGAAAUAAGCAGCAGAACAUUCAAAAUCACGAUUUUACUACCUAACCUUACGAUACUUUUGAAAUAAUUACCCGAACUUUAAAAGUUUGUAACUACCGGAAACUUAAAUUGUAGAAAUAAUUUUUUACUAAAAAGUUAGUAGUAAAAAUCAAUAACUUCGAACUUCAGUAUCUAUUCCGAAAUGCAUUAUAGUUCAGCUAUAAGACGCGCACAUUUACAACACCCUUAAAAGAAAAAAAAAGGGAACACUACUACAGUAAACCCUAGCUCAAUCGAAUUGAUCUCGCACAAAAAGAAAACAUUGCGGUGCUUACUGUUCCACCGCGAUCGGGAGGAUGAUUAUACCGGCACCUUUCUCCGUACCCGCACGACCCCGUGCGAAGAUAGAACAGGCAAUCGGGCUCCCCGGGCCUCUCCGGGAACGCGGAAUCGGCCCCCAAUCCCAACCUCCACAUCGAUUCUACCGCAAAAACCAGCAAAAACAAAAACCCAAUUAGCGCCUCAAUUUCACACACCAAUCUCACACAGUCCAAAACCCUAGAAACCACUGAACCUAGCAUCAUUCUACGCCCCCAAAAAAACCACAAAAAUUGCGGAAAAUCGGGAAAAACAGCCCAAAAUCGAAGCAACCUACCUUCUAACCCAGUCUCGGGCUCCUUGCGAGCCCCCUCGCCCCCGCCGCCGCCCCCCGCCGCAGCCGCCGCGGCGCCCCGUCCGUACAGCUCCAUCUGCUUCCCGAAGGUUCCACAAGCUCCGAUCGUCGGCGAUCGAGGUAAUGAGAGGUCGAAUCGAGCUACAGAGACGACGUUUUCGAGCUCGAUCACGAAUUAUAUUCCCAAAUUUUUCCCCUUUUUUCUCUCCUUUUUUUUUCCUCCUUUACGCGUCGCUUCUCCUCUCUCUCUCUCUCUCUCUCUCUCUCUCUCUCGGGCUCUGUUUUCAAAGCGCCUUGAUCUCUCCUUCGCCCCCUCUUUUUUUUUUCCUUUUUUUUUCGUUAUUGCUUUAUUUUAUAUUUACGAAGUAAUACACCGUAUUAAAUUAACUGUUAAAACCCCCUCUAAUCCAACGGUAAUUUUAAUUUACCCUCCGUAUAAUAAACUCUUUAAUUAAAGUUAAUGUGCGCGAAAUUCCCACAAUGCCCACGACGAUUUAUCAAAUUACGAAACUGCCCCCUUGGUUCGUCGUUUCGCGGGCUCCGAUCGUGGAUAUCUCUCCGUGUAAUUCGGAGAUGCGAAUGACACGUGUCGCCCUUUGACUCGUUAACAAUGCUGAGGCUGUUAUGUGGCGUACAGUAGUUUGCGCGGGACAUUGUGCGAGGUGGCACUGAUCGAGUGGAGGGUAUUUCGGUAAAUACGAAAUCGGAGGUGCUGUAAUGGGUAAUUAAUUGCACCGUCGUCCUUAACCUUUAAUUAUUUGUCCAUGCAGGCAUUUUAUCUUUCUAAAGUUUUGUCUCUUUAAUAUUAAUUUUUUUAUAUUAUUAAGGACAAACUUCAAAUGCCAUUUAUAUGAUUUUACGUUUCUCACUUUAAUAUCCAAUAAUUUAAGGUGUAUUACUUUAAUGCUCUAUAGUUUUAUUUUUUUAUUUUUGUUAUAUUCUUCGUUAAUUUUUUAUUUAAUCAAUAAGAAAAUAAAAACCACGGGGUACUAAAAUAAAAAUUCAGUAAAUCAAAGGGUAAUAAAAUAAAUUUCGAUAAACCAUAAGUGGGGUAUUUGAAGUUUUUUCUAUAUUAUUUAAUGGAGAGUUAACAGAGAUGCUGAGAAUAAAAUAAAAAAACCGAAAUCAUAAGAUACCAAGUAAUACAUUUUAAAUCACAUGGCAUCGAUAUAAGAAAGCUCGAAACCAUGGGAGUGGUAUUUGAAAAUUUUCUAUUAUUAAUAAGCGGCUGUAAUUUUUCUAUAGUUGUGUGAAUUAUAAGCUUAUAUAUAUAUUUUAUAAGUGGCUGAAAUUUAUUCUGUAAUAUUCGAUUAUUAAAAUUUGUUUUGCCCCAAAUAUAUUUUUAUAUAUAAAAUUUUUCUAAGCCUGCUAAUAUAUUGAUAUGUAUAAUAUCGUUUGUCUUUGCCAAUAACUUCCUAUAGGGCCAAUACAUUAGCCUUCAAAGUUUUUUUCUUUUUCAAUUAACUUAUUAAAAUUAGUCAAAUAUUAUUUUAAUUAAUUUUGCGAUGGUCCUUACCUUAUAAUUAGUUUUAAAAUAAAAUUUGUCGCAUGGAAAAAAAUAAAAAUAAAUCUUGUGCUGACGUGCUUGAUAAAUAUAUUUUCUAACAUAAUAGUUUUGGUCCAAAGAAAUGGAUAAGUUGAUUAAAAAAAAAAAUUAUCAAAGCAAUUAAUAAAUAUUAAGGGCUAAAUUGUGAGAACCCAAAGAAAUGGAACCGAAUUGAAAAUAUGGGCAAGGUCGGGGACCGCUGGUGUAAUUUAGCAAUUUACCGAUGAGGUAAGGGCAUUUUGGUGGUUUCGUGCUAAAUUCAGGGGCAAUUAAGUAAUUUAGGUUGUCGGAGGAGGCACGGGUCCACACCCCACACACUCCUGCUGCGACGGGUACGGCCACGACAUGCGCGGGGCUCAGUUAGACCAAUGGUGUAGCGACACGUGGACCCGUGUUCCGGUGGGGGGCCCACGCACCUGGCGCGAGUUUUCGCUCGGGAGACCGCGGGCGGGGGCGUUUCAGUGGAAACCUGAUGAACCGGUUGCACCGGUCGAGGUGGUGAACCAAAAUUGGACUAAAUGCAUUCAUGUCCCUGCAAACAUAGUGAAUUACAGAUCUGUCCCUAUAAAAUUUUACUUUUAUAUAUUGUUCUUGCAAAAGUUUUAAUAUUUUCAAAUAUAUCCCACUGAUUUGUUACCAUUAUAAUAUUAUUUAUGUUUUAAGUGAAAUAUUAAUUUUGCCAUCAUAAAUAUAUCCUUCCAAAAACCACAACAUUAUUAUAAUAUAAAAGGGCAAAAAUAUCAAGUUAUCUCAUAAAUUAACCAUAGUUAAGCAUUUAGUCUAUAGUUAAUUAAAGUUUUCUAACGGAUUCUAAUGGCAAGGAAAUAUUUCAAAAUAUUAAGAUUUUUGUAGUGAUAACAUAUAAAAGUUGAACUUUAUAGAGAUAUAUUUGUAAUUCAUUAUGUUUGUAAGGACCUAUAUAAAAUUAACCCAAGAAAAAUUUAUUCCCUGGAUAGGGUCCACCCACAUCUGGAUCCUCUUGUGCUUUUAAUUAAGGGGCAAUUGCUUAUAUACCCCUAAAAAGUUUUCGACUUUCUGAUUUAUCCCUCUUAAAAUGCUAAUAUUGAAAAUAUAUUUUUUUACGUUCCAACCUAUUUCUAAUAUACCCCUAGAGUUAAAUCUAUUAAUGAACUCUAUUAUCUAUGUGAAAUUACUAUUUUGCCCUUUCAAAUAUAUCCUUCUAUCAUCACCAACUUUUCUUAUUUAUCCUUAAGUUAGGGGCACAAAAAAAUAUUCUAUUUUUUGAUCUUUUCAAAUAUACUCUUCUACUAUCACCAAUAUUUUUUAUUUGCCUUUAACUUUAAGGGUGCGUUUGGUUCGAGUUAUCUUGCCAAGAUUACAGGCAAUCCUGUCAGGAUAACUGUGUUUGGUUAAUCCGCUAUGUAAUUUAGUCGUUAAUGUAGCAUUACAAAUCGAGCAGGAUUACAUCGAAAAUAUUAAUGGGAGGGGGGUCGUGUAUCUUGCAUUACUGAAACCCGUUAAUACUACAUAUUAUGUAAAAUGACAAUUUUACCCUCCAACAACCCUAAUCUAAUUAACAGCAUUAUUUUCAUCUCUCUCUCGCCUUCCCCCCUCUCUCGCACGCCGCUUUCUCUCGCUCGCUCUCCCUCUCGACGUCUCUCUCUCUCUCUCUCUCUCUCUCUCUCUCUCGCACGAACACGUAUCAUCUUCUAUUGCGUCGUCCUCCCAGGUAAUCAUCACGAUCUCCUUCCCUCCAUUCGUCAUUUUCGCAAAAAAUAAUAUUCAAAUGACCACAACAAGGGCAAUUUUGGAAAAGACUAUACUUUUAUAUCAAGAUUACUAAAUUUUAUAGACUGAACCAAACGUAUUAAUGCUAUAAACACUGUAAUCUAGUAUUACAUUACUGUAUUAAACCAAACGCGCUAAUGUAGCAUCAGUAGUAAUCUCACGCCGAAAUUCAAGAUAUCUGUAUAUGUCGAGAUACUUUGUAAUAUUACAUAACUCGAACCAAACGGGCCCUAAGGGCAAAAGUGGUAUUUUAAUUUUUUUACCAGUGGUAGAUAUUUAACUCACGUUUAAUCGAAGUUAACUUAACGGGUGGUAACUGCAGGGUAUUUUGGAAUAAUGGAGGAAUGCAUGAGGGGUAUAUUGGAAAGAAAAAAAAAAAAAGUAGGGAUAAAUAAAAUAUUCUCGAUGUUUUGAGAAGUAUAUAGGCAAUUAUCCCUUUAAUUAACUAUUAUCAUUUAUUAGUACUUGGAAUGAAAUUAUAUAAACUAUAUUACAUACCUCAAUUUAGGUCUAAUUUGAGAUUAUAGUGUCUAAAAUAUUUUAUUUUUUAUAUUUUCAAAAGUUUAAAAAUUUUAGAAGUGCGUCUUUUAAUGCUGCGUAAUUGAAUACAAUCGGCUGAGAAAGCAAUUAUAUUGGCACUUUUAAAUUUUCGAACAUGUUAGAGAAAAAAAAUAAAUUUAUUAUAUUAAAUAAAAUUUUGAUAAAAUUAAAAAAAAAAGUCUUUAUAUCUUGUUAUCGCGAAGUCUUUAUAUUUUGAUAAAAUUAAAAAAAAAAAGUCUUAAAUAAAAUUUUGGUAAAUUAUCAUUUAUUAGUUUUGCCAUUAGUAAAUCUUAAUUUGUAGUGUUAUAUAUAAUAAAAAUGACAGCUUAAGUUUUGAAAUUAGAAAAAGGAAAUUGAAUUUUAGAAUACUGUGACCAAAAUAAGUUGUUGCGGGAAUUUUAAUAUAGCGCGUAUUCAAAUAGUUUUAUAGAUAAAAAAAAAAAGAGAUUAUUUUCAUUUUAUUGCAACGAGAUAGCGUAUUAGUGUUGUUAAAAACAUUUAUUUUUAAUUUUAGGAAAGCCAAAUAGAUUUUUAAAAGUGUUUAAAAAUGGUGGCGCAAAUCAAGAGAAGUAAAUACUGCUGCGACUUCCGCCAUUUUUUUAAUUUUCAAGCACUUUCGCAUUUUUCGAAUCCUCCAAAAUAUAAAAGCAGCUAUAUUUAAACAUUGCGACUCAAAUCGAUCUACGGCGAACUAGGUCCAGAAAAUAGCGUACGAAAGUGAUUGAACUAGAGUUUACGAUGAUGAUUGUGCCCACAUCAUUAUCGGGGUGGAGGUGGGGAUGCAAAUGGAUCCGGAUCUAUUGAACUUCUAUUCUUAUUCUUUCGUAAUAAAAUAAUAAUAAGUGAAUAUAUAUAUAUAUGUUCCGAGCUUGUUCAGAUCAAUCAAGUAAAUGGAGCAUAAGGGUGAAGGAAUCUUUUUUUUCUUUAAUUCGUCAUGAUUAGUGAAAAAUUUAUCAAAAAAUUAUUCUCAUCCCAAUUCGACAUAUAUAAUACGAUAAAUAAGGAUAAAAAAUAAAACUAAAAUUAAUUUACUUCGGGAUGGAGGGUAGUUGGGAAAAAGGUCGAUAGGGGGAAGGAGUGACGCAUGGUCAAGUAGGCCACCGACAAUUGCCGGUGGUCGGUGGACGGGUGUAGGACAUAGGGAUGUCAGCAGGUGGGAUUUGGGUCGGAUUUUUAAAAAUCCGAAUCUGACCCGAAAAUUAAAUUAAAAUUCGUACCUGGAUCCGAACUCGGCGGAUUUUUAAAAAUCUAUAUUGUUGAAUAAAAAUCUAAAAGAUAAAAAUUAUUAAAUAUUUUAUAUAUUAUAUAUAUAAAUAAAAAUAAAUUAUAUAUAUAUAUAUAUAUAUAUAUAUAUAUAUAUAUAUAUAUAAUUUAUUCUGAUUCGGAUCGGAUAAAUAUAAAAUUCAUACCCAUAUCCAUAUCCAUCAUAUUUUUAUUUUCUAUAUCCAUAACCGAAUCCAUACCCGUUUAGCCCAGGCAAAUCCGUCCCGUCCUAAUUCGGAUUUGGAUAAUAUUUCGGAUAUACGUACCCAUUGACAUCCCUAGCCGUGGAUGGGGGAACAGAAAGGACGCUCGUCGACCGGGUGUAGCCGGUAAUGUCGGCACGUGGCAGAGCCUUAUUGGCCUGCACCACGAGCCCUCUCGAGGGAAAAAUUCUAGAAUGCAACGGGUAUAUUAGUGACGUGGCGUAACAAACCAAUCAAAUUAAUCUUUUUAAAAAUAUAUGUCCCAUCAUGAUUGUAAAAAAGUAUUUUUAUUAUACUUUUAUUUAAAAAGAAGGAAUGUAAUUGGCUUGUUAUUGAUAACGUGGUGCAAUGACAGUGUAGAAUUCCUCCUCUCGAGGACUCGAGCUCGGGCUUUUUGAAAGGCUGAUUGGACUACGGACGGCCACGUGUCUAAAUCGUAUUGGGUGGAAAAUGAUGCCCACAUUACGUGGACUUGGUACCACCAUGGACCGAUAUUUUUUAAAGGAAAAAAGAAACUGAAGCUUCGCCGUAGAAUAAACUUUUAAUAGAAUGUAAAAGUGCUAUUUAGGGAAAAUCACCAGUUUUUGAUCAAUAAUUAUUGCGAGACUGAAACAAGUGAUUGUUGGCGAAUAUGUUAAAAUAAAUAAAUAGAAAUAAUUGCCUAUAUACCCCUCGUACGCUCGGAUAUAUCCGAUCUAUUCAUGCUUUUUUUUUUUUUUUAAAAUGCCCCUCAUAUGUUCCACCGUUAUUCUAAAAUAUCCCUGCAGUUAUCCUCUGUUAGCUUAACUCGGGUUAAACAUGAGUUAAAUAUAUACUAGAGUUAAAAUCUAAAUAAAAUACCUAUUUUGUCCCUACCAUAUUAUACUAAUUCCUUAAGUUAUCCUCCUCAUCCUCUUCGUCAUUCUCCUUCUCCCUCCUCCUCCUAUCGUCGUCCCCAAUCCCGACCCCAACCCCAUCGUCGCGGAGAGGACGGCAACCCCGUCGACCCCCCGCUCCUCCUUUCCCUGCCCCGCCCUCGACUCCCUCCUGUCCCUCCGCGACGUCGUCCUCUCCAGGCGCUUCUGCUGGGGCGACCACCUCCGCCCCUUGGUCCUCUCCCCGCGCGCCUUCACCGCCGCCAACUUCUCCGCCCUUUCGAAGCGCAAGCCCCAUGCCCUCCAGGAGCUCCUCCAUUCCAGGACCGGCUCCUCCACGAGCUCCUCCUCCGCCGCCUUGGCCGGCGCCGGGAGUAAGAGGGCUGCAGCGACGAUCCCAUCUCGCCCGAGGCCGUCCGCGUGCCGGGAGCAAGAGGGCCCGGUGUUGUGCACGGAGAGGAGCAGCGUGUGCGCGGUCCACGAGGCCAGUUUGGCCUCGUGGACCGGAUGAGGUGGACCUCCCUCUUAUUAUAUAUAUAAAUAAAUAUAUAAAUAUAUGUAUAUAUAUAAUUUUAUUUAUAAAUAUAUAUNUAAAUAUUUAUUUAUUAUAUAUAGUAUUUUAUUUUUAUAUAGAAAUAUCAUUAUAUAAUAUUUUAUUUAUAAAUUUGUAAUUAUUUAUUAAUAUUUCUAAAUAUAUAAUAUAACUCUUCUAUAUUAUUAAUAUAUAUUUAUUAUAAUUUUAAAUAUAUUUAAUCUAUAUAUAAAAAUAAUAAUAAUAAUAAUAUAUAUAGUAUAUUAAUUAUUAUAUAUUUAUUAUAUAGCUGAAUUUUUUAUCUCGAAAUUUUAAUUGGUGAACGUAUAAUAUCCGUAUAAAUCACGUAUCUGAAUAAUUGUCGAAUUCGGUUUUUAGCUGUAUUUUUCAACUAAUUUAAAAAUUAAAAGACGAAUUAUAUAUGUACCGAAUUUUUACCGAAUCCGAAUUAACUAACUAUACCUCUAGCCACCAAGUUUGGUUUAGCUGCGAUCGAUCUCAUAUGUUCAUCUGCUCGCUCUCGACGUGCUUUAUUAAUUAAUUGAUAUUUGAAGGGCAAAUUAGAAAAGUAUUUGCUGUAUGAAGGAUAUAUAAGAAAAGUUAGUUAUACAUUGGAAUGGGCAAAAUGGUAAUUUUUCAGAAAUAACGGCAGCUCAUUGAUGGAACUUAACUACAGGGGUAAAUUAGAAAGACUUGAAACAUAAGAAAGGUAUUUUCAAUAUUAGCCUUCUAACAAGGAUAAAUAAGAAAAUCGAAAACUUUUCAGAGGUAUAUAGGCAAUUGCUUCUAAAUAAAAAUGUCUCUGAAACAAAUUCUGAUCAAUAAUUGUUGGUCAAUAUCUUUUUCAUCUAAAAUUUAGAUAGUUUGCCGUACAAAUGCACUUGGUACAAAUAAUGAAUUCUCCAACAACUUCUUCAAGUAAUAAAAAGAAAAAAUCUCAUAAAGCCGAUAAAUGAAAAUGUAAACUAAUUUACAGACCGUACUCAGUGCAGUUGAAUGAGGGCUUGACGAAGUUUUCGAAGCCUAAUUAUUUUUCUCAUUUUUUGGAAAAAUAAGUGGAAUGUCAACUUUUCAUAUUUAGAUACGAGUUUGAAAAUGAUUCGUGACUCAGAUAACCUCUGCGUGUUUUUACCUCGUAGAUCUGUGACUAUGACUGCACAACUCAAGCCAUGUUUCCUGGGUGGGCCCAAAAGAUGGCCCCCCCCCCCUCUUUAAAUGUGUUGUGACCUUGACCAUGGCUGAAUACAGGGAUCAUCAUCUCCUUUUCAUGUACUCUCCCUUUUGCUCUCUCUGUGGUCGGUGGGUACUGGGUACUACUUACUUCCGUAACCAAUUUAAUAAGUGCCGUUUGAGUAGAGCUUUCCAAUUUACUAUUACUAUGCUCGAGAAGCAAUGUAUUGGGCGAGGAUUGAUUUAUUAUACUAUGCUCAAACUGCAGACUUAAACUUUUAGACUGAACGGAUUCUAAUAAAUGCGUGUUAUCUAGUAAUUGUAUAGAUUCCGGUUGCGCCAGAAUUCCCUCAAUAUCUGCAGAAUGACAGAGUCCUCAACUAGACCAGAAGAAGUUCAAGAACCAUCACAGAAAUUGCAGCCAUGCCCAUUUCAGCAUUCAUACAGUUUAGGAAUAGCAUUAUCCUCCAAAUGCACUGUAGUAAAUGAGGAAAAUUGCAUUGUAAACAACUAAUAGAUAACUAUUGGGUAAAUUGCAUAUUUGGUCCUUAAACUAUACGGCGGGUGACAUUUUAAUUUCCAAACUUUAAUUUGUUGUAAUUUCUGAAUCGAACUUUUAGAAUUAUUACUAUUAAGUUUCACAACCUAAUUUAGUUGAUUAAAUAUUAACGCAUUGCUAAUAUAAACGUCACAUCUUAAUUAUUAGCACAGCAUCAAUUACAAUAUUGCUACAUCACUUCUACGUAAGCAAUAUAUCGAUAUUUAGUCAGCUAAAUUAAGUUCUAGAAUUUAAUUGCAACAAUUUUGAAAGUUCGAGCAAGAAAUUAGAAUAAAUUAAAAUUUAAUAGGAUCCAAUGGGCAAUUUACCCUUAACUAUUCAAACAUCUGAUGGUUUCAUUAGGAAAUGGACUUCAUCAGAGUCAAUUGUUUAAAACACUUUGCUUUAAGUCCAAAUAAUAACACACAAAACCCUAGCUCAGAGACUGACAUAAUCUUCUGAUAGCACAUCCUCCAUUGAUUAAACAUCUUAAUAGCCCUUACAACAUCAGUAGGUAACAGAAAGAAGACAAUAUUUGCAUUGAAAUAUCAACGAACAGAAUAAUUAGGAUUUUUUAUAUACAGCAUCGUAGACGACAGUUUUUUUAAAAAAUAAAAUUUUAGCGUAUAUACAGAAAGAUUUUUUUCCUUUCUGCGAUCCAUCCGGUAGUGACUUCGUGGAUGGGAAUUAAAUAGUGGUUUGCGAUUAAUUUGCUAAAAACAGAUCCUGUUGCCGAGUUGGUUGUACAAUGGAAGGAGCAAGUGGGUCCUUAGACAAGAUAAUGUUGCCCGAUAAGUCCAUCUCGUAUUGAAGCACACUGUAGUCCAUGAUGAUUCGGCAAGAGCCCCAGUUAUCAGCCUGCAUGUCGAUACCGAAGUAUUCUAGAUGGUCGGCGAUGCUGUUUCCUUUCACGGACCUGAAAAAGGAAGAGCACAGUAUAUUAGGGCAAAAUGAUCAACACAAUAUCGCAGUAGAAAAUAGGAUUGCAGCUCGCGUGGUGUUUAAGAAGAACAUGCCAAUUGCCAAACGAGCCCGACAGAACCUUAUAAGUUGGUUGUUUAUAAAGACCCAACCUGAAGAUGAUUCCAAUCUAAUCCAAGCCCAAUCAAAUCAACCUAAGAAAUUACAUCAGAGUUAACUAAAAUAGUCCUUGAAGGUUGAACCAACUCUCAGUUUCCUCCAUAUGAGUUCCAACUGUGGCAUUUCAUCUCUAAUGUUUGAUUGCUAACAGUUUCGCCGUCAAUCAUUUUAGUCCUGGAGUUCAAGCGUGAUUUAAGUUUCAUCCUUGGACCCUUCUUAGAUCACAGGUUACUUGAUGGGCUUAAAUUGUUCGCAAACUUCAGAGACUAAACUGUAAGAGUUGAAGUUGAGGAGUUUGAAAUCAAGGUCAAAAUUUGAGGAUUAAUUGUAUGAUAGGCAUUGUUACAUAAUUCUAUUUUCCUCCUAUCCUAUUAGAUGGAAACUACAGAGGAACAAGGCAAAAUGUUCCACUUCUUUCAAUUACAGAGAAAGGGUGAACCUUAGCAUUUCAAAAUUUUCCCUUCACUGAACUUUAUUACGUGGAAAUCAAGUAACCCAAUGGAAUCAAACCCUAAACCCAAGUUCAACAGGACACAACCUUAUUUUAGCCCCACCCAACGCCAGAUUGGGUUAGAGUUGAAGAAUAUUCCCAACGUGAGAUAGGUACGGUUGGGUCUCAGCUAGAACCUAAAUGCAUUUUUUUUUGUGUGCGAGAGAGAGAGAGAGAGAGAGAGAGAGAGAGAUACCUGCUACACGAUGGAUCUUCACCAGAGCCAUCGCAGAUCUUCUCAGUCAUGUACACUAGAGUUCCUACUCCAAUGUUGUGAAGCCAUACCUGAAAAUUGGACCAUAUAUCAAAUUUUAUUGGAGAAUAUCUAGAGGUGCUUUAUUAUGCAAGAGAGUACCAAUAAUUCUAAAAAUAUUGCAUACGGGAAAAAUUAAAAUAUAAUUUAAAAGAAAAAAAAAUAGAAGAAAACAAGAUGUUAUAUAUGUAACACUUUAUUAGAAAAAGAAUCAUCUAACAAAACCUAACAGUGAAAAGGGAAAGCAAAAAAUAGACUAGGUUACCUACUUAGAGCACCUUCCUGAAGCAGAAACUUGUAAACUAAUGCAUCUUUUUGUCGAAAAGAAUGGAUUUUUAACAAAAAAAGCUCAAAAGGCAAAUCUACAACUAUAUGAUUUUGACUUUUCCUAAUUCUGUGAAAAUUUUCUCAAGUAAACAUGAAGAACCACAAUGUAGCUUUUAAAAAUACUAAUACAGCGACACAGCAUGAAAUGUUCUUAUAUGGUAAUGUUGAAAAUGGUUUAGAGAUGUUCCAAUAAAAUUCAGCUUUUUAAAAAUUACGGCAGAGCAUUACAAAACACGUCUCAAUCUAAAACUAAACAAAAUAGAAAGGGCAUACUGUACCUCUCUUGGGAAGUGAUGGUAUGUUUUCUUGGGGAAGUAAGAGUAGUAUGGCGGUAAAUGAGGCACAAUAUCCUGCUCGUGUGUAACCCUGAUCGCAUGCUUUACAUUUUUACUGAAAAAUGACGCAAAAGCAGCAUUGCCGACACGAGGUUGUCCAAAGGUCAUAAGUUCGACAUUGCGUAUUCCCUCGUUGACCUACAAGACAAAUUUUUCCGUUCAAAUAAAGGGAAGUGCAUUUACAACGUAAAAUAUCCGAAAUUUGACGGGAGGAAAAGGUGCAAUAGAAAAUAAAAGCAAUUAUGUUGGUAGAAAGAAGCAUAUGGUACUUACAAUAAGAUCAAGCGCACAAAAGGAAGCCAAAGCCCCUCCCAUGGAAUGCCCUGUGACCAUUAUCUUGAUAUGUCCAUAACUCCUCCUAAUCUUUUCAACAGCACUUAUAACCGCAGGACGUAUCGUUGUGUUAUGGUACGCCGAAUAAAAUCCACGAUGCACCUUCAAUAAAAGCAGGAAAGAUGUAAAGAACACUAGUACCAAGAUUAGAUUUGGAAAAUGACCUUUUUAGAGUAUACAAUACCAACCAUCGCAUCAGGCAUGCCGGGGUAGUUCAAAUCAAGCUGUUUCCAUAACAGAUCCUCUACCCAGUUCUGGAUGCUGAAACAAUGAAAAGAAGUAAAUAAUCGAAUAAGAAAAUGACUAAAAAAACAUAAAUAAUAUGCAGAUAGAAAAAAUCAGAUUGAUCUUCUUCCUCCACUGCCUUUUAAUCUUUUAGGGUAAUUAAUCAAGGAUUCCCUACAAUUCUGUAGCCUGUAGAUCUUUUAUGUGCAAACUAUAAUUUAUACAAACUUAUGUUGAGUAAUUGCUAUAAAGUAGGAUUUCAAAUGUAAUCUGCAAGCUCAGUUCUAAAAUUAUGUACACCACAAUUACGAAGCAAAGUAGAUAGAUGGUGGGGCUCAUACACCAUAUUAUCCUCCAAUAUUUGCAUAUAAUUCAAAUAACAACAAUAAAUCAAAGGUGCAUAAUUGACAGAACCUCACUUAGUACCACCUAAGAUUCUGUGCAUACAGUAAAGGUUUGUAAUGCAUCUAGGCAACGCAAAUGAAAUUAUCUUAGGGUAAGUUUGGUUCCAUAUAACAGCAGAAAAUAGUUUUCAAAGGAAAAAAAUUUUCCAAGGAAAAAAUUAUAGCAACAAAAUUUAACCAUUCUUAAGAACCAAAAGAUGAAACAUCUAAUGUGCAAAAUUGAGACUUAAAAAAUAAAAAAUUCAUAACAUCUUAACAACAAAGUGUUAACCUGCCUAUUCAAAGUUACUAUGAAAAGCUCCAUACCUGUUCUCCUGAGUUCCUCUGAAAGCUACUAUGAUAGCAUCAAGAUUGUGAUCAACACCAACAACUGCCUGCAUCAUAGGUCAUACACAAUGUGCUUAAUGACAAAUCUUUUCACAAGGACAACAUAUUGGAAAACAAAAAGGAACCUGUAAGCAGUGCUGGACAUCCACAAUCAGCUCUAUCACCUCAAACCCCUGUUUCAAUAAUACUAAUGAGGUUACUAUCUACUCAAUAAGUACGGAAAGUACAUCAUGAUUAACAACAACAAACACCAUCCAAAAGCAAAUCGUGCAUGCAACUACGUGAGAAAAGAAAAUCCAAAACUCUAACCUUCGUCAAGUCAUUACAUCUUGAGCAGGUCCAUGUAAAUAGUGCUGUUAGAUCUGUCUCAGUUACCUGAAAAUCGUAUUAACGUUCAUCGCCAUAGGUCAGAAAUCAUGUUGAAACAGCAGAGUCUAAAAUGAAAUUCACAGAUCUAAUAAAGUAUGCAACUCAGAUGAGUUGUUGGAUAAGGCGAACCCUAACAAAUUAACUCAACCUUACGACAUCUUCACUUCUAAUCAGUACUAGCCUGACUAAAUGGUUAGGCUUUCUUCAAUAUAACCUGACCUGAUUUCUUCAUGGGGUAAAGUAGAGUUGGGCUAGGUUGAAGACAGUUUGGAUUUGGUUAGGUUGCCAGGUUUGACAUAAUUAAAAUUAGUGGUUGAAAGGAUUGAGACGAUAGAGUUCACCAAUUCUUUAAUGGAAAGGUAAACCUUUUCAUUCCAUAUUUUUUAUCUUAUCUAAAUGCAAGAAACGAAAAAUGAAUAAUACUUGGUAUAAAAUACAUAUUAUACAUAUUCUAUAAUAUAUGACUGCGUCGUACUGAUCAGGCUAAACUGGGCUCUGUUUGAGGUCUUGGGGUUGGGUUGAUAUUUCCCAACUCUAAAUCAACUUAGGUUCCAAACUGGCAUUAUAACUUGGUCCAUGAUCGUGUUGGCUUGACCAGUGUUCAAUUGAACCCAAACCAAGUAGCAGCUAUAGAACUGAUUAAGCACAUAUUUUAUUUCGAAGAAAAAUAAAACCAAUCGCUAAUAAUAACCAAUUUAGGAAAACAAAAAUGUUUGAGAAACAUGCCAACUACAACUAGUUUGUGAAAGCAAAGAAGUUCAAGAACUUAAAAUGUGCAAUUACAACUAGUUUGUGAAAGCAAAGAAGUUCAAGAACUUUAAACUAAUGGUGGAUCUUCUAGAAGAGAAACAGGGUAUCUGCGAGAUAACAGUUUUAUCAAACAAAAUAAAUUAGAAACGAAAGCUUACAGCAGAAGAAUAUUCCACGAGUAUCAUGGCAAUAGUGUGGUUAUAAAUCUGACUGUCGUCAUCAUUCUUGAUGGUAAGUUCUGCGGUUGCAAAAACAAAAGAUAAGGAGGCCAUCAGCAUUGCAAGAAAACAACUACAACAAUAAAAACAAUAGACUUUAAACAAAGCACUUGAUGCAACAAUUCAUAUCGGAAGAAAGGAUACAAGAAUGUGCCCGAUGUCCCAAACAAAAGUAAGCUCAACUUCCCAAAUCUGUUUUGUAGUGCAGAGUCUAAUCAUCAUCCUGUUGAUUUGGAAAACUUUUCUGUCCGGGCAUUUCAAAUUGUUUGUUACAUACUCACAACUAGCAGUAGGUUCUGAAGGAAAUUACAACAGAACUGCAUUUUGAAACACAGGGCGGUUGUCCAUAACUGUGCUAUACAAAGGGGAGCUUAAUUCAGCAUUGUGAAAUAAUUGUUUGUCACUAAAAGCUAAAGCCACUAGAAAACGGUGUUUUAAUAUUUUACUUUCAACUUUCCCUCUCACAUCUUGGAUCGAGAUUUUUCCGAGCCCCAAGACAUCAACUUGAACUUCAAUGAGGGAAAAAUGAUUGGAAUCAGGAGAUUGGUGGGAUUUGAGCUUAGGAAACUUGCUCCCGAUACCAAGUGAAAUACCAGCUCCUCAAAAAAGUUUAUGCUACCAGAGAAUGGCGUUUUAACACUUCAUAUUCAAGUGGUCGACGGGUUUCAAAAGUCCUUCCUUUUGCUGUAUGAGAAGAGAGAAAAUCCCUAUAUUUUUCAGCAUUUAGGUGUAGCUUCAAACUAUUAGUAUUCAAUGUUACUCAAUUUAAGACACUUGUAAUAACAAAAAUCAAAUUAUUGGCGCAAAAUAAAGAAUUUUCUUUCUUAAUUCAUGCCUAUUUGAUCAGAUCUUACAUUGCACAAUACAAAUCCCAUCUCCCUCAUUUCCCACUCAAAUUUAAGACUUAGAACAAAGCAAAUCUAACUGAUCCACAUCACCUUUAAGCAUCAUCAAGUAGAAUAUCCGAAAUUACUGCUACAAACAGCUCCAAAACCGAAAUUUGUAGCAUAAUUAGUAGCAAAAUUAGGGCAAAUUACCUCUCCCUUGACAAACCGAUCCCAACAAGCAGAUCAAAGCAACCCCCUUCGCCCAUCCAUGCCAUUCCAUACCCUAAAACUCCCCCCCCCAAAAAAGAGAAAAAAUUAAACAAAUUCCACUACAAAGCAUCACUAUUUACUCUCGAUCCACCACAAAAACGAGCGAAAAUAAACAAAAAGGCUAAAAAAUAAAUAAAAUUACCUCGAAGAGCGACGAGAUCGCGAUUCCGAACGGGUCGUAUCGUGGUGAAAGAGGAGACCCUCUUCUUCGCUUCUGGGUUUUUUUUUUAUUUCUAAUUUUUUUGGUUCUUUUAUUUUUAUUUUUAAUAUAUAGCUUUGGAUUAGCUUCGUCACGGUCGCUUUAAUAUCCGUGUUUGGGGAGGAAGAGAGAGAAAGAGAGAGAGAGAGAGAGACAAACGCGGAACGAUUCAGAGUCCCUCGCAGAGAAUCCGAAGUCAAAUCGAGCUUAUCCCGAUGAUCAAAUUACGUAAAUAAAUAUAUACACGUAAUACCAUAAUAAAAUAAAGGCCAAUUUGCAUAAAAAAUUUACAAAUUUUAAGUUUUUACAAAACUGAACCACAUUUUUUAAUUUUACAGAUUCGGACCGAAUUUUUCGCCAUCAGACAAAAGUACCCUUAUUCCUUUUCUUUCUCUCUUUUCUUUUUUUUUCCUUCGCUAUUUUUUUUUUCCGCCACCCGCUGCUGCGCCUUCUGUUGCACCCCCGCCGCCGCGCUCACGCUCGCCCUCGCCGCCGCCUCGCCUACCUCUACUAUCAACCCCCCCUUCUCUCCUUCCUCCUUCUCUCCGUCUGACCCCACUGCGCCCGGAUCUCCCCCCGAUCCUUCCACCCGCGCCAUUGCCACUGCCACAUCCCACCUUCUCCGCUCCGCCGCGCCGUGCUUCGUUGCCGCCACCGCUAAGGGCCCGCAUCUCACACGAUGCCCCGGCCGCCACCCGCGCCGUUGCUGUUGCUGCAUCCCAUCUUCUUCUUAGGGCUUUAGGGAGGAGGAGGAGAAAGAAAGAGGAAGAAGAGAAAGAAAAAAAAUAGUGUAAAUUGUAGGAAGAAGAAGAAAAAAAUAAUGUAAAUUUCACCUAAAUGGUGUAAAAUUGGGCAAAAUUGUGCAAAAUUCAGUAAAAAAUUGGCCCAAUUUUGAUGAGAAUUGCCCAAUUUUGCACCAUUUUGUUUAAAAUUGUACAAUUUUUUCUUCUCCUCCUCUUCCUCUUUCUUUUUCCUUUUUACACCAUUACACCAUUUUUUACAUCUUAAAAAAUUAUAUUUUUUUAACGCUUUCAUCUCCCUCGCCGGAGAGUAGGACUCAGACAGCGAUCUUGAGGUGGACGAGGGAAGCUUCUUCAGCCGGUCGCGCUCCCGCGGGUCCUCCAACUCGAACAACACCACCAGCCUGGACAAGAACCCGCGCCCGGCGUGCUGGCGGAGAGAGGCCUGGUUCGCGCCCGACACCGACGUUGACAGGAUGUCGUAGGCGAUGAGGUGUGGCCACAGCGGCACGAGGGACGCGACCGAGGAGUCGUUGUCGAGGAGGAGGGAUUCUGGAGGAGGGGGGUGGCGGUAACAGGGGGAGGCGUGCGGCGAGAGGGGGCGGAAAAGGUUGGCGGGCAGCAUGGAGAAGAGCGGGCGAAGGAUUCAAGGGGGGAGCGGGCGUCAGGCGAAGCGGAUGGCCUAGGAAAAAAAUGGUGAAGGAAAAAAAAAGAAGAGAGAGAAAAAAAGAAGAAAAAAAAAGAAAAGAAAUAGGGGUAUUUUCGUUCGAUGGUAUAAAAUUCGGUUCGAAUCUACAAAAUUGAAAAAGAUGACCCAGUUUUGCAAAAAUUCAAAACUUGUGGAUUUUUUAUACAAAUUGGCCUUAAAUAAAAUUAAUAUUAUAUUUUUAUAAAUAAAUUUAUAUAAUUUAUUUUAUAAAUUAAAAUAGGGCUACCGUGCUAUUGGAAACACAACACUUAUAUUUUUAACUUUCUAACUAUUCAUCAAUUUUGAUGGACGGUUAGGAUGAGAGAAAUGAGAGAAAUUUAAAAAAAUUCAAAUAGAAUAAAAAUUGAGACAUCUUUUUUUUUUUUUUCUCCCUCUCUCUCAUCCUNNNNNNNNNNNNNCCUAAUCAUCUAUCGUUCAUUUUCACUUUCUCAUCUCGUAGCUUAAAAAAUUUUACUAUAUUCUUAUGUGAUUUAACUCAUUUUUAUUUUGCCACCCUCCUUAAUUUGGCAUAUAUUUUACUUUUUCAUCCUAUAAUUUUUUUAAAUUGUUUACUUUGUCGUCGUAUUUUUUAUAUAAAAUUUUUUGAUAAAAUAAAAAAUUAAACCAAAAAAAGCAGAAUAAAUUUGUUGGAACCACAGAAUAACAAAGUAAAACCGAGCUAAACGCCUAAACCAUAAUGAUAUUAAGGAAACAAUUUGAAUUUUACCGUUGUUAUUAUAUAAAAAUUAAAAUUUAAAAUUUAAAAUAUAAGUAUGUAUGAACAAAAUAAUGAUAAUAAAUUAUAAUUUAAGAUAAGGACUAGCCGCGAAAUUUAUCCCAAAAUAAAAAAAAUAAACUCACAGUUUUAGGUAAAUCGUAAUUAGUGGAGAUAAUAUUAUAUCUGAAGCAAACCAUCUCACUUCCUCUCCGCCGUGCUUUAAGAUUCGCGUCGCCCACGCGAUGAACGGCGGAUAAGGCCACCGUUCUCGCGUAACUUUGGCCACCGUCCUACACCUUCAAGAAGCCUCUCUCCCCACCACCACCACAUCACCUCUUCUCUCAACCGCCGCCCCAAAACCCUUCUCCGAUCCCUAAUCGCCGACGCCCAUGGCGGCGGCGGCGGCGGCGGCGGCGGCGGCGGCGGCGCCCCAUCUCCCCGAGGACAUCGCUCUCUCUAUCGUGUCCCUCCUCGACGUAACCCUCUCUCUCUCUCUCUCUCUCUCUCUCUCUCUCUCUCUCUCUGUAUUACUCUUCUCGAUUCUAUGAUUAUUAAUGGCGAUCGUGUUGUUGUGGUGGUGGUGGUGGUGGUGGGCGAGAAGGUCGUGGACGUGUGCGCGCUGGGGAGUUGCUCCCGCUUCUGGCGCGGGAUCUGCGGCGCCGAUUGCGUGUGGGCCGAGCUCUACGAGCGGAGGUGGCCGAAGUCGGCGGCUUCGGGCGAUGGCGCGGCCGGAUUCGGCGGAGGAGGCCGAGGUGGUGGAGGAGGAGGAGGAGAGUGCUCCGGUGAUGGUGGUGUUGAUGAGGCUUUGUUGGUUCCUACACAGGUGGAGGUUUUUUUAGAUUUAUGAUGGUUCUUUUUGCUAAUUGCGGUGUUAUUUGAAGAGUUAUAGCUUUUUGUGUAGUUGUGUAUUAGUCCGGUACGGAGGUGGAUAUCAAUUCCAUGGAUAGUGCUAGUUCCAAUUUUGAUAAGGGCAUGGGGAUACUGCUGUUCGAUGAAGCGGUGCUUGAGGAGCGCUAAUAUGAAAUGGACUAUUAAACAGAAAUCUCCUUUAUAGUAUCUAUCUGCAGCGGAAUCGGAGGCACGAAAUCGGAGCUUCUGAUUUUGGAUCCCAAAAUCACAUUUCUGCGGCAAGUUCUCGCCACAAAGGCAAAAACCGAAUCGAAGUUUCGGUCAUUUGGUUAUCUUGAAUAAAUUCUCAUCCAAAUUUUAUUAGAUAAAUUUCUUGCUCUUCAUUGUGUAACUUGUAACUUGUAUUAGACAAAAACCAAAUUGUAUAUUUGUAUUAGAUAAAUUUUUUAGCAGUUCUCAUUAUCAUCAAGAAUUCUUCAUUGUGUAACUUGUGUAGAAUCAGGUAGAACCGCUUCUAAGAUCUCAUCCUAAUUGUAUUAGAUGAAUUUCCUGGUUAUGUGCUAUGUGCUACAAAUUGAAAAUUUUAGUUCUCAUUAUUCACAUGAGAUUCUUCAUAAUGUAUCUUGCUUAGUAUCAUGUUCUAAAUGAUUAGCACGUUUCUUCUAAAGUUAAUUUUGUCUUUUAGUACUUCAACCGAUUUGUCAUGCUGCAGGGGUGGAAGGCUUUAUAUGUAAACAAGCACAGGAAAGUGGCCACAGCUAUUUCUGGUGUGGUUGAGUUUGUAGGACAGUGGUCACAGAAUGAGUCACUUGAAAUUGGAAAUCAUUUGAAAGCAAUUUGCUAUCUGAACUCAUUGAAGAUUGGCUUCAAAGAUGUUCAAUUUUUUCUCUUCACGAGAAAGCAUACUGUGCUGCUGAAUCUCAUCGGAUUGCAUUACUCCAUUAUUUGGUUAGAAAUAUUGGUAAGUGAUUUCGCGAAUCUCAAAUGCACAUACCUUUUAUUCAGAUCGAGAUUGCGUCAACUGUUUACUUUUGCAGUGUGUACUACUUUGUGGUGCCUCUUUAGUGAUGUUUUCCUGAUUAGAUCAAACUCUCAAAUUGAACUUGUUCCCUUGUUUCUAUUUUGAAGCUUUAAAUGGUUUAAAUUUGCAGCCAGAAAAAGUAAUGGAAGCUCUAUUGAACCGCCAAAUAUCUGAGCGGCAAGUAUGCGUGAGCUGGUUCAAGCUUGGCCGAUGGUUCUAUGGUUUCCGCUUGCAUGAUGAGCAACGAUCAAAAAGAGUUUCUUUAGGUGAGCUCACAAUGGGCCCGGAGGAAGAGGUUCUUGGUGUGCUCAACCGUGGGGCUGUCCACGAAGUGUUGCGCGUCCAAAUCACAUCCGCCAAAUGAUCAAUAUAAUGAAAUCAAGGUAUCAAGAAACAAAGUAGUAGGAGUUGGUUAUAUGUCACAUUGUAACCGAAAGAUGUAAUUGUGUUUGUGCACUACUGAGGGGCCCCAACAUAUUCGCAUGGUCCAAUUUGGUCUGCAGACUUCAGUUUGUUACAAUCGGAUUGCUAAUGGUUUGGUUACGGACCCAACUGUAAUAACUGAAAGGUUGUGACUAGAUUGAAUCCUCCUGAAAACAUUGGAGACCUGUUGUGCAAUUUACCCUGUAUAUUUAUGUAAAUAAAGUGUUUCAAAUAGUCAAGUUUAAUAAACGGUCAUACAUGUGAAACUUCAUGCUGCAUCUGUAAAUUAUUUUAUGUUGCAUCUGUAAACAACUGUAGCCAGACUUGGUCCUAUGGAAGAAAUUUCAAAUCUAAUGUUUAGUAACUCUUGUUCUCAUAUUCUUACUGAGAUUCAUGUCUUAAUUUUGGAUAUCUUUCUACUACUAAUCUGAAUUGUCUAUUUCUCAUGUGUGAAUACUUGCAGAAAAAUACUUUGUUAUUUACAUAUAAGUCUGUGUGAACUCAGAACAUGAUUGCUCCUAUAGAUUGAUCCUUCAUUAAUUCAGUUGGUAUGACAGCAAUGCCAAAAAGAAAACAGUUGCUCUUCCCUUGGAUUUUACAGUCGACAACAUACUUAUAAUUUUUAUUUGAGAAUCAGGAAAUGACUUUUUACAGAUAGCCAUCAAAAUACAACAAAGAGUAGCAGCAUGAAUUUGGAGAUCUGGAUAUUAUAUUAUUAUGUUCUAUCGAUCCCUGUUCGUCGAUCGUCAAUGAGCUGAUGACGCAAUCGGCACUGCACCACCUUCUUCUGAACUCUUCUUCUCCGAGAUCUUCACCUCACCAUCUAUUUCCUCAAUGGAUAUGGUCUCCUUGAAGUCUACUGAAUUUUGUCCAAUUGAUUCGCCUACAAAUUGUGCCAAAAUAUCAUAAUGAUGAACUACAUUAAGUAAUUUAAAUGCGAGAGAACUAGGUGCAAUCACCUUCUGUUAUCUUUAGUUUAUAGAUAGGAAAAGAAACUAAUGAAUAAUAAGAGGAAAUAGUUUGUGAAUGUUGGUUCAUGUAUAGCAGUAGCAUUGUUCAUUAUUGGAAAAAUAGUAUUGUCAAAAGAGUUUGAAUAUUUUUACCAUCUUCUUCUUUAAGAUCUUCUUUAACAGGAGUCUCAUCUUUCUUGUCCAAUGCUUCAUUGUUCUCUUUGUCCUUGGCCUCUCUAUUCUCCUUCAACCCUUCCUCAUCUCCAUCAUUUUUGACCUCUUUUUUUUCAUCAAACUCCUCAUUUGGUAAAUGGUUUUCAACUUCUUCUGGUAUAGCUUUCAUUUCAAUUUUCUCCUCUUCCUUAUUGGAUGAGGAAUUCUGAUCCGACGGCUCCUCUGGAGUAAGCCUCUCCUCUUCGAUGGCCUUCUCUGAUGCCCCAUUGCUCGCUUCGGUGCUCGCUUCGGUGAUCCCUGCGUUAGUUUGCGUGCUGCUCAAGCUUUUAUCGAUGGAACUGUUGUUUGUCGUUAAAGAUGACGUGCUCUUUGCAGUGCUCGAUUUCUUUCGGAAGAGUUGGCUGGUGCUCACCGUGUUUCCGGUGGCCACUUCCUCUUUCGAUCCCCCACAACCCAUUGAGAUAAGAGAAAGAGAGAGAGAGAGAGAAAUGAACAAAGGAAAAUGAGUUAUAAUAAAGAGAUAGAGAUUGAAUGGAAGAGUGCUUGAAGGAGAUGCAAAGAAGAGUUGAAACAGGGUGAGCUUAUAUAGAGCCUUUUGACAACUUGGACUUAGAAGGAAUGAGCUAUUAUUGGGAAAGGAAAACUUUGUUAACUACAUAACCUCUUCUAACUAAUUUUAGCUAUAUAUGAUGGCUAAGAUCUCUUGGACAAAUCUAUUUUGUUGUCACCUACAUUGUUUCCCUUUUUUAGUUAUGUCUCUCUAAUCAACUAACUUUUUGACUUUUAUGUGAUUCAUUCCAUUUUUUUAAUGUCAUUUUUUCCUUUUUUAGUACCCAUCUCUCAUUGAAAUAGGCCAUGUAAUAGUGUAAUAGCUGUUAUUAAAAAUUGGCAGCUAAGAGUAGCUAAUCCUUUUUCCAUUGUAUGGCAAGGGUUUGGUAUAUUGUGCUUUAUUUUGCUGAAACUGAAUAACCAAACUGAAUUUAAAUGUUUAGGUGAAUUUGGUUCUGUUGGUUGAGAUAUUCCAAAAAUUCCAAUUUUUGGUUUCCAAUUAGAUAGUAGUGAAACCAGGUUGGAUAAUAUUUAUUGGAUCCAGCUACCAAAUCCGAGGUUUGUCGCAUAUAUUUUUACAUAUCUUUGAUAAUUUUCUGGAAGUGGAUACAAUUUGAAGCCAUACAAGUGUUCAUGUAUAUGUAUGUGUAUCAGAAUUUUACAGAAUGUAUUGUAGGAUGUUAACAUUGCACAUCUUUCCCAUGUACUUUAUGAUGAUUACCCAAUUUAUUUGUUCUAUAUUUUGCUGCAGUAUGAUAUUUUUCUUACUAUUGCAGGUAUACACUUUGAAACAAUAUGAAUAUAUUUGAAUCCUGAUUAAGCAAACACGGUUUCAAAUGCCGGCAAAUGUGAGAAGUCCGCAUCCUCGUGUAUUUGGAGCAUGGUUUAUCUGCGGAAUCUGCUGGUAAGUUUUCGCUUUAACAUCUAACAUAUAUUACGCACUUUUUGUUGCAGAUGUUUUCAAAAAAGCUUCACUGCAGAUGCUAGAAAAGCAAGCUGAAAUCAUAUUUUCUGGCCUUUUUGCUCGAAUCUUGACUGAGCAAGCAAAUCAAACACUACAAGGUGAAUAUGUUGUUUAUGUUGGAUUUGGAUUACUCCGUCUUCACUGACCCCAAAACCACCCCCAAAAAAAAAGGGAAAAAAAAGAAAAAAAAAUCUCAGCAAACUGAGUCUUUGAUCUGCAUCCUCUCUGAGCAUAUAUUAAUUCUAAGAAAGACUUGUUGAUGGGCUGAGAAAGUGUCAAAAUGGGGGCCCAGGUGGGCCCAGUGGGCCAGGGGGCCCACCAAAGAGGGGCCCACAGCAAUCCUGUACCAAGCAGCAGCAGCAGAGAAAGUACAAGCUGCAAGCCAAACAACAGAAAAAGGUUAGUUGAACCACAGAUCACUAACCAUUACCCGAUUUGUCACUUCGGUCGUCAACAUUUUGUUUCUUAUAAUUGAGCUCAUAUCGUACGUCAGUUAAAAGUCUCUUUUCUCUACAAGCCUUGCUAAUUUUGACGUAAAAUUGCUGUAAUACUGACGUGACAGGCACAGAUUGGUGUCGAUUCGAUAAUUUCUGUUCGAGUUUAGUGGAUAUUUUGAUUUUGAUCCCUACUAGAUAUAAUGUUACGGAAACAAGAAGAACUAACCAUGGCUCGAAGAAGCCGAGAAACCCGGGGCCCCAGAAUGGCCCACCGGGUCCGGGGCCCCACCCAGGUGGGCCUGCAGGAAGAGGAGCCCACCCAGGCCCACCAGGCCCACCAGGUCCCAUUCUCACCUCCUACUACAAAAACACACAAAGGGAGCAGGAAUGAAUGAAUGAAUGGGCAAAAACUCAUACAUUGCCUUUGGCUCCUUUCACUGUUGGGUUUAUAUAUAAGGCCAUGAGGAUAUGGUGAGCACUAUGCUUUAUCUAACUUGUUAAAAGUUUGUGCUUGAAUAGUUGAUAGCUCUACCAUUCUACAACAUCAACUUGUCCCAUCUACUUAUCUACUAACUACCAUUCAAGUGUCCUCUACUUGUAAUUUUUUUUUUUAAAAAAAAAGGAGAUAAUAUGGCCUUAAGUAGAUUAGCUUUUUUUUUUUUUUUUUUGGAAAAAAGAUAGCACGAUACCCGUUUUAUUUAUUCAGACGAUAAACUAAAUUAUAUGGGUGAGGCAGCAGAGCCUCGAGAUAGGUGAAAAAGUGAAUAGGUCAAAAAAAAAAAAAAAAUCACCACUCCACUAACACUAUCAGGGUCCCGCUACGUGUCAUAAUUUUCCCCACAGAGAUGACAGUGGAUUAAUCUUAUAGAUUCCACGUAUUGGAUCUGCCAUGGAUUUUCUAAAAAUCACUCUAUUUUUGGUCUCCUAUAUGACCCACCAACAAGCUAUUACUCUAAUUAAACCGUUGUGCAUAGGUUGCGCACCCUUCCGCCUUGUACAUAAAUCCCAAAUUAGAUGCGCAUCUUCUCCCAAAUCACUCGGUUGGACAUCCUCUAGAGACAUCACCAUGAGGAAUCUGGAGAACAAGCAUCAAGAAAAAAAGUGAUCAACUGUUUCCGCAUGUGACCCACCAAAUUAGCUGCAAAAAUAGUUGUUCUUGGAAAGAGUAGGCCAUAAGUACAUUAGCAUUAUGUAUUUAGUUAUAAAUACAUAAUACUAACUUUAAUGCCUUUAAUAUAUUUUAAAUUUAAUCAAAUAUUUUAAAUAUAUUUGAUUUUUUUUAUACUGUACAUUAGUUCAUUUUAUUGCUAUAAAUAUUUAGUAAUUUGAUCUGUUAUAGAUACUAAUUUAAAAAAUAAAUAAAAAAUAAACUUACUAAUUAGAUUAAGUUUAAAUUAAUUUGAAUGAAAAUUAUAUUAAAUUUAACAAAACUUUAAAUCAAAAUUAAGUUAGUAUAUUUUUUGAAAAUCCACGGCGUCCCGCGGGAGUGGAGAUUCUCACGCAGAGUUGCACGGGAUUUUUUUGUUUUUUUUCUAUUGGCAGGGAUAGAGACCGGAAGGAACCCUCAAUCCUGAUUUUAUUUGUUAUACUUACUAAUUUGAAAUUUAAAUAGAAAAGAUUAAAUUUAUGUUAAUUUGAAUUAAAAUUAUAUUAAAUUUAACAAAAUUGUAAACAAAAUUAAGUUAGUAUAUAUUAUGAAAAUCCACGAAGUCACACCUCUCCUCCGAGAGGGGUACACCUCUCCACUGAGAGGGGCACAAGAGAAUUUUUUUUUUUUUUUUCCAUUGGCAGAGACAGGACAGGAACGGAGAUUCUAAAAACUCGCAGGGACGGAGGCAGAAAGGGGCCCUCAAUCCCGGCCCCGCCUGGUUGCCAUCCCUAAACAAAACUUCGCAGUUGCGAUAAGAAGGCAACAAAAGAUGAAUUUCGUAGAAUUCGAAAUAGGAAAUGUAGUGAAACCAUACAGGAGAAAAAUGAAGGACAACCACCAGUCCAUCCCUCUCUUAGGAGGUGUCAUUUUGGUCCUCGAACUUUCGAAUUAUUACAAUUUGGUCCUUACAUCUUUGCGAUCUUAUGUAAUGUUACUCGCCUCAUUAUAUUUCUUGACUAAAUUGGGUGGAAAUGACCAUAUCUUGUAUGGUCUUGAUCUAACUAAUGCUUUUAUAUGAACAAAUCAAACCAAAUCUUUUAAGAAUAACUCUGCUCAAUAUAAUUGAUAAAUGUGGGGGACAAAUCCAUUCCAAAUGCAUGUAACAUCUAAAGCUUGUCAACUACACAUGAGUAUUGGGAUUUUGCAAGAGUAUGUUUACAAAUAUGUAUUAAUUUUACUUUCCUCUUUUCGGAAGGGACAAGUAAAUUUAUUGCUCAUUAUUUGCUGCAUUCAACAGAGACUCUUAGGCCCCCAUCCAUUAAUGAGAAUUGGCCCUGUUCUCAACUAAAUUCCACAAAGAAAAAAAAACUAAAUUCCACAAAAAAAAAAAGCCCUAAUUUUAUUUAUUGAUCAUCCACACCUUUAUAUUUAAUAAGCAGAAAAAUAUCUUCCAAAUAAAUAGGAUAUAUAAUACGCCAAUCAUACAUUGACAUAUUAAAUUGAUAUAAUAUGAUGCCCUAUAAUGCAUCGCACUGGAGAAAAGUUUUUUUGUAUAAAAUUUUUGUCUUCUUUCUUUCUUUUUUUUUUUUCUUUUUUCUAGAGAGAACAUAAUGGGGACUUUUUGAAUUACCAUAAACACAUAAUAAUGUGUUAAUUUUAUGAUUUACGAAAAGCCAUAAACAAGUUCAAUCAAAUUAUGAACCCAUUUAAGGAUAUUUUAAAUAUGAUCAUAAGUUGGAAGGGAUAAUUGAUACAUGAUAUGGUAACUUGAAAAUAACACAACAUGACAUGGUAGGACACAACUAGAAAAUAAUUUAAAUUUUUUUAUUUUGUUUUUUUAUUUUUUCUUUUUUUUUAAAUAUGGCCAAGUUGUACUUAAAAUCACUCUUUUUUUAACCAAAAAGAAGAAGAAGAAGAAAAAUUUUUUGGCAAAAUCUAAAACAAAAUUGCCGAGUGGGGAUUCAUUGCACUUUUGGAUAUUUGCCUUUUUCUCAUGCAGGGUACAAAGAUAUUUAUCAGACCCAUAAAAUUUCUAAAUAUAAAAAAAAUAUAAAUAUGAAAGUUAAUUUACAGUGCACUGAGUCCAUCAAAAUCUUUUGAGGUAUGAAUGAGAUAAUUUAAUUGGAUGGUUAAGAUAUGCAUGUCUUUUGUGUUGGGAAAAUACUGGGCUGAAAUCUGAUUGUGAUUAGAAUCUAAUUAGUUUAAUGAUUAAAAUAAAUAAAUCAACUUACACAUAAAUACAUAUAUUUUAAUAAAGAUUUGAUCUUAUCCAGAAACGUGCGAGACACUACCCUAAAGUGUAUUCUCGUCUUUACAUACGGGAUUAACCGGAAAUAACACUCCAAGGUACAACUGAAUUCCUCCUUCUACAAGCACAAUCGUGCAAGAGGAAAAUAAAAGAUGAAAAGAAUUGAUAAAUAUGGAUAAACAUAUAUACUAAUAUUUUUCUAGCUACUCUGUAUUAUUAGAGGAGGAAAAAAGAGGAAGGAAAUUUCACGCUCUUUUUCGUUGCGAGAAAAAAACGUAUCCUGCGCAAUGGAAUGAAAUUUCGUUUUGCUCAAGAAAUGGUACGGGAGAAUAUCCCGUUGAUUUCUUUCUCACUAAAUAAAUAAAAUAAUAAAAAUAAUAAAUAAUAAAUAACAAUAAAUAUUAAAUAAAUAAUUUAAAAUUCAAAUAGAAUAAAAUUCAAAUUUUAAAAUUUUGAUUCUUUCACCAACAUUUCAUGGCAUGUAUGAAACUGGUGCAUGUUGAUUUUUCAUAGGCUAACAAUAGGAUGUUGACUCGAAAAAGUUAUCAACUCUAAUUUGAUUUUUCUCAAAGCCACAAAUGAAGCAAGUGAAAUACAAGGAGAAGCUCGAAAACUUAAUCAGUAAUUUAUUGAGUUUCGAUCCGAUUUAGAGAAAUUCAUUUAGGAUAAAAUGUUUGAAUUUUUUCUUGUAAUUUAGAAAGCUGGCAAUAAUUAUAAGACUCUUAUAUUUAAAUUGAAAUAAAUACAAAAGUGUAACUGUGCAUUCUGAAUUUUUCAAAUAAAAAAUAUAUCUCUCCUCCUCUUGGAUAUAGACAAGUUGUGAACUAUGUAAAUUAUUAUUAUCUUUUCUUUAUAUAUUUAUAUUUUAUUAUUUUUGCUAUUUUUUAUUCAUAUAUUUUUGUUGAAAAUAUAUGCAGAACGAUCGUUAGCCCCAACCACAUCAUUUAACUUUAUCCUAAUGCUUUUUUUUUUGUUAGGGCCUUAAUAAUUCAUUAACACAAUCAAUCAAUAGCAAGACAAAGAAACACAUGGAGAAGGGUCCUCAUGUUCUUUACGACCAUUAUUACUAUAGGCAAUUGCUUUAUUUAUGCUUUUUAUGCCGUAUAUAUAUCAUACAAAUCCUAAACAAAUAUUACCACCGUAUAGAAUAGCUGGUAAGUAUAAUCUUUCAUAAUGAUGCAUGCAUGUUUUAUAACUCGAAUUGCAUUUCUGUUUCAAAAGAAAUGUGUGCGUGUAUACAACCUACAGGCAUCUUUCCAAAAAUUUAAAAAGAAAAAUAGCCUUGCUGCUUAGGAUGAUAAAAGUUGGUACAUAAUGCCACCGUUUGGUCGGGGGUUAAGGGGUGGAAUAACCCCUUAACCCCCAAUUUAUACCCAAACACCACUCUUUUGGGGUGGGGUUAAACCCCACCCCAAACCGGGUUAGUGGGGUUUACUAAUCCCACUUCCCCUCCCAACUUUAACCCCGCACGCAUCCCGAUCCCUCACCUUUUUCUUCUUUAUCAAUCAUUAACCCCACUCCCCCUCCCAACUUUAACCCGGCACGCAUUCCGAGCUCUCACCUUUUUCUUCUUUAUCAAUCAUUAUCUUCUUAUCUCAUCUACUCCAACCAAAUAUUUUUUUUCACUAUCCUAGACUAACUCCAACCUCCAACCAAACACAAAAAAAUUUUAAUACUAUUUUAAUCCUGAACUUAACUCUAUCUCUGGAAUAGCUAUUUUUUCUUAACCCGAACCAAACGGGCGGUAAAUGUCUAAUAAAUUGUGGCAUUAAUUGGUUGUUCACACAUUGUCAUCAAAAAAAUCUACAUGUCUCCAUGCAUACAAGUGUUAGUAGCCCAAAAGGCAUAAACCACAAUGACCUUCCCAGUUCCCAAUAACAGGUCUCUUUCCUUGGUCUGUACUUUCUCCUAGGCUAAAAUGGUGCAGAAUUUGUUUAAAUUUUGAACCAUUUUAAUUUAGAAAAAAUUUCAAAUAUUCUUAUUGUGGCUUCACUCUUUCUCAUUUUAGUACCCGUGGUUUAAAGUGCAUCAAGUUAGUUCCAUGUGGUUUUGCAUUUUCUCACUUUAGUAUCAUGCGGUUUAAAGUGUAUCAAGUUAGUACCAUAUGGUUUCGUACUUUCUCACUUUAGUUUCAUGUGGUUUAAUAUUUCAUUAAGAAAAAAAUAAAAUCACAGGAUACUAACUUGAUACAAAAAUAAAAUCACAGAGUAUUAACUUAAUACACUUUAAACCACAGGGUACUAAAGUGAGAAAGUGCGAAACCAUAAGAUACUAACUUGAUACACUUUAAACCACAGGGUACUAAAAUAAAAAAUUACGAAACCACAGGGGGGUUUUUGAAGUUUUUUCUUAAUUUAACUAAUUAAUUUUUUAAACAUUUAACUUUAUUAUAUAAUUUUUCUGUUUGUUUGAUUUGAGUUGAUCAACGACGCCUUGGCUUUAACAUUUGAACACGUUGCUUAUUUUUAUAGAUUUAUAUGGUAUAUUUUAUGUAAUUGUCAUAAUUAUAAAUUUAGUAAAGUAAGUAAUUAUUUUAAAUUUUAAAGUCAAAAACUUUUUGGCUGAUCCAAAUUAAAAAAAUUUAAAGAAAUAUAGUAAAAUUAAAAUUUUGAAAGAUCGUAUAGUUGAUUCAAAAUUUUUCAUAAUUAAUGUAAGUUUUAAGGUAUAGAUUAAAACUGCCCUCAUAUUUUUUGUUCUUUCUAUUUCAACUUAAAGAUGUGGUUCCUUUUCUAAGGUGGAGAGAAAAACACUAAUUUAUUUAUUAGAAAACAUGUUAUAUAGAAAUAGUUUUUUUUUUUUUUUGAUUUGUUCAUACUCCAAUUCCAAAUAGCUUUUUUUUUAUGGGCAUGUUUGGUUCAAGUUAUCAUGUCAGAAUUACAGGAUUACAAGUAAUUCUGUCAAGAACUCAAGAUUACUACGUUUGAUUUAUUUAGUUUGUAAUAUGGUCGGUAAUAUAGCAUUACAAAUGAUAUAGGAUUAUUCUGAAAAUAUUACCAAGCGGGAGUAGGUAUCACGUAUUAUUGAUGGCGGAUUAUCUUACAUGUUAUAUAAAAUUACAAGUUUACCCCUCUAGCCUCCUAAACGUUUUAAUAUAUCAUUUUUAAAAUUUUAAAUUUAAACUUUCAAAUCUCAAAUUCCAAAUAGCCUUUUUUUUUUCUGAAAGUAUUAUUACAUGUUGAGUAUACAAGAUUAAAAAUAUGGAAAAAUUUCCUCCAUACCCUUAUAAAACCAUCUAAUUUUAUAAAUACCCAUCUAAAAAUUGAUAUCACAACUCAAUUUGAAAAACUUUCAAAAAUAACCCUACCAUCGAAUUUCUAUCUAAAUUAAAGUUAAUUAGUAUUUUAAUUCUAACUUUUCCCCUCUUAUGUAUUCAAUGGUCAAUAAUUUUAUUUCAUAAAUAUUAUCUAUUAUAUUUCAAAAUUAUCUAAGUAAAAUUCAAUUGAUUUUAAUUUUAAAAAAUCAUUCAUUUUAAUUAAAAAUAAAUAUUUCUAUUUGGAAUAAAUUGCAGUUAAAUUAACAAUGAAGCAAAAUAAAAUAAAAUUUAACUACAAUCUAUUCCAAAUAGAAAUAUUUAUUUUUAAUUGUUUUAGUCUGGAUAGAGUUUAUUAAUUUUGAAAUAUUAGAGGGGUAAAGUUGGAAUUUAAAUACUAAUUAACUUUAAUUUGGGUGGAAACUUGAUUGUAAAAUUAUUUUUGAAAGAUUUUCAAAUGCUCGGGGGUAUACAUGAUAUUUUAAUUUUUAAAUAAGUAUUUAUGAAAUUAGAUAGUUUUAAAAGGAUAUAGAGAAAAUUGUUCCUAAAAAUAUUAUCCUCUAGACAAUUUUUGAAAGGAGAGAUAAAAUCACAUGCAAUAAAUAAAUUCUCAUAAUAAGUAAGUUAUUAUUAUGUAUUAAUUCAAAGAAGGAAAAACUUCAAAUAUCCCGUGGUUUCGCACUUUCUUAUUUUAAUACCCUGUGGAUUAAAAUGUAUCACAAGUUAGUAUCAUGUGGUUUCGAACUUUCUCAUUUUAGUACCUUGUGGUUUAAUAUUUCGUUAAAUUAUGUACAAAAAACUUCAGAUAUUCUACCUAGGUUUAUCGAAUAUUUAUUUUAGUAUCAUUUAGUUUUAACCUUGUCACUGAUUUAACUAAAAAAAUACUCCGAAAUAGAUAAUAAAAAGAAAAAAAUAAAACCACAGGGUACUAAUUUGAUAUAAAAAUGAAACCACAGAGUACUAACUUAAUACACUUUAAACCACAGAAUACUAACGUGAGAAAGUGCGAAACCAUAUAAUUUAUAUUUUAAAUUAUAAAGUAUUAAAAUAAGAAAGUACGAAACCACACGUGGGUAUUUGAAGUUUUCCCUUCAAAGAAACUAGCAAUUAUUAUUAUUUCAUUUUCUAAUUAAUAUCACUAAUUGCUAAUGUGGCAAGAAGAAAAGUCAAAUUUGUAGUAACAGAAAAAAAAAAAAAUGUCAGACAGUAUUUAUGAUCUGAACCCACCCACAUAACAGAAAAGAAACCCUUUCCAGACAAGCAUGAUUAAUUUGGUUCACUCAUUAAUUUAUUGCCUCUUUCCCCCAAGGAGAAUGUCAUAGAUUUUUCAAAAUAUGAUCCUCUACAUUAUUUACUAUAUCAACAAUAAUAUAAUAUUUUUAGCCUUUUUAUACUUGUUAAAUUCAUAUAUUAUUUUACGUAUCACUACAUUACAUUACGUAACACUCUAAUAGUCCCAUAUCGAAUAAAAAAAAAAUUAUAAUUAUAUAUGUAAGAGAUCGGAAACCCUAAUUAUAAUAAUCGGGCUUAUGUAUUUGAAUAUGAAUAUCGGCUGGUUUAUGUAUUUGAACAUGAACUUUGAAUUAAAGAAUUAUUGUAAUUGAACACGGUCUAUGGGUGACGUGGCAGACCCGGUCCAUGCAGCUUCUUAUAGUGGAGCGCGACGCACGCGUGGGCCCCGACAACGUAACGUAUCGCCACUUGGGAAACGAAACGCUUCCACGCUACGCAAACCCCACGCGACCCAGUACUGUAAAAUCUCCUAUUAGUCCCUCUACUCUUCUGAUUUUAUGAUUCCAUCCUUACCAAUUCAAAUUCACAUCAGAAAAAAAAAUUUACUAAUCAUUUUAUAAGAAGAAUUUGUUUUUUUUUUUUUAAGGCUAUAAGGGAGGGUGACAAUAUAUGCAAAAUUAUUAUUAUAAGAAUUAAAAGUUGGUUUAAUUCUAUUUUACAAUAAAUUUCAUCAGAAUAAUUAAAUACUACUUGAAUAAUACUAUUAGAAAAAAAAUGUUAUUUUAAAAUAAUUUUGAUAAUUUUUUCAAAAGCAGAAUUUAAAACACCAAAUUAUACAGUUCAGCAAAGAUCACUUUAGUUCUAUUAUAAUAUUGUUUAAUAACAUAUUUGUCCAAAUGCGUGCUACUAUUAUAAAAAAAUUACUAUAAUAAAAAUACUCUCAACAUAUUUUUUUAAAGCAGAUUUAAAAUCACUUAGCUGAAUAUUUUGUUGUUUAAGCUAAUAAAAAUAUCAUUUUUGCUUUCCACUAUAUUUAGUAAAAUCUUUCAAAUUUUCUCUUUGCAAAUUUACAUUCUAUCAGUAAAUAUUUAUAUUUUUAAAAAUAUAUUAGUUAUACAUUUUAUUUAUAAUGUGUACAUCUUAUCUCCACUAUUCAAGUACUUAAAAUUCUUAUUAAUGAAUUAUAAAAUUUUUUAGUAUUAAAAAAAAACUAAUAAAAAUUAAUUUAAAAAUAAUAAUUUUUGUAUAAAAUAAAAUAUAAAAUUUAUACCCUAGUACAUGCAUAUGUGCAAAUAACUCUGCUCAAAAUAAAAAAAUAGAANCAUCCCAUAGACUUCAAAAAACAUAUAUUAAAUUGUUUUAUAAUUGUUUACUCGGCUGUUUUCUCUUUUUACUUUAGUGUCUCAUGAUUUAACUAUGUCAAAUUUGGUGUACCAUGAUUUUACUAUUUCAUACUUUGGUAUAUAAUAAUUUAACUACGUGUAAUUUGGUAUCCCAUGAUUUUCAUUUUUUCAUGCUUUGAUAUCUUUACCAUAAAUUUCUAAAAAGAAAAAAUAAUAAUAAUAAACAUAGUCUUCUUCCAUAUACAUUAGGUUUAUCGAAUAUUUAUUUUAAUAUCCUUUAAUUUUAACUUUAUCACUGAUUUAAUAAAAAAAUUAGUAAAAUGAAUAAUAAAAAGAGAAAAGUGAAACCACAGAGUACUGACUUAAUAUACUUUAAACUAUAGGGUGCUAAAGUGAGAAGUUGCAAAACCACAGGGGCUAACUUGAUACACUUUAAACCACAUGGUACUAAAGUGAGAAAGUGUGAAACCACAAGGGGGUAUUUGAAGUUUACCGAUAAAAAAAAGAGUAUGGGGACGGUGUUGUAAUUACACGAUAGUACAGGGCCCACCAUGUAAAUAAUCCCACAAACUCCCCCGUAAUAUUCGUACCCCUCCUCCCCUGUGUCGUCGUCCUCUUCCUCUCCAAAACAGAGAGAGAGAGAGAGAGAGAGAGAGAGAGAGCGAGGAGGAGCGCAAUGCACGACUCCGACACCACUCCCCAAACCCCUAAAAUGUCGGGGGCGAGCGAGGAGGCCGUGGUGGUCAUCGUCGGCGCCGGGCCCUCGGGGCUCGCCGUGGCGGCGUGCCUGGCGGCGCGCUCCGUGCCGAGCCUCAUCCUGGAGCGCGACGACUGCGUCGCCCCGCUGUGGCGCCACCGCGCCUACGACCGCCUCCACCUCCACCUCGCCAAGCGCUUCUGCGCGCUCCCGCUCCUCCCCUUCCCCCGCGACGCCCCCACCUUCGUCCCGGCCCGCGACUUCCUCCGCUACCUCGAGCUCUACGCCGCGCGCUUCGCCGCGCGCGUCCGCCUCCGCCGCCGCGUCGCCGCCGCUCUCUUCGACCCGCCGUCGAGCACCUGGCGGGUGCGCGCGCGCGCCCUCGACACGGGCGCCGAGGAGGAGUACGCAGCGCGCUUCGUCGUCGUCGCCGCGGGGGAGAACUGCGCCCCCGCCCUGCCCGCGCUGCCCGGCCUGGACGGGUUCCCGGGCCCGGUCCGCCACUCGAGCGAGUACCGCUCCGGUUCGGGCUACGCCGGGAUGCGGGUGCUCGUCGUCGGCUCCGGCAACUCCGGGAUGGAGAUCGCUCUCGAUCUCGCCGAGGCGGGGGCAAAAACGUCAAUUGUCGUCCGGAGCCCGGUGAGUUUUCACUUUUUUUUUUUUCUUUCUUUUCGAACCGGACCGGACCGGUGGCGUUGAUUUAUGCGGAUUUUUUGGGCUCGGUUUUUUUCACUUUUUCUAAUAUUGGAUUUACUUGUCGUUCGUUUUCAGAUUUUUUUGUCUUUAUUUAUUUUUUUUUUGUGGUAAACUACAAUUGGCACCUUUGAUUUAGUUUGAUUUCAUUUUAACACCCGUGGUUCCCUAAUAAGUUUUACUUUACUCCCGUGUGAUUUAGGUUUUUUUUUUUUUUUUUUUUUACUGUGUCAUCAUGUGAUUCAAAAUGGUUUGUUUUUAUAAUUUAACGUAUUUUUUAUUUUAUUAUUCUAUGAUUUUUUAAUUUAUUUUACUUUUCUAUUAUAUUUUAUAAUUUUUUGUCUUAUCCGUGCGCUACCGACGCAUACAUCUGAUAGGACAUGUACUAAUUAAGGCUACGUUUGUUUUACCAAAAAUGGUGAUACAAAAUUCACGUUAAAGUAGAUUUUUAGAUAGAUUGAAAUUAGAUUUUUUUUUUUUUUUUUGGUAGUUUUGUUUGUAUGGCAGUGGAACUUCCAGUUCUACUGAUUACUAAUUACGGAGUGAAUUUAUGACUAUUAUUUUUUAUUUUUUUUUUCUUUUUCAUGAGUGGUUUGAAUUUAUUUAUAUCAUUUUGAAAAAUUCAAGUUUCGAUUGAUUGAAGAUAAAAUUAUAAUAAAUUAAAUAAUAAAACUGCGCAUGUACAGUUCACUUACAGUAAAAUUAGCACACCUUAAUAAUUAAAAAAAUAUAUUAAAAACUUUAUUGUAGCAAUUGCACCGUACCAAAAGUUUUCCAAACUUUUUUUUUUUUUUUUUAAGAAAAAUAGGUAAGCACGCUACUCGCUUCGUUUAUUUUAUUUAGAAAUAAAUUUAGUAAAAAAAUAUGAAUCAAUUAGGAUUCGAAUUUAGGUCUCGAGUAUCAAUCAUCAAGUCCUUUACGACUUGCUCUAGGGACGGUCGAUCCAAACCAAUUGGUUCUUUGCCACUCGCUUUAGGGACGGUCGAUCCAAACCAAUUUUAUUGUGUCAUAAGAAAGAGGUUGU